GAGAUAAAGUUGGUGUGGGCGGCAUGGUAGGAUCAUGCCAUUCCUGCCAUAACUGCACAAAUAAUCUUGAGAAUUACUGCCCGGAAGUGAUACUCACCUAUGGUGCAAAGUACUAUGAUGGAACUACCACUUAUGGUGGCUACUCUGACAUCAUGGUGACCGAUGAGCACUUCAUCAUUCGUAUUCCAGACACUUUGCCUCUUGAUGCUACUGCUCCUCUCCUUUGUGCUGGGAUCACAGUGUACAGCCCCUUGAAACAUUAUGGACUCGACAAGCCUGGCACGCACGUAGGCGUAGUUGGCCUGGGCGGACUUGGCCAUAUGGCCGUGAAAUUUGCUAAGGCUAUGGGGGUGAAGGUUACUGUGAUUAGCACCUCACCCAGCAAGAAGCAGGAGGCUAUUGAGCAUCUUGGUGCUGAUUCAUUUUUGCUCAGUCGUGACCAAGAUCAAAUGAAGGUAUGUAUAAUUUGGAAAUUCUUUGAUAACCCAUUAUUUGGGAAUUUCUAACUUAAAUUAAUUUAUAAACUUAAACUUAUUGGCACAGACUGCGAUGGGCACAAUGAAUGGUAUAAUUGAUACAGUGUCUGCAGUGCAUGAUCUUAUGCCUUUGAUUGGGCUAUUGAAGACUAGUGGAAAGCUGAUUUUGGUUGGUGUUCCAGAGAAGCCAUUUGACCUACCAGCCUUUGCUUUGUUAAUGGGUAAUUUUCCAUUCCUCUUUUCUUCUUACUCAUAAUUCCAAUUUAAAAGAAAAACUAAUAAUUUAAUUUAAUUUAACUAUUAUUAACAGGAAGGAAGAUGGUGGGAGGCAGUGGUGGUGGGGGAAUGAAGGAAACACAAGAAAUGAUUGAUUUUGCAGCCAAACACAACAUAACAGCAGAUAUAGAAGUUAUCCCAACUGAGUAUGUGAACACUGCCAUGGAUCGCAUACAGAAAGCUGAUGUUAGAUAUCGAUUUGUAAUUGACAUUGGCAAUACUAUCAACCCUAUCCACUGAAUUUAAUGUGCUUGUUUUUCAAUUUCAAGUUGUUAAGAUUUAGGAUUUUGUAUUACAUAUGCCCUCAUCAUUUAAUACCAUGAGGAGCCAUUACUGUUGAGUAAAUUGGAUUUGAGCUAUUUGCAUUUUUUAAAUUAUAAUUUCAAAAAAAAAAAUCUUGAAAAUUUAUGUUCUUGAGUUGAGCCUGACAGUAAAAGGCAAAAAAAUCGAGUUAAAAAAAAAAAGAAGCAUUUCUUAAAUCUUGAGUUGAAAAAAUAUUUUUCAGAUCAGGAUAAGUUUCCGUGCAACUGAAUAUCAGAGGUUCAGUAUGGCUUACCGCCUCUUUGACAUUCGGUUGUUAAGUUAAAAUUUUUUUUUAAAAAAAAAUUAUCGAGUUUGAUAAGCUCGGUAAGGAUUUUAUAUAUUUAAAUAUUUCUAUUAUUUAAUUUUUUUAGUAAAACGGAUUGGAUAACUCUGAAGUGUCUCAUACGAGAAUUUUACCUUACUACAUGUGUAAAUAUAUAAUAAAAAAAUGUUAAUUUUUUAAUAAUUAAUUUUCAUAUAUAUAUAUAUAUAUAUAUAAUUGUGUCGGUUGAACUUCUAUUGAUUUCUUGACCGGCUUAAAGGAAAAGAGAAUGUAAAAGGAUAUUAUCUAAUGAUAGUAACUUCAGUACUUAAAUUCUUAAAAAAUUUUAAGAAAUAAAAAAAAUUAAAAAGCUUAAUGGAUAAUGUAAAGUAAAGUACUUAAUAACUCCAAAAUUUUCUGUUCACAAAGUAUGCUAGGAUAAUAAUGUCCACUAAAUCCCAAACCAAUAGUAUAUCUAAGGGUACUAUUUAUUUGCUCUCACCAAAGUUCUAUUCAAAAUCAAAAGAAAUUCCUCGUAAAGCAAAAUAAAAAAUAUUUAUAUAUUUUUAUGGGUGGAGUGGCCCGCCAUUUUCCCAUGUUUGACAUGCAACUAUCCACUUUAUUCUAUUUUUUUUAUUUCUAAAUUUUUAAUUUAUUUUUAAAUUAAAAAUUAAAUUGAGAUAAGGUACUCAAUGCAAAUUGGUGUUAAACAUUUAGUGAAUUAAUUUUAAAUUUUAAAAUUUAAAUUUAUUUUUUAACUUUUAUUUCUAUUUAUUUAUUUAUUAUAAUUAUUUUAAAGUUUUAUUAAAUGAAUCAAUACAAAUUGGUGUUCAACAAAAUUAAUUAAGGUUAUUUUUUUGCCCAUAAAAAUUUAAAUAUCUCAAUAAUAAAAAAUAUUUUAUAUUUUUUAUAAUGUGAUACAAAAUGAGUUUAGAAUAAUACUUAUUUGAAAUGCAUAACUACUAAUAUGGAAGAUAUGAUUUUCUCCAUAUUAUUAAACCAUUAGCAAAUUUCUAUUUAAUGAAGGGUGAUGAUCUUUAACUAACAUUAAAAUAAAAAAAAAUAUUUUUAUUCACAUUAAAUUUAUUUAUAAUACAUGACAAUCACUCAAUAUGAGUUAUGAGUUGUUAUCACGAGAUAGAUUCACUCACAAGAAUCAAGUGAGUGGAAAAUACAAUCUAUUUCAAAGGAAGGAAAGAAAAUCCAGACACCUCAAAUAUUCGGAUCAUCAUCAAAGACUUACCCUUCUCUUAGAUAGGCGAGUCUCGACAUAAAAUUAUCGUUAACAGGCACAGGUCAGCGUAUAUCCAUUGCACUUGUAAUCGCGACAUUGCCAACUUAUUAGCUAGUGAUAUCCCUUAUCAAGCAACCAGUCACAUCAUCGCUGGAUUAUCAAAAAAUUAUAUAUUUAUCACUACCUUCUUACAGUAUAAAAGGAAGAAGGAUCACAAAAAUAAAUGUAUGCUAUUUUCUAAUACUACUCAAGCACUAAGCAACUUAUUGUAUUUUCUCUAUUCUUCAGCAGACUGACUUGAGCGUCAAAGUGGCUACCCAUGUUCUCUUCUUUGCAGGUUCUAUCCAGUCAUAGCUCAAUUUCAUUCCAAUCACGUCAUCAAUCUAAUCUCUGCAAUAUCAUUUGGUACCAUUACCGAAAAUCUUUUGAAUUCUAUCUAUUCAUUUAGAUUAAAAUCGGUCUCUUAUUUCUUUUUCUUCUAAAAAAAAAAUCUUUCAUCUCUAAUCUCUCAAAAUGGCAGGAAUUGUACAUGUCAUUACGGGGGGGCCUAAUAAGGGCAAAGGAAAAAAUAAGCGCGUGGCAGAGGACGUCAUGUCUUUCCAUCAGGAACUAUGAACCAAACAAGAGGUAAGGUUCGAUUUUGUUGAUAAGGCGGUCGAAUUAUUUCAGAAUGACUUGCUGGUCGUUAAGAUCCUCCUGAAUCGGUAUGAGGUAAGGCGGUACUUGUAGAUAUAGGUAGCUCCGUUAAUCUCCUCAUCCUAAAUGUUUUUAGCAUAUUAGGCUCAUAUAAAAGCAAUCUUGUCAGAGUUUUCUAUUCUUUAAUGGCAUUAAGAGACAAAACCGUCAGAGUACUGGGUACCAUCAACCUUCCUCUCGUAUUGGACGAUGAGAAAUAUAGGCGAGAGUUGUAUGCAGAGUUUGUGGUGGUAGAUAUUCCAUUUGCGUACAAUAUGAUACUCGGCCGCCCAGUCCUAAAUUGCCACGAUAUCGUUAUUAACAUGGAUACUAUGUGUCUUAAGCUUUCAUCUCUAGAGAGAAUAGCAGAGGUUCGAGGCAAUAUAAGGUUAGCCAAAGAAGGUUAAGGACACCCAAUAAAAUAUCUCGAAAAAGCAACCAUUUCCAUCGUCUUGUUAGAAAAGUUGAAAUCUCAUGUAAAACCAGGACCAACAAACUCGGUAAAGGAGAUCCAAAUAGAAAAGAAGAAAAAGGUAUGGUUCGACAUUGUGCUAACCGGUGAAACAAGGGCUCAUCUAGUGGGGUUAUUAAAGAGUCAAGUGUCAACUUUUGCUUGGUCCCCAAAGAAUGUAACGGGUAUGGACCCGGCUCUUAUCAUCCACAAAAUAUCUAUUGACAAAAACGUCAAAUCGAUCCAACAAGAAAAAAGAAAGUUUACACAAAAAAAAACAUGUGAUCAAAGAGGAGGUUGAUAGGCUUUUAAAAGUAGGAUUGAUCAAGGAAGUACAGUAUCCCACAUGGCUAGCCAAUGCGGUCUUGGUGAAGAAGGCUAACAGAAAAUGGAGAACGUGUAUGGACUUCACCAAUCUAAAUAAAGCAUGUUCGAAAGAUCAUUACCCAUUACCAUCCAUUGACAGAUUAGUGGACUUGACCUUAGGUCAUGUAGUAGUCUCCUUACUUGAUGCCAUCUCAGGAUACCACCAAAUCAUGAUAGAUACCGAGAAUGUAGAGAAGACCGUGUUCAUAACAGAUAAAGGAGUUUACUGCUACAAGGUGAUGCGUUUUAGUUUAAAAAAUGUAGAAGUCACGUACCAAAGAUAGGUGUAAUACUCGGCUAGAUUCCGGCAUCAAAAUCCCUACCUUCUGGCGGAAUCUCCGUUGGAAUCUGGAAUUCUGAAGAUGCCAAAGUCUUCUAGAGGGGUAAAAUGUGUUUUCUAAAAAUGUUUUAAUGAUUUCAUGGUUUUAAAUGGAAAAGAAUUGAGUUUUGAAAAGAAAAGACCAGGGAGGCUUUUGCCAGGUUCGGCCGCCGAAAGUGAAGUUCGGCCGCCGAACAUGGAAAGGUUUCGAGAGCGCUUUUGGCCUCCGAAAGCCUUGUUUGAACAAACCAAGGUUCAGCCGCCGAACAUGCAUGAGUUUAGGGGGCACGUUAGGCCGCCGAAGGUUGUUGGCCAGGCCACCUAUAAAGAGCCCUCAGAUCGGAAAUGGGCGAGUUUUCUCCCCAUUCUCGAGCUCAGGUGAGUUUAUGCCCUCCUUUGGUCGUUUUCAUGUUUUCUCUACCCAUCCCUCAAGUUUUCAUGAGUUAUACCCUUGUUUUGAAGUUUUGGAGCUUGGAGUCCCCAAAGAGUUUGGUUUCUCCUACCUUCGAGCUAAGGAUCGCACCAACCCUCGAUCUUCAAGAGGUAAGUGUAGAUCUUGGCUUUCCUUUGUGUUUAAUGAAGUUUUAAGUAAGUUUUAUAAAGUUUUAAUGUUGGAGAAUGGGUAGAUAUGCAUGUUUAGGCUUUUGUGGGUUUUAUGCUCAAUAUGUGUUAUGUGAUGUUGUGUUGGAAGGUUUAAGCUAGUUCCUUUGCUCUUUAUGCUUGUGGGGGUGUGUAUGCAUGCUUGGGAGAGAGUAUGUGAGGUUUGGGGUUUGUUUUGGGGGGUUGGGAGGCUGAUAUGCACGAGAGGCUGAGUUCUGAUGAACUCAGGUUCGGCCGCCGAAGGUAGUUUCGGCCGCCGAACCUGCCUAUGGAUGCAUGGUUUGGCCGCCUAACCUUGCCCCCAAAAGUUGUGUUUCGGAUCUGGAGCAGACUUUCGGCCGCCGAAGGUGAUGUUCGGCAGCCGAAAGUGCCUGACUUUCGGAUCUGGAGAGAGGGUUCGGCCGCCGAAAGUGCCCCCGAACCUGCAUGGCUUUCGGCUCUGGAAGGGACCUUCGGCCGCCGAAAGUGCCCUGUCCAGCCCUUCCAUGGGUAUGUUCUAUGCAUGUUUUGGUGAUGUUUUAGGGGGUUUUUGGGGAGAUGUUUAUGUCUGUGCUAGAGUUGUUUAGCACCUCACAUGAGUCCACCUGUGUAGGAUCGGACCUGAGGCGAGGUGUUUAGCUCCAGUGUUAGUCGGCCCAGUGUUAGUCGAGCAGUUGCUUCAGGUGAGUAGAACUACAUGUGCAUAUUUUAAAGUUAAUGUUUAAAGGUAAUGACAGUAUGAGCAUGAGACACGCAUCAUGAAUGCCAUGUGAUACUAGGUUGCAUCGCAUUAGAGAUCACGAAUAUGUUACAUUGCAUUAUUUAUUGUUGGUGUGGAUUGGACCAAGGCGACUUCAGUAGCCUGCGACCUGUUAUGCCUAGAUAAGUCCUGUGUGAGAUCCAUAGAAGGGGGCCGGGCACUAGAGCAUGUAGUGACCUGUGAGAGCUCCUUUAGGGGCCGGGCACCGACAGAGGGAGUCCUGGGGUCAUGUCUAAUCCGAGAUGUGAAAUGUUUGUGUUGUGACACAUAUCAUGAAAGCAUGCAAUGAAUGAAUGAACUGUUUUAUGGUUUCUACUCACUGGGCUCUAGUAGCUCACCCCAUUCCCUUUUUCCCCCUAGUUUUGCAGGGCCAGAGUUCAGUCAGAGUGAGCUAUGGGGAAAACAGAGGUUAAGCAUGGGUUGCCAUGUUUGGUUGUAAUAGCAUAGCUUAGUUUUGUUAAAGUGGCAUGUAAUAUGUCAAGUGAUGUAUAUAAAGAGAUGUUAUGUAUGUUUGUACGCAUGAAUAGUAUAGUAAUGGACAUGAUGUAUGGACAUGAUGUAUAUAAAGGAUAUGAAUGGAAAGAAUAAUGUUGAAAAGAGAUAGAGUAAAGUUAAGAGAAGUAUAUGAGAUGAGGUAUAGAGUCGUGCUUUGCCUAGUGUCGGUUAAUCCCUUUUUGUUGUACAUGAUCAUGAGUUUUUAAGAUAAACAUUUUUAUAUUGUAUGAAAUGUUUUCAAGAUGUUUUCAUGUUGGCCAAGCUUAAUGUAUCCCAUUGGAGCAACCUUUAUGGACUCCAGAGUGGGGUAAAGUUAUGAGGAGGUGCAUGCACGAGUUAAGCUUGGUAGAGAGAAAAGAAAAGUUUUCAGUUUCAGACCAUACUCAGGGUAAGCCUGGGAUAUGGGAAUGUUAAAGUUUUAAAGAAAAGGUUGAUCAUGUAUAGGAUUAGACCAUGAGAGAGGUUAUAUGUUUGGCUUACUACGGGUCCCGGCGGCCUUAAGCCGAUCUGGAUACUAGUGCCGGUGGCGGUCCGGAAUCCGGGUCGUUACAAUAGGUGUCAAGAAUUUUUAAGGAUGUGGUGGAUCAACCAUCGAAGUAUACGUAGACGAUAUGGUAGUAAAAAGCCGAUCAUUGGAAGAACACCCGAGGAUAUCCAGAGGGUCUUUGACAUCCUAGACAAGGCAGGCAUGAAGCUAAACCUAGAAAACUGCACAUUUGGGGUAAAGAUAGGGAAGUUUCUAGGAUAUACCAUCUCAGAAAAGGGGUACAGAGGUGAAUCAUGAAAAGAUCAACACUAUCUAAAACAUGGAAAUACCCAAAACCAUCAACGAAAUACAGAGGUUAAAUAGGCGAGUCACUGCCCUAGGCCGAUUCAUAUCAUGCUCGGCCAGAAAGUAUCUCUCAUUCCUCAAAGCCUUGAAAGGUAAAGGUAAGUUUGAGUGGGGAGAAGAGUGCACAGAGGCAUUUGAAAGUCUAAAAACCUUUUUACCAUCCCCUCUAUUGCUAAGCCUACUUCUUGAAAGUGAAGUUUUAUUUCAAUAUUUAUCUGUGAUGCAGGAAACAAUUUGCUCGAUGCUCAUUUGCGAAAAUAAUAGCGAAAAAAGCCAAGUAUAAAAUGUUUUAAUGUAUUAUAUGGUUUUAAGUAAUAAAGAAAUUGAGUUUUGAAUGAAAAUGACCAUAGGAGGAAAUCCAGGUUCGGCCGCCGAUCCUUAUGUUCGGCCGCCGAACAUGCAUGAGUUGUGGAGUCAUUUUCGGCUUCCAAAGGUGGCCUGGCCAGCCACCUAUAAGAGGCCCCAUGGCCGAAAAUGGGCGAGUUUUCUUCUCCGUUUCCGGCCAGAGGUGAGUCCACGCCCUCCCACGGUUGGUUUUGAUGAUUUUCCCCAAAUCUUUCAAGUUUUAACAAGUGUUUACUUGGUUUUGAAGAUUUUUGGAGCUAAGAUCAAGAUUUGAAGCUUGGAGACCUAGGAGCUCUCUUCCUCCAUUUCUCCAAGUUUAGGUCGCCUCCCCUCUCGAUCUUCAACAGGUAAGAGUAGAUCUUUAGCUCAUUUUAUGUUUUACACAAGUUUUAUGAGGUUUAUGGGGUAGAAAUGCAUGUUUAGGUUAAUAUUGAGUUUAUGGAUAAUGUAUGUUGUAUAUGUUUGUUAGAUGCAUUGUUGUUGGGGUUUAGGAUAGUUUGAGGCCCCUAUAUGCUUAUGGAAGUGAGUAUGCAUGUUGUAGAAUAGCUAAAUGCAUGUUUGGAAAGUUUGGGAGGCAUUUGUGCAUAAGAGAGGCUGAGUUCUGCCACUUUGGAAGAACUCAGGUUCGGCAGCCGAAGGGACUUUCGGCCGCCGAACCUGCCUGUGGUAGCAUGUUUCGGCUGCCGAAACCUGCCCCCGAAAGUUGGACUUUCGGCUCUGGAACCACCUUCGGCCGCCAAAAGUGGCUGAGUUUCGGCUCUGGAGGGACUUUCGGCCGCCGAACCUGCCGCCAAAAGUGCCCUGUUCAGCCUUCCUUUGCAUGUUUUCUAUGAAUGUUUUGAGGUGUUUUAGGGGGUUUUUGGGGAGUUGUUUAGAGUUUUGUUAGUGUAUGUUCGGUCCCUCAUUUGAGUCCACCUGUGUAGGUUCGGACCCGAGGAACUGAGGAGGUCAGCAGUGCUAGCUGCUUCAGAGUCUUCAGAGUCAGCCAGAGGUGAGUAGAACUGAACUGUAUUUUAAAUUAAUGAAAGUUUUAGCAUGAUUCAUGCAUCAUAAAUGCCAUGUAUGUAUUAGGUUGCAUUGUAUUAGUAUUUAUGAAGAUGAUGCAUUGCAUUCUAUGUUGUUGGUGGUGAUGGAUUUUGGAUGAACCUUUAGCCCUCGAUAUGUCCAAUGUUGAGAAAGUCCAAGGCUGCCCAUGUCCACGCGUCCUAGCAUUUAUGUAUGUAUGAUGAUUAAUGAAAGUCCAGGGCUAUCCAUGUCCAUGCUUCUUGGCAUUAUGUGAUAGAAGUCCUGCGGAGCUCCGACGAGGGUCGGGCACAUUGGGUGAGAGGGAUAUUGGUGACAAGUCCAUCCAUGAUGUGAAUUGUAUGUGUUAUGAUGCAUUCCAUGAAAGCAUGAUUUAUGAUAAUGUUUUAUGGUUCUGUUCACUGGGCUUUUUAGCUCACCCCAUUCCCUUAACCCCAGGUUUGCAGGUACGAGACAGUCAGGGAGGUCAGCUAGAGUAGGAAGGUUUUAUGUAUGUAAUAGUUAGUUGUGGACAUGAGAAUGUUGUAAUGUAAAGUAUUGAAUAGACAUGUAAUGUAAUGAUGUAUUAUGAGGGUUAGUAUUAUGCUUGACCCUAGUAUGUAUAGUUAAUCCCUUUUGUAUACAUGAUCUAUAUAAUGUUUUAUGUUAACCAAGCUUAAUGUAUGUUAUGUUACCCCAUUGGAGCAUUUGAUGAGGGCUCCAGUGUGGGGUUUAUGUUAUGAGUUUAUGCAUGUACAGGUUAAGCUUGGUAAAUGAAAGAAAAAGUUUACAGUUUUAAGUAUAUGUAUGAUCAUGUAUGGGAUUUAACAGGCUUUCAAGAUGUAUGUUAGGCUUGCUACAGGUUCCGGCGGCCUUAAGCCGACCUGAAUCCUAGCGCCGGUAGCGGUUCGGUUUCCGGGUCGUUACAGAGUGGUAUUGUAACAAUCCGGAAACCGGAUCGCUACUGGCGCUAGGAUUCAGAUCGAUUUAAGGUCGCCGAAACCCGUAGCAAGCCUACUAUGCACUCUGUGUACCUGUUAAAUCCCAUACAUGAUCAUCCAUUUCCAUAAAAAAUUUGAACUUUUCUGUAAUACCAGGCUAGACUCUGGUAUCGAAAUUCCUACCGUCCGGUGGAAUCUCGGAUGUCGGAAACCUCUAGAAGGGGUAGAACCAUGUUUUAUGAAAUGUUUUUGAUGUCUUUUACGGUUUUAUGUAAGAAUGAAAUUGAGUUUUUAAAUGAAUAAGACCAAGGAGGCAUUUGCCAGGUUCGGCCGCCGAAAGUCAUGUUCGGCUGCAGAACAUGGGGAGGUUUUGGGAGUGCUUUUGGCCCCCGAAAGCCUUGUUUAAAUGGACCAAGGUUCGGCCGCCGAACCUCAUGUUCGGCUGCCGAACUUGCAUGAGUUUUGGAGGCACUUUCGGCUUCCGAAAGUUGCCUGGCCAGCCCCUAUAAGAGACCCCGUGACCGAAACAGGCGAGGUUUUCUCCCCUAUUUCGGCCAACGGUGAGUUCAUGCUCUCCCAUGGUUGAUUUUUGAUGUUUUCUCAAAUCUUUCAAGAUUUAACAAGUUCUAUUUUGGUUUUGAAGAGUUUUGAGCAAAAGAGCAAGUUUUGAGGUUUGGAGGCCAAAGAGUUGGUUUCUCCCCAUCUCCGAGCUAGGAUCGUCUUCCCUCUCGAUCUUUAAGAGGUAAGCUUAGAUCCACUCUUCUAGUAUGUUUUAAACAAGUUUUAUAAAAGUUUGUGGGGUAGAAAAUGCAUGUGUUGGUUAUGGUUGAGUUUUUGGUUAAUGUGGGUUGUGUAUGUAUGUUUGAUGUGUUUUGGUUAGGGUUUAGGAUAGUUUGAGGCCCCUAAAUGCUAGUUGGUAUGAGUAUGCAUGUUGUAGAAUAGCUAAAUGCAUGUUUGAAUGGUUUUGAAGGCAAAUGUGCCUUGUGGAGGCUGAGUUCUGCCCUUUGGAAGAACUCAGGUUCGGCAGCCGAAGGGACUUUCGGCCGCCGAACCUGCCUGUGGAGGCAUGAUUUUGGCAGCCGAACCCUGCCCCCGAAAGUGGACUUUCGGCUUUGGAGGGAAGUUUCGGCCGCCGAAGGUGCUGCCGAACAUGCAUGAGUUUCGUCUCUGGAAGAGACUUUCGGCCGCCGAAGGUGCCGCCGAAAGUGGCUGAGUUUCGGCUCUGGAGGACUUUCGGCCGCCGAACCUGCCGCCGAAAGUGCCCUGUCCAGCCUUCCUUUGCAUGAUUUCUAUGAUUGUUUUAAGGUGUUUUAGGGGAUUUUUGGGGAGUAUUUCAGAGUUAUGUUCAUGUUGGUUUGGUACCUCAUUUGAGUCCACCUGUGUAGGUUCGGACCCGAGGAAUCGAGGACCCCAGCAGUGAGUUAGCUGCUUCAGAGUCUUUAGAGCUUCAGCUAGAGGUGAGUGGAAUAAACUUUUAUGUUUUAAAGUAAAUAAAUAGAUUUUCAGCAUGAUACAUGCAUCACGUAUGCCAUGAGAUAUACUAGGGUGCUUGCAUUAAAAUUCACGAAUAUGUUGCAUUGCAUAAUUUGAUGAUGAUGCGGAUGGAUGUUGAAUGAUUCUUUAGUCCUCAUAUGUUAUGGUAUGUUGAUGAUACGGUAUGGAAAGACCAGUGAGGCCCAUUCUACGCCCCUGGCACAACUGUAAGAGAAAGACGAGUGAGGCCCAUUCUACGCCCUUGGCACUAUGGAAUGUUAUGCUAUGCUAUGUAUGUUAAGAGAAAGACUAGUGAGGCCCAUUCUACGCCCCUGGCACGAUUGGUUUAUGUAGAGGACUAUUGGUGACAAAUCCAUUCUUGAUGUGAUUUGUUUGUGAUGUGGCGCAUUUCAGGAAUGCAUGAAUGAAAUAUAAUGUUUUAUUAUUCUGCUCACUGGGCUCUAAUAGCUCACCCCUCUCCCUUAACCCCCAGGCUUGCAGGUACAGGGUAGACCAGGAGGUCAGCAGGAGUAGAGUCAUGGUUUAUGUAAUAGCUAGAUGUGGACAUGAAUAUGAUGUAAUGUAAAAGUAUAGUAUAGAAAUGUAAUGUAAUGAUAUUUUUUUGAAGUUUAGAAUUGUGCUUGACCAUAGUAUGUUGUUAAUCUCUUUUUGUACAUGAUCUUAAAUGUUUAAUGAGGUUUAAUGAUGUUUAUGACCAAGCUUAAUGUAUGUUAUGUUACCCCACUGGAGUAUUUGAUGAUAACUCCAGUGAGGGGUUUUAUGUUUAUGAUUAUGAAUUGUGCACGCACAGGUUAAGCUUGGUGAAUGAAUAAGAAAAGUUUAAAUUUUUUAUGGUUAUUGUUGAUCAUUUAUGGGAUUAAACAGGUUUACAGAUGUAUGUUAAGGCUUGCUACGGGUGCCGGCAACCUUAAGUCGAUCUAGAUCCUAGCGCCGGUAAUGGUCCGAUUUCCGGGUCAUUAUAUUUUCAUUCACCAAGCUCGACCUGUGCAUGCACUAACUUUGUAAACAUAAAACCACAUACUAGAGCCCUCAUCAAAUGCUCUAGAUGGGUCAUCAAGCUUGGUUUCAUCAUUAAACAUUUCAUUACAUUCAUAAAGAUCAUGGAUAAAAAGGGAUUAAACAUAUUCUAGGGCCAAGCACAACACUAUAACUCUGUAUACAUUACAUCUCUGUACAUUUCAUAACUUUGCUUUACAUCAUUUCUUUACAUCAUUUCUUUAUAUCAUUUCUUUACAUCAUGUCCACUACUAUACAUACACUUAGACUUUACCCCUUGCUGUUACUCUGUCUUCUCUCUGAGGCCCUAAAACAUGGGGGUUAGGAAGAGGGGUGAGCUACUAGAGCCCAUUGAGCAGAAUCAUAAAAAACAUUUAAAUACAUAUGCUAUUAUGGAAUGCAUCACAUCACAAGUAAAGCACAUCACAGACGGACUGAUCCAAAAAUCCCUCGGCUCUGUGCCCGGCCCUCAAAGGAGCUCCUCAGGACUUCUGUUACAUACAAAUGUGCCCGGCCCUCGGUGGGGCUCCUCAGGACUUCUUUACAUGAUAUGACAUAAUAUCCCAAGGGCUAAUGGAUCCUACUCUGUGCCCGUCCACAUUCACAAGAAAUAAUGCAAUGCGUCAUAUUCGUGAUUACUAAUGUGAUACAACCUAGUAUACACAUGGCAUUUAUGAUGCAUGAUUCAUGCUAAAACGUUCAUUUAAUUUAAAACAUAGUCAGUUCCACUCACCUCUAGCAACUGCUGAACAACCUCUGAAAGACUAACUCUGUGGGCCUCCUUGGUUCCUUGGGUCCGCACCUACAUAGGUGGACUCAAAUGAGGUACCAAACAUACUCUAACAUAGCUAUAAACAUCUCCCCAAAAAUCUCCUAAAACAUCAUAAACAUGCAUGGAAAAGCGAGCAAAGGAAGGCUGGACAGGGCACUUUCAGCGGCAGGUUCGGCGGCCGAAAGUCCCUCAAGAGCUGAAAGUCUUGCACUUUCGGGGGCAAGGUUCGGCGGCCGAAAGACCCUCCAGAGCCGAAAGUCCAAACCUUUGGCGGCAUGUUCGGCGGCCGAAACUCUCUUCCAGAGCCGAAAGUCCAAACUUUCGAGGGCGAGUUUAGGCGGCCAAAACAGCCUCCUCAAGGGGUUCGGCGGCCGAACCUGAGUUCUCCAAAAAGGCAGAACUCGGGUCUAACACACAUACUCAGCCUCCAAAACCUUUCCCAACACUCUAAACAUGCCUCCAACCUCUCAAACACAUGCAUAUACCAUUAUCCAUGCACAUAGGGGCUUAAAAAACUAGCUUAAAACCCCAAAAACACAUCAUAGCAACAUGAACAUCACAUGAUCAACAUAAACCUUUAACCUCUAAUCAUGCAUAAAAACUCCCUUAAACCCUUUAAACAUGCUUAAAAUAUAAGGGGAGGUGAGGAUCCAUGCUUACCUCUUGAAGAUCGAGAGGAUUGAUAGUCCUAACUCGGAGAUGUCAAGGGAAAACGAUCCAAAAUCUCCAAGCCUCAAAACUUUACUUCUUUGCUUAAAAUCUUCAAAACCAAGUUUAAAGCUCUUUAAAACUUUGCAAGAACUUGAAGAAAACAUGAAAUCAACCAAAGGAGGGCAUAAACUCACCUUGGUUUGGGAAGAGGAAGAAAACUUACUCCUCUCCCGAUCAAGGGGCCUUUUAUAGGUGGCCUGGUCAACCAUUUCCAGCGGCCAAACCUGCACCCGCAACUGAACCAAGUUCGGCGGCCGAACCUGGCUUUCGGGGGCAGCAAAAGCUAGCCACUUUCGGCGGCCGAACUUCACUUUUGCCCUCCUUGGCCUUUUCCUUUUCAAAACUCAAUUUUUUUUUUGCUAAAAAACAUAAAAACAUGGAAAAAUAUUUUGAAAAACCUCUGUUUUACCCUUUAGGAAGGCCCCGACAUCCGUGACAUUCCGGAUUCCAACGGAGAUUCCGCCGGAAAGUAGGAAUUCUGAUGCCGGGGUCUAGCUGGGUAUUACAUUCUCCCCCCUUAAGAACAUUCGUCCCCGAAUGUUCCUCAUCUAUCACAUGCAUACCAUAACCAUAACAUAAAAACACAUAAAAAAACAAAACUCUCACCUUAAAAGAGGUAGGGGUACUGCUGGAGCAUAGACUCCCGUGUCUCCCAGGUGCACUCUUCUAUGUUAUGGUGGUUCUAAAGGACUUUUACCAUCGGGAUCUCCUUGUUUCUCAACUUUCUGAUUUGAGUGUCUAUGAUCCGUACUGGCUGCUCUACAUAGGUGAGAUCUCCUAGGAUCUCUACAUCUGGUUCACUGAGAACCUUUCCCAGAUCUGUAACAGCCCGAAAACCGGUACCCUUCUGUAGCGGCUCCGUCCUGCUCGGCGCUAGGAUUCAGAUCGGCUUAAGGCCGCCGGAACCCGUAGCAAGCCUCUAUACAUCCUGAACUCUAGGUAUAAUCCCAUACAUGAUCAAACUUUUUUCUUCAUAAAACUUUUAAAACUUUACUUUAUCUCAGCUUGACCUAUGCAUGGAAANNNNNNNNNNNNNNNNNNNNNNNNNNNNNNNNNNNNNNNNNNNNNNNNNNNNNNNNNNNNNNNNNNNNNNNNNNNNNNNNNNNNNNNNNNNNNNNNNNNNNNNNNNNNNNNNNNNNNNNNNNNNNNNNNNNNNNNNNNNNNNNNNNNNNNNNNNNNNNNNNNNNNNNNNNNNNNNNNNNNNNNNNNNNNNNNNNNNNNNNNNNNNNNNNNNNNNNNNNNNNNNNNNNNNNNNNNNNNNNNNNNNNNNNNNNNNNNNNNNNNNNNNNNNNNNNNNNNNNNNNNNNNNNNNNNNNNNNNNNNNNNNNNNNNNNNNNNNNNNNNNNNNNNNNNNNNNNNNNNNNNNNNNNNNNNNNNNNNNNNNNNNNNNNNNNNNNNNNNNNNNNNNNNNNNNNNNNNNNNNNNNNNNNNNNNNNNNNNNNNNNNNNNNNNNNNNNNNNNNNNNNNNNNNNNNNNNNNNNNNNNNNNNNNNNNNNNNNNNNNNNNNNNNNNNNNNNNNNNNNNNNNNNNNNNNNNNNNNNNNNNNNNNNNNNNNNNNNNNNNNNNNNNNNNNNNNNNNNNNNNNNNNNNNNNNNNNNNNNNNNNNNNNNNNNNNNNNNNNNNNNNNNNNNNNNNNNNNNNNNNNNNNNNNNNNNNNNNNNNNNNNNNNNNNNNNNNNNNNNNNNNNNNNNNNNNNNNNNNNNNNNNNNNNNNNNNNNNNNNNNNNNNNNNNNNNNNNNNNNNNNNNNNNNNNNNNNNNNNNNNNNNNNNNNNNNNNNNNNNNNNNNNNNNNNNNNNNNNNNNNNNNNNNNNNNNNNNNNNNNNNNNNNNNNNNNNNNNNNNNNNNNNNNNNNNNNNNNNNNNNNNNNNNNNNNNNNNNNNNNNNNNNNNNNNNNNNNNNNNNNNNNNNNNNNNNNNNNNNNNNNNNNNNNNNNNNNNNNNNNNNNNNNNNNNNNNNNNNNNNNNNNNNNNNNNNNNNNNNNNNNNNNNNNNNNNNNNNNNNNNNNNNNNNNNNNNNNNNNNNNNNNNNNNNNNNNNNNNNNNNNNNNNNNNNNNNNNNNNNNNNNNNNNNNNNNNNNNNNNNNNNNNNNNNNNNNNNNNNNNNNNNNNNNNNNNNNNNNNNNNNNNNNNNNNNNNNNNNNNNNNNNNNNNNNNNNNNNNNNNNNNNNNNNNNNNNNNNNNNNNNNNNNNNNNNNNNNNNNNNNNNNNNNNNNNNNNNNNNNNNNNNNNNNNNNNNNNNNNNNNNNNNNNNNNNNNNNNNNNNNNNNNNNNNNNNNNNNNNNNNNNNNNNNNNNNNNNNNNNNNNNNNNNNNNNNNNNNNNNNNNNNNNNNNNNNNNNNNNNNNNNNNNNNNNNNNNNNNNNNNNNNNNNNNNNNNNNNNNNNNNNNNNNNNNNNNNNNNNNNNNNNNNNNNNNNNNNNNNNNNNNNNNNNNNNNNNNNNNNNNNNNNNNNNNNNNNNNNNNNNNNNNNNNNNNNNNNNNNNNNNNNNNNNNNNNNNNNNNNNNNNNNNNNNNNNNNNNNNNNNNNNNNNNNNNNNNNNNNNNNNNNNNNNNNNNNNNNNNNNNNNNNNNNNNNNNNNNNNNNNNNNNNNNNNNNNNNNNNNNNNNNNNNNNNNNNNNNNNNNNNNNNNNNNNNNNNNNNNNNNNNNNNNNNNNNNNNNNNNNNNNNNNNNNNNNNNNNNNNNNNNNNNNNNNNNNNNNNNNNNNNNNNNNNNNNNNNNNNNNNNNNNNNNNNNNNNNNNNNNNNNNNNNNNNNNNNNNNNNNNNNNNNNNNNNNNNNNNNNNNNNNNNNNNNNNNNNNNNNNNNNNNNNNNNNNNNNNNNNNNNNNNNNNNNNNNNNNNNNNNNNNNNNNNNNNNNNNNNNNNNNNNNNNNNNNNNNNNNNNNNNNNNNNNNNNNNNNNNNNNNNNNNNNNNNNNNNNNNNNNNNNNNNNNNNNNNNNNNNNNNNNNNNNNNNNNNNNNNNNNNNNNNNNNNNNNNNNNNNNNNNNNNNNNNNNNNNNNNNNNNNNNNNNNNNNNNNNNNNNNNNNNNNNNNNNNNNNNNNNNNNNNNNNNNNNNNNNNNNNNNNNNNNNNNNNNNNNNNNNNNNNNNNNNNNNNNNNNNNNNNNNNNNNNNNNNNNNNNNNNNNNNNNNNNNNNNNNNNNNNNNNNNNNNNNNNNNNNNNNNNNNNNNNNNNNNNNNNNNNNNNNNNNNNNNNNNNNNNNNNNNNNNNNNNNNNNNNNNNNNNNNNNNNNNNNNNNNNNNNNNNNNNNNNNNNNNNNNNNNNNNNNNNNNNNNNNNNNNNNNNNNNNNNNNNNNNNNNNNNNNNNNNNNNNNNNNNNNNNNNNNNNNNNNNNNNNNNNNNNNNNNNNNNNNNNNNNNNNNNNNNNNNNNNNNNNNNNNNNNNNNNNNNNNNNNNNNNNNNNNNNNNNNNNNNNNNNNNNNNNNCUGAUUUUCCCUCCUUGGCCUUUUCUCUUCAAAACUCAACCCCUUUCCUUUUAAAACCAUAAAACACUUAAAAACAUUUUAGAAAACCUUUCCUUUACCCUUACUCUACCCCUCAAAGAGGAUCCGACACCCGAGAUUCCACCGGACGGUAGGAAUUCCGAUGUCUGAACGAGCGGGGUCUUACAUUCUUCCCCCCUUACAGAACAUUCGUCCCCGAAUGUUCAAACAAAACACAUAAACAAACAAGAACGCAAACUUGGGCUUGAACGUCACAAGCUUCUGCUGCGCUACUCUGAUCCUUCUCCUCUUCCUCCUUCUUCUCUGACCUCAUCCUCUGCUCUUAUACUUUUUCUAUUCUAUUCUUACUCUUCUAUGCUAUACUCUUACCCUUUACUCUGCCACUAACCUCUUCUCUUAGCUUCACAACCUGUGCUCGAAUCUCAGAUCUAGGAAAGCAACUUAGCUUAUCCCAUAGAUCAUCAAUCCAAGGUAGAGGUUGCCUACUCUUGGUAGUAACCCUGCACAACUGCUUACAGUCGCUACAAAGGUUCAAAGAUCCAUCCUUCCUUUCCCCGCACCACGCUGGAGCAUUCCAGGGUGAGGUACUAGGUCGAAUACAACCCUUGUCUACCAAGCACUCCACUGUUCCUACACUCCUCCUAUAACUCUGCAGGUAUCAUCCUGGGAGGAAAAAGAAACGGUUCUGGUACCAAGUACCACUUCGAAACCAAACUCUACCUCCCUGACCGAUGACUAACCUGACACUAUCUUGGAACCUCUGAACACUCUCUCUAUCUAUACACCCUACGAGCCUGACAGCUGAUAUCCAACUUCUAGGCAUCCUACUCAGUCUCCUCUGAAGCCUACCUCAGACCCAUCCUGAACUCCGAUCCCGACUACCUUGCGCUGCAGACGCAGGUAGUACCAGUACCACGAGUAGAAAACCAUUCCAUCCCUCGAAUGACAUCCAGACACUCAAGUCUAGGACCUCAUGAUCGAGUGGAAGGCAUCUACCUUUAAUGACACUGGACUGAAUCUCAGCCACAGAUGGAUCCUACCCGGGUCUACUAACCCGGAGAGAACACUCUACACCCAGAAGCUAUCAACUCAACCUUUCAAGGGCUCCUAGAGCAACUAACAAGAACACACACCAGGGCACAAACACACACAUCAGAACAUGAACAAGUGAGCGUACCUGGCAUCACUGCGUCCGAUGUGUCUGCUCCUCUCCUGCCCUGAUGACAAGCCUGAGCCACAGCACCUGAAGAUCGCUGCUGGGACCACACCCUCCUGUGCGCAGUAGGACACUCACGUGCUACGUGCCCUUCCUGUCCGCACCUGAAGCAUGCUGAAGUCCCUGCCAGACAAACUCCCUUGUGUGGUUUCCCACACCUCAUGCAUCUCAUAGCCCCUCGGCCAGAACUCGAACCAUCCUCAGCAUCUAGCCUAAACCUCUGCCAAAACUUGUCCUUCUUCGACCUUCUCAGGCCUCUAUUCCAUUUCCUUGGGGUUUUUCCCCACCUUUUAUCUCUACUGGCAGCUGUACUCAGCAUGGAGGGAUCAACUUCUCCUGAACUUGAACUUUUAGCAUCCUUAGACUGGGCGUCGUCUUCAGACUCUCCCAUGCAUUCCUCAUCCAUGUUCACUUGCAGACCAACAUCCCUCCUCUGCACCAAAACUCCUCUGCUAGACCUUUCAGGGUCUCUUGCUCUGUCAUCUCCACCUGACCUUGCAAGGGGAAAAGGCUCACUUUCCCACUCAGAUGGAUCUGACUCCAUAGAGCUCCUAGCACCUUGCAUCUCAGCUCUUCUGAAACACAACAGGCACACAAAAGCAUCACAUCACAUAGCAUGGCAUCAUAACAUAUAGCAUAGCAUCAUAUCAUAUGGUCCAUGUGACAAACACGUGAACCCUCAUGCAACAUAUAUCAUGGAUGAACCUGUCACCUAUAGCCUACAACAUAGCAGAACAUGCCUUGACCAACUGUGCCAAAGGCCAUACUUGGUCUCUAAGCUCAUCUCAUAUCAGUACAUAUCAUGCCAUCUCGCAGCUAAGGGACUAUCAACAUCCAUAAUACCAACAUCACAUACAUAACCUAAAAAGAAUGAACUGGAACUAGUCACCAAUAGCCCUUUACAUAUCCAUAUCAUAGAUAUGCCCAACUCUACCAGGGGCGAUUAAACCUAACCUGGUUUCCUCAUCUCAUACAUAACAUACAUAACGAGGGCUACGGACCUUCCAGCAUCCUUCCACAUCAUAAAUGCACAUGCAUAAAAGCAUGGCAUCACACAUCAGCAUGCAAGACAGGACUCCUCAUCCUAUCCUAGUGGACAUGAUCUUACUCUUAAUCUUAAUCUUUCUUAAUGUGCUUGCCCUCCUAUAACAUCUAUCACAACCUCUUUCCGAUGUGAGAUCCCUUGAUCCCUGAGCAUCCUAGUUCAACACAUCGUACUCUUGAGGCCCAAAGCUCUGAUACCAACUGUAACAGCCCGAAAACUGGUACCCUUCUGUAGCGGCUCCGUCCUGCUCGGCGCUAGGAUUCAGAUCGGCUUAAGGCCGCCGGAACCCGUAGCAAGCCUCUAUACAUCCUGAACUCUAGGUAUAAUCCCAUACAUGAUCAAACUUUUUUCUUCAUAAAACUUUUAAAACUUUACUUUAUCUCAGCUUGACCUAUGCAUGGAAANNNNNNNNNNNNNNNNNNNNNNNNNNNNNNNNNNNNNNNNNNNNNNNNNNNNNNNNNNNNNNNNNNNNNNNNNNNNNNNNNNNNNNNNNNNNNNNNNNNNNNNNNNNNNNNNNNNNNNNNNNNNNNNNNNNNNNNNNNNNNNNNNNNNNNNNNNNNNNNNNNNNNNNNNNNNNNNNNNNNNNNNNNNNNNNNNNNNNNNNNNNNNNNNNNNNNNNNNNNNNNNNNNNNNNNNNNNNNNNNNNNNNNNNNNNNNNNNNNNNNNNNNNNNNNNNNNNNNNNNNNNNNNNNNNNNNNNNNNNNNNNNNNNNNNNNNNNNNNNNNNNNNNNNNNNNNNNNNNNNNNNNNNNNNNNNNNNNNNNNNNNNNNNNNNNNNNNNNNNNNNNNNNNNNNNNNNNNNNNNNNNNNNNNNNNNNNNNNNNNNNNNNNNNNNNNNNNNNNNNNNNNNNNNNNNNNNNNNNNNNNNNNNNNNNNNNNNNNNNNNNNNNNNNNNNNNNNNNNNNNNNNNNNNNNNNNNNNNNNNNNNNNNNNNNNNNNNNNNNNNNNNNNNNNNNNNNNNNNNNNNNNNNNNNNNNNNNNNNNNNNNNNNNNNNNNNNNNNNNNNNNNNNNNNNNNNNNNNNNNNNNNNNNNNNNNNNNNNNNNNNNNNNNNNNNNNNNGGCCCUGCAAAAACUGGGGUUAAGGGAAUGGGGUGAGCUACAAGAGCCCAGUGAGUAGAAACAGAGAAAACAGUUCAUUAAAUCAUUUUAUUGUUCCACACUUUUUAGGUAUUUUAAUAUAAAAACAUUUUAUUCAUGCUUUCAUGAAAUGCGUCAUAUCACAAGGAAAUCACAUACUGCUUCCGUCUCGGGGUUCACACAAGCAUACAUUCCCCACGGAACCUGGUUUCUGAGAGUCCUCAUAAAAUGCUAGCAUCUUUACUCUCAGAGGAUGGACAUGACAUCAAAAAUACCCUCUGUCGGUGCCCGGCUCCCCAAAGAAGCUCACACAGGCCAUACACAUGCACAACAGGGUACCUAGUCCACAGAGAGCUCACAAGGACUUUCCUACAUGUACUUGUCCGGCUCCCAAAGGACUUACCCAAGACUCAAUGACAGAUAUGGGCUAUUGAAGUCGCCUUGGUCCACCCUUUCUGAAACAACAUGAAAUAAUGCAAUGCGUCACCUUCGUGAAACUAGUGCAAUCAUCCUAUUACAUAUAAUCAUGAUGCAUGCAUAUGCUUUAGGCAUUUGAAUUCCUCAUAAUAAAAGAUGCAGUAAACAUUUGAUUUUCUUUAAAAUAAAAGAUUAAGUUAGUUCUACUCACCUGAAGCCACUGCUCAGCUAACUUCUACUGGGUCAACUAGCACUGAAGCUAGACACCUCGAUGUCUCAGGUCCGAUCCUACAUAGAUGGACUCACAUGAGGUACCAAACACAUUCUAACAACUCAUAAGGAACUCCCCAAAAGCCCCUCUAAACAUCACUGAAACAUGCCUAGAAAACAGCCAUGAAAAGGCUGGACAGGCACUUUCGGCGGCACCUUCGGCGGCCGAAAGUCUCAGACAGAGACGAAAGUCAUGCAUGUUCGGCGGCACCUUCGGCGGCCGAACCCUCACUCCAGAGACGAAAGUCAGGCACUUUCGGCGGCCGAACAUUACCUUCGGCGGCCGAAAGUCUGCUUUAGACCCGGAACACAACUUUCGGGGGCAAGGUUAGGCGGCCAAACCAUGCAUCCUAAGGCACGUUCGGCGGCCGAAACCACCUUCGGCGGCCGAACCUGAGUUCAUCAGAACUCAGCCUUCGCAUACCAGCCUCCAAAACCUUCCAAAACAACCCCAAACCUCACAUACUCUCUCCCAAGCAUGCAUACACACUCCCACAAGCAAAGAGAGCUAGGAAACUAACAUAAACUCCUAAACACAUCAUCACAUAACAUACAUUGGGCAUAAAACCCACAUAAACCCUUAAACAUGCAUAUCUACCCAUCUCCAACAUAAAACCUCAUAAAACUUACUUUAGACUUCAUUAAAACUCAAGGGAAGCAAGAUCUACACUUACCUCUUGAAGAUCGAGGGUUGGUGUGAUCUCUAACUCGGAGGUGUGGAGGAUCCAAGCUCCAAAAGCUCCAAGCUCCCACAACUCCUCUUUUAGCUUUAAAACUUCAAACCAAGGGUAGAUCUCAUGAACAACAUGAAGGAUUUGAAGAAAAGACACACAAGGAACCAAGGGAGGGCAGAAACUCACCUGAGGUCGAGAAUGGGGAGAAAACUCGCCCAUUUCCGAUCUGAGGGCUCUUUAUAGGUGGCCUGGUCAUCAACCUUCGGCAGCCUAACGUGCCCCCUAAACUCAUGCAAGUUCGGCGGCCGAACUUCACUUUCGGCGGCCGAACCUUGGCUUGCUCCAACAAAGCUUUCGGAGGCCAAAGGCGCUCCCGAAGCCUUUACAUGUUCGGCGGCCGAACUUACUUUCGGCGGCCGAACCUCUGAUUUUCCCUCCUUGGCCUUUUCUCUUCAAAACUCAACCCCUUUCCUUUUAAAACCAUAAAACACUUAAAAACAUUUUAGAAAACCUUUCCUUUACCCUUACUCUACCCCUCAAAGAGGAUCCGACACCCGAGAUUCCACCGGACGGUAGGAAUUCCGAUGUCUGAACGAGCGGGGUCUUACAAGAUCUGACACAAACUUUCGUAACAUGGAAACAUGGAAGACCGGAUGGAUUCUCUCCAUAGAAGCAGGUAAAUCUAACUUGUACAACACAUUCCCGACCUUCUGCAAGAUCGCGAAGGGUCCGAUGUACCGUGAAGCUAGCUUACCUUUCUUCCCAAAACGAACCACCCCUUUCAUUGGAGACACCUUUAGCAAUACCAGAUCCCCCUCCUGGAACUCUAUAUGCUUCCUGCGGACAUCUGCAUAGCUCUUCUGCCGACUAACAGCAGUUCUAAGCCUUUCUCUAAUAAUGGGCACUACCCUGUUGGUAAUCUCUACCAACUCAGGCCCUGCUAAGGACCUCUCUCCAACUUCCUCCUAACAAACAGGUGACCUGCACUUCCUCCCAUACAGAGCUUCAUAUGGAGCCAUCCCUAUGCUAGCAUGAUAGCUGUUAUUGUAGGCAAACUCCACCAAGGGUAGAUGCUGCCUCCAAGUACCGCCAAAAUCUAGCACACACAUUCUGAGCAUAUCUUCUAUGGUGUGGAUGGUCCUCUCUAACUGUCCGUCAGUCUGUGGAUGGAAAGCAGUGCUAAAGUCCAACCUUGUGCCCAUAGCAUUUUGCAGACUCUGCCAAAACCUGGAGGUGAACUGGGGUCCCCUAUCUGACACUAUAGAAACGGGAGCCCCAUGCAGCCUGACAACUUCCUCAACAUACACCUGCGCCAAUUUUUCCACAGAGUAGCCACUUCUGACAGGGAUGAAGUGAGCAGAUUUGGUCAGUCUGUCCACAAUCACCCAUAUGGAAUCUAGUCUGUUGGACGCUGCCGGUAACCCCACUACAAAAUCCAUAGCUAUAUUCUCCCAUUUCCACUCUGGAAUCGGUAGUGGGUUAAGCAUUCCAGCUGGCUUCUGAUGUUCUAACUUCACCCUCUGACAUACCUCGCAGGCUGACACAAACUGUGCCACUUCUCUUUUCAUAGCUGGCCACCAAUAAACUCUCUUCAGAUCUUGAUACAUCUUGGUGGCUCCAGGGUGAACACUGUACCUGGCAUUAUGAGCUUCCCUCAUAAUGUCUCCCUUCAGACUUAUGUCAUUUGGUACACAUAACCUGUUCCCAUAGCGGAGGAUCCCUUCGUCGUCGAAUCUGAACUCAUCACUCUUGCCUGACUGAACAGUCCUGGCAAUCUUUACUAACUCUGGGUCCUCGUGCUGUUUCUGAGCCACCUGCUCCAGAAACACGGGUGUAACUCUCAUCUGAGCUAUCAAAGCACCUGUACCAGAUAACUCUAAUUGUAACCCUUCAUCAACAAGCCUAUAGAAUUCCUUCACCACCGGCCUCCUCUCUGCUCUGAUAUGGGAUAAACUGCCAAGUGAUUUCCAGCUUAGGGCAUCUGCCACAACAUUUGCCUUACCCGGAUGGUACUGUAUUUUGCAAUCAUAGUCACUAAGCAGUUCUACCCAUCUCCUCUGCCUCAAAUUCAAUUCUCUCUGACUCAAGAUGUGCUGCAGGCUCUUAUGAUCUAUGAAGAUCUCACAUUUAACCCCAUAGAGGUAAUGCCUCCAUAUUCUGAGUGCAAAGAUCACAACUGCCUUCUCUAGGUCAUGUGUAGGAUAGUUCAACUCAUGCUUCUUCAGCUGCCUAGAAGCAUAAGCAAUCACUCUAUUAUUCUGCAUCAACACACAACCCAGUCCCACUCGGGACGCAUCACAAAACACUGUGAAGUCUUCAUUACUGGUAGGCAGAGCUAACACCGGUGCUGAAGUCAACCUUCCCUUUAGCUCUUCAAAACUCUCUUCACACUGGUCAGACCAUAUAAACUUCUGGUUUUUCCUGGUCAAUCUGGUCAUAGGAGCAGCAAUUUUAGAGAAGUCCUAAACGAACCUCCUAUAGUAGCUUGCGAAACCCAGAAAGCUCUUAAUCUUUGUCACUGUGGUGGGUCUAGACCAGUUCGCUAGAGCCUCUAUCUUCUUAGGGUCCACUGCUAUUCCUUGGUCUGACACAACAUGCCCCAAGAAAGAAAUGCUCCUCAGCCAGAACUCACACUUGGAGAACUUGGCAUACAAGCCAUGCUCUCUCAAGGUCUGUAAAACUAUCCUCAGAUGAUGGGCAUUCUCCUCUGCAUCUCUGGAAUACACUAAGAUAUCAUCAAUAAAGACAAUAACAAAUUUAUCCAGAUACUGUCUGAAAACUCUAUUCAUGAGAUCCAUGAAUGCUGCAGGGGCAUUGGUCAACCCGAACGACAUUACUAGAAACUCAUAAUGCCCAUAUCUGGUCCUGAAAGCUGUCUUUGGCACAUCCUCUUCUCUGAUUCUCAACUGGUGAUACCCUGAUCUCAGAUCUAUUUUAGAAAAACAACCUGCUCCUGCUAGCUGGUCAAAUAGAUCGUCGAUCCUGGGUAGAGGAUACUUGUGCUUGGUAGUGACUUUGUUCAACUGCCUGUAGUCGAUACAAAGUCUGAGAGAUCCAUCCUUCUUCUUUACAAACAACACUGGAGCACCCCAAGGCGAGGUACUGGGUCAGAUGAAACCCUUAUCUACCAACUCUUGCAACUGUUCCUUUAACUCUUUUAACUCUGCUGGUGCCAUUCUGUAGAGAGGGAUAGAGAUCGGUCUGGUACUAGGCAAUAACUCUAUUUCGAACUCUAUCUCCUUAUCAGGUGGUAGUCCUGGAAGCUCGUCUGGGAACACAUCUGGAAACUCUCUGACUACAGGCACUGAGGUGGGUUCCCUAACCUGACUAUCAAGCCCUCUCACAUGAGCUAGAAACCCCUGACAACCCCUCCUGAGCAACCUACGAGCCUGUAGGGCUGAUAUCAAACCUCUCGGCGUGCCCCUACUAUCUCCUUUGAAGACAAACUCUGAUCCAUCCUGAUCUCUGAACCUGACUACCUUGUCUCUACAGUCCAAGGUAGCACCAUGAGCAGAUAGCCAAUCCAUCCCUAGAAUGACAUCAAAAUCUGUUAAAUCUAGAACCACAAGGUCGGCUGGAAGGCAUCUACCAUCUAUAAACACUGGACUAUAACGGCAGACUGACUCUGCCACUGAUGGAUCACACUUGGGCCCACUGACCCAAAGGGGGCACUCUAACCCAGAAGUCAUCAAACCCACUCUCUCUAUGGCUCUCGGAGCAACAAAAGAAUGAGAAGGAACGGGGUCUAACAAAGCAUACACAUCAGAACAACCAAUGAUGAGAUUACCUGACACCACGGUGUUAGACGUGUUAGCCUCCUGCUGUGUCAUAGUGAAGAUCCGAGCUGGAGCUGACAGACCUUCACCUCGGGAACCUGCCGAAGAAGAGGCUGACCCUCUCCCUCUACCUCUGCCCUGUACCAUGGCUGGAGCUGAUGGCUGAGCCAUACUGCCUGGAGCUGACUGCUGGGACGAUGCCAUGAAAACAACCCUAGGAUACUCCCGAGCCAUGUGACCCUCUUGGCCGCACCUGAAACAUGUUGUUGUCCCAAACCGACAGACUCCCCUGUGCGGCUUACCGCACUUCAUACACUGUGCAACCUUUGUGCCUGAGCUCGAGCCACCUCCUAAACUCAGACCUGACUUUAGCUUAUUCCAGAACUUGUUCUUCUUUGGCUUGUUCGUGGAACCACUCCACCUUUUACCGCCUGAAGCUGCUGCACUCUGGGAAGAGGGAUCUGAUUUUUCCCUACCUGGGGUCUUAGAACCCGAAGACUGUGCCACCUGCUGUUUAACAGUUUCCUGUAUAAUAGCACUAGCCUCCAUCUUUCGUGCAAUAUCCACCACAGUGUGGAAACUCUCCCUCUCCGCUGCUAGUAUCAAGGAGGAAUACCUAGGAUGAAGCCUCAUAGUAUACCUCCUAGCCUUCUUCUGGUCUGUAUCAUAGGCAUGACCCACAUACUGCAGCAACUCCAAGAACCGGUCAGUGUAUUCAUCAACACUCAUAUCCUCCGUCUGUCUCAGCUGUUCAAACUCUAUCAUCUUUAGCUCUCUGGAACUGUCCGGAAAAGCCCAUCCAGCAAACUCAUUUGCAAACUCUCCCCAAGACAUGUUAUCCAGUCUAGGCUCCACAUAGCUAUUAAACCACUCUUUUGCCUUCUUGCAUUUCGGAGUGAAACCCGCCAUUUGAAUGGCUCUGCUAUCACUCGCUUCUAGCUCAUCUGCUAUCAUCUUGACCAUUUUAAGAUAUUCAAACGGAUCAUCUCCUAUUUUGUACUUAGGAGUAUCCAGCUUCAGAUAAUCAGUCAUCUUUACUUUGCUCCUCUCAGAUGGGCCAGGUUGAGGUGUUUGGAUAACAGGGGCUAUUGGUUCUGCUGGUGGUGGAUGAGGUGCAGAACUUCCUGGAGCAGGGUUUGCUGGACUUGGGUAGAAGGGUGAGGGUGGAUACAUGGGGUACGGUGGAUAUGGUGGGUAAAAAGGUGGAUAAGGCAUAAAGGUGGGAUAUGGGUUAAAACUAGGAUAAUCCGAUGUACCCCCAUCGAAUAUCCUGGGCCCUGAGGAAAGGGCUGAUAUUGGGGUGGAUAACCAAACCCCGAGGCCUGAGCGCCUCCAUGCGAUGAUCCCAUACCCUCCUCAGACAUGCCAACACCUAACCUCCAUCUCUUCUCUGGUCAACAUCCAUCUCUUCCCUCACAUCAGAUCUUUUACCUUACUCUGUUUCCCUGCUUUCAUCAAAAGACCUUCUAGGGUCCCUUGAUGCUCUUUCUCUCCCUGUCCUCUGAGACAUUGCCCUUGGCAAAGCAGGGGGACGGGCAUCUAUGCCCUCAUUUUCUAGCGGAGCUUUAGUCAAUCUAGCAAAUCGACGAGUUCCUUUCAUCCUUACUUCUGAAAACAUAACAUGUACACAUAAACAUUAGCAUCAUAUGGUCCAUGUGGAAACACAUGAACCCUCAUCACAUACAUAGCAUAUCAUUCUAUGCACAUGCAUAAAAUCAUGGCAUUACACAUCAUCAUCAAGAUAGGACUCCACAUCCUAUCCUAGUGGACAUGAUCUUUCCUAUUGUGCUUGCCCUUCUAAAACCUCUAUGAGCCCAAAACACUCUAUAGGUCCGAUCAUAUGAACCUAGGGCUCUGAUACCAAUCUGUAACGACCUGAAAACCGGACCGCUACCGGCGCUAGGAUUCAGAUCGACUUAAGGUCGUCGGAACCCGUAGCAAGCCUACUAUGCACUAUGUGUACCUGUUAAAUCCCAUACAUGAUCAUCCAUUUCCAUAAAAAAAUUUAAACUUUUCAUUCACCAAGCUCGACCUGUGCAUGCACUAACUCUGUAAACAUAAAACCACAUACUAGAGCCUUCAUCAAAUGCUCUAGAUGGGUCAUCAAGCUUGGUUUCAUCAUUAAACAUUUCAUUACAUUCAUAACGAUCAUGGAUAAAAAGGGAUUAAAUAUAUUCUAGGGCCAAGCACAACACUAUAACUCUGUAUACAUUACAUCUCUGUACAUUUCAUAACUUUGCUUUACAUAAUUUCUUUACAUCAUUUCUUUAUAUCAUUUCUUUACAUCAUGUCCACUGCUGUACAUACACUUAGACUUUACCCCUUGCUGUUACUCUGUCUUCUCUCUGAGGCCCUGAAACAUGGGGGUUAGGGAGAGGGGUGAGCUACUAGAGCCCAGUGAGUAGAAUCAUAAAAAACAUUUAAAUACAUAUGCUAUUAUGGAAUGCAUCACAUCACAACUAAAGCACAUCACGGACGGACUGAUCCAAAAAUCCCUCGGCUCUGUGCCCGGCCCUCAAAGGAGCUCCUCAGGACUUCUGUUACAUACAAAUGUGCCCGGCCCUCGGUGGGGCUCCUCAGGACUUCUUUACAUGACAUGACAUAAUAUCCCAAGGGCUAAUGGAUCCUACUCUGUGCCCAUCCACAUUCACAAGAAAUAAUGCAAUGCGUCAUAUUCGUGAUUACUAAUGCAAUACAACCUAGUAUACACAUGGCAUUUAUGAUGCAUGAUUCAUGCUAAAACUUUCAUUUAAUUUAAAACAUAGUCAGUUCCACUCACCUCUAGCAACUGCUGAACAACCUCUGAAAGACUAACUCUGUGGGCCUCAUUGGUUCCUCGGGUUUGCACCUACACAGGUGGACUCAAAUGAGGUACCAAACAUACUCUAACAUAGCUAUAAACAUCUCCCCAAAAACUCCCUAAAACAUCAUAAACAUGCAUGGAAAAACGGGCAAAGGAAGGCUGGACAGGGCACUUUCGGCGGCCGAAAGUCCCUCCAGAGCCGAAAGUUAUGCACUUUCGGGGGCAAGGUUCGGUGGCCGAAAGACCCUCAAGAGCCGAAAGUCCAAACCUUUGGCGGCAUGUUCGGCGGCUGAAACUCUCUUCCAGAGACGAAAGUCCAAACUUUCGGGGGCGAGUUUAGGCGGCCAAAAUAGCCUCCUCAAGGGGUUCGGCGGCCGAAACUACCUUCGGCGGCCGAACCUGAGUUCUCCAAGAAGGCAAAACUCGGGUCUAACACAUAUACUCAGCCUCCAAAACCUUUCCCAACAGUUUAAACAUGCCUCCAACCUCUCAAACACAUGCAUAUACCCUUAUCCAUGUACAUAGGGGCUUAAAAAACUAGCUUAAAACCUCAAAAACACAUCAUAGGAACAUGAACAUCUCAUGAUCAACAUAAACCUUUAACCUCUAAUCAUGCAUAAAAACUCCCUUAAACCCUUUAAACAUGCUUAAAACAUAAGGGGAGGUGAGGAUCCAUGCUUACCUCUUGAAGAUCGAGAGGAUUGAUGGUCCUAACUCGGAGAUGUCAAGGGAAAACGAUCCAAAAUCUCCAAGCCGUAAAACUUUACUUCUUUGCUUAAAAUCUUCAAAACCAAGUUCAAAGCUCUUUAAAACUUUCCAAGAACUUGAAGAAAACAUGAAAUCAACCAAAGGAGAGCAUAAACUCACCUUGGUUCGGGAAGAGGAAGAAAACUUACUCCUCUCCCAAUCAAGGGGCCUUUUAUAGGUGGCCUGGUCAACCAUUUCCGGCGGCCAAACCUGCACCCGCAACUGAACCAAGUUCGGCGGCCAAACCUGGCUUUCAGGGGCAGCAAAAGCUAGCCACUUUCGGUGGCCGAACUUCAAUUUUCCCUCCUUGGCCUUUUGCUUUUCAAAACUCUUUUUUUUUUUGCUAAAAAACAUAAAAACAUGGAAAAACAUUUUGAAAAACCUUUGUUUUACCCUUCAGGAAGGCUCCGACAUCCGUGACAUUCCGGAUUCCAACUGAGAUUCCGCCGUAAAGUAGGAAUUCUGAUGCCGGGGUCUAGCCGGAUAUUAUAGGUAUCAGAGCCCUAGGUUCACAUGGUCGGACUUAGAGUGUCGGGCUCAUAGAGGUUAUAGAAGGGCAAGCACAAUAGGAAAAAUCAUGUCCACUAGGAUACGAUGUAGAGUCCUGUCUAUAUGAUGAUGUGAAAUGCCAUGAUUUUAUGCAUGCGCAUUAUUGAUAUGUGAUGUAUGUGAUGCGGGUUCAUGUGUUUCCACAUGAGCCAUAUGAUGCUAAUGUUGUGCUAUGUGAUGUUUUGUUCAGAAACAAAAUGCGAGGCACUCGUCGAUCGACACGAUUGACUUGAGUACCACUGGAGGAUGAGGGCAUGAGCACCUAUCCCCCAGCAUUGCCAAGGGCAAUGUCUAGUAGGUCCAGUAGAGAAGGGGGAGUAAGAGACCCUAAAAUGUCUUUGGAUAUAAGCAGGAGCAGAUCGGUAAGGGGUACAGAGCAGGGUGGAAGUUCAGCUGAGGUGAGGGAAGUUAUGGAUGUUGAUCAGAGGAGAGAUGGAAGCUUGGGCGUAAGCAUGUCUGAGGAAGGUUCAAGGGAGUCCCAAGGAGGCGCUCAGGCCUCGGGGUUUGGUUAUCCACCCCAAUAUCCACCUUUUCCUCAAGGACCAGGGUAUCCGAUGGGAGGUACAUCGGAGUACUCCGGCUUUAGCCCAUACCCUUCCCACAUGCGAUACCCUCCUUUUUACCCACUAUACCCUCAGUACCCUAUGUAUCCACCCCCACCCUUCUAUCCAAACCCAGCAAACCCUGCCUUAGGGAAUGUUGCACCUCCUCCACCACCAGCAGAACCAGUUGUCCCAGAUAUCCAAACACCAAAACCUAGCUCAUCUGGAGGGAGCAAAGUGAAAAUGAUCGACUACCUGAAGUUGGAUGCUCCUAAGUUUGAUACAGGGGCUGAUCCGUUUAAGUACCUCAAAACGGUGAAGAUGAUCACAGAUGAGUUGGGGGUGGAUGACAGUAGAGCCAUUCAGAUGGCUGGGUUCACUUUGAAGUGCAAGAAGGCACGGGAUUGGUUUAAGCACUAUAUGGACUCGAGGUUGGACGGCAUGUCAUAGGAAGUUUUCGCCAAUGAGUUUGCAGGAUGGGAUUUCCCUGAUAGCUCCAGGGAGUUGAAGAUGAUUAAGUUCAAGCAAUUAAGGCAGACAGAAGAGAUGAGUGUAGAUGAGUACAGAUGAGUACACUGAUAAAUUCCUGGAGCUGUUGCCGUUUGCAGGACAAGCCUAUGACACCGACCAGAAGAAGACUAGGAGGUAUAUCAUGAAACUUCAUUCUAGGUAUUCCUCCUUGGUCCAAUCAGCAGAAAGGGAGAACUUCCAUGCCAUAGUGGAUAUGGCUAGGAAGAUGGAGGCUAGUGCAAUCAUCGAAGGGAAGGUUAAACAGUCAAUGGCUCAGACUUCAGCUUCUAAAGCGCCAAGCAGUGUAAAGAUGCAUAGAUCCAAGUCCAAGAAAAGAAAGUUCUGGAACAAGAUAAAGUCCGGUCUGGGAAUGGGAGGUGGCUCAAGCUCUGGCUUGGGCGGUCCUACUUGUAUGAAGUGUGGUAAGCCGCACAAAGGAAUCUGCCGGGCUGGAACGACUGCAUGUUUCGGAUGUGGGCAAGAAGGACACAUGGCUCGGGAGUGUACUAGAGCAGCUUUUAUGGCACAAUCCCAGCAGACGGGUUCUGGUAGCGUAGCCCAACCAGUAGCUCCAGCCUCGACUCAGGGCAGCGGCAGAGGCAGAGGCAGAGGGAGAGGGGCAGCCUCUUCUUCAAGUUCCCGGGGGGAAGGUCCGUCAGCUUCAGCUCGGAUCUUCACCAUGACAUAGCAGGAGGCAAACACGUCUAACACUGUGGUGUCAGAUAAUCUCAUCAUUGGUUGUUCUGAUGUGUAUGCUUUGAUGGACCCUGGUGCAUCUCAUUCUUUUGUGGCUCCGAGAGCAGUUGAGAGGUUGGGUUUGUUGGUCUCUGGGUUAGAGUGUCCCCUCUGGGUCAGUGGACCCAAGUGUGACCCGUCUGUGGCAGAGUCAGUCUGCCGAUUUAGUCUAGUGUUCAUAGAGGAUAGAUGCCUUCCAGCCGACCUUGUGGUUCUAGACUUGAUGGAUUUUGAUGUCAUUCUAGGGAUGGAUUGGCUAUCUACCCAUAGUGCUACCUUAGACUGUAGAGACAAGGUAGUCAAGUUCAGAAGUCAGGAUGGGUCAGAGGUCAUCUUCAGGGGAGACAGGAGGGGUACGCCUAGAGGUCUGAUAUCAGCCCUACAGGCUCGUAGGUUGCUCUGGAGGGGUUUUCAGGGUUUUCUAGUGCACGUGAGAGAGAUCGACAGUCAGGUUAGGGAGCCCGCCUCAGUGCCCGUGGUCAAAGAGUUUCUAGAUGUUUUCCCAGACGAGCUUCCAGGACGACCACCUGCUAGGGAGAUAGAGUUUGAAAUAGAAUUAAUGCCUGGAACCAGACCAGUCUCUAUCCCUCCAUACAGGAUGGCGCCAGCAGAGCUAAAAGAGUUAAAGGAGCAGUUGCAAGAGUUGGUAGAUAAGGUUUUCAUCCGACCGAGUACCUCACCUUGGGGUGCUCCAGUGCUAUUUGUGAGAAAGAAGGAUGGAUCCCUCAGACUUUGUAUCGACUACAGACAGUUGAACAAGGUCACUACCAAGAACAAGUAUCCGUUGCCUAGGAUCGACGAUCUAUUCGACCAGCUAGCCGGAGCGGGUUGUUUCUCUAAGAUAGAUCCGAGGUCCGGGUAUCACUAGCUGAGAAUCAGAGAAGGAGAUGUACCAAAGACAACGUUCAGGACCAGAUAUGGGCAUUAUGAGUUCCUAGUGAUGCCGUUCGGGAUAACCAAUGCCCCUGUAGCAUUCAUGGAUCUCAUGAACAGGGUUUUCAGUCAAUAUCUGGAUCACUUUGUUAUUGUCUUCAUUGAUGAUAUCUUAGUGUAUUCCAGAAACGCAGAGGAGCAUGCCCAGCAUCUGAGGAUUAUUUUACAGACCCUGAGAGAGCACGACUUGUAUGCCAAGUUCUCCAAGUGUGAAUUCUGGUUGAGGAGCAUCUCAUUCUUUGGGCAUGUUGUGUCAGAAAAUGGAAUUGAAGUGGACCCCAAGAAGGUAGAAGCUGUAGCUAACUGGCCUAGACCCACUACAGUCACAGAGAUCAAAAGCUUUCUGGGUUUGGCAGGUUACUACAGGAGGUUCAUUCAGGACUUUUCGAAGAUUGCAGCUCCUAUGACCAGGUUGACCAAGAAGAAUCAGAAGUUUGUUUGGUCAGACCAGUGCGAGGAAAGUUUUGAAGAGCUAAAGAAGAGGUUGACGUUAGCACUGGUGUUAGCUCUGCCUAUCAGUGGGGAGGGUUUCACAGUGUUUUGUGAUGCGUCCUGUGUGGGACUGGGUUGUGUGUUAAUGCAGAAUGAGAGGGUGAUUGCUUAUGCUUCGAGACAGCUGAAGAAGCACGAGUUGAAUUACCCUACACAUGACCUAGAGAUGGCGGCUGUGAUCUUCGCGCUCAAGAUGUGGAGGCAUUACCUGUACGGGGUAAAAUGUGAGAUCUUCACCGAUCAUAAGAGUUUACAAUACAUCUUGAGCUAGAGAGAGUUGAACCUGAGGCAGAGAAGAUGGGUAGAACUGCUUAGUGACUACGAUUGCAAAAUUCAGUACCAUCCGGGUAAGGCGAAUGUUGUGGCAGACGCCCUAAGCCGGAAAUCACUUGGCAGUUUAUCCCAUGUUACAACAGAGAGAAGACCAGUGGUGAGAGAGUUUUACAAGCUCGUUGAUGAAAGGUUACCGCUAGAGUUGUCUAGUACAGGUGCUUUAAUAGCUCAGAUGAGAGUGACACCCGUGUUUCUGGAGCAGGUGGCGCAGAAACAGCAUGAGGACCCCGAGUUAGUGAAGAUAGCAAGAGCAGUUCAAACAGGCAAGAAUGAAGAGUUAAGAUUUGACAACAAAGGGAUCCUCCGCCACGGGAGUAGGUUGUGUGUACCAGAUGACAUAAGUCUAAAAGGAGACAUUAUGAGAGAGGCUCAUAAUGCCAGAUACAGUGUUCACCCUGGAGCCACCAAAAUGUACCAAGAUCUGAAGAGAGUUUAUUGGUGGCCAGCUAUGAAGAGAGAAGUGGCACAGUUCGUGUCCGCCUGCGAAGUAUGUCAGAGGGUGAAGCUGGAACAUCAGAAGCUGGCUGGAAUGCUUAACCCACUGCCAAUUCCAGAAUGAAAAUAGGAGAAUAUAGCUAUGGAUUUCGUGGUGGGGUUACCGGCGACGUCCAACAGACUAGACUCCAUAUGGGUGAUUGUGGACAGACUGACCAAAUCUGCUCAUUUCAUCCCGGUCAGGAGUGGCUAUUCUGUGGACAAAUUGGCACAGGUCUAUGUGAAAGAGGUUGUCAGGUUGCAUGGGGCUCCCGUAUCAAUAGUGUCAGAUAGAGGACCCCAGUUUAUCUCCAGAUUUUGGCGGAGUCUGCAGAAUGCCAUGGGUACCAAGUUAGACUUCAGCACUGCUUUCCAUCCACAGACAGACGGACAGUCAGAAAGGACCAUCCAAACCAUAGAGGAUAUGUUAAGAAUGUGUGUGCUAGAUUUUGGAGGUUCUUGGAGGCAGGAUCUACCCUUGGUGGAGUUCGCCUACAACAACAGUUACCAUGCUAGCAUCGGGAUGGCUCUUUAUGAAGCUUUAUAUGGGAAGAAGUGCAUGUCGCCUAUCUGCUGGGAAGAAGUGGGAGAAAGGGCUCUUGCAGGGCCAGAGUUAGUAGAGAUCACCAGCAGAGUAGUGCCCAUUAUCAGAGAAAGAAUCAAGACUGCUGUGAGCAGGCAAAAGAGUUAUGCAGAUGUCCGCAGGAAGCAUCUAGAGUUUCAAGAGGGAGAUAUGGUGUUGCUCAAAGUGUCUCCUAUGAAAGGGGUGGUUCGUUUUGGGAAGAAAGGUAAGCUAGCUUUGAGGUACAUCGGACCCGUUGAAAUCUUGCAAAAGAUUGGGAACGUGUCGUACAAGAUGGACUUGCCUGCUUCAAUGGAGAGAAUCCAUCCAGUGUUCCAUGUUUCUAUGUUACGAAAAUUCGUGUCAGAUCCGGGCAAGGUUCUUAGUGAGCCAGAUGUAGAGAUCUCAGGGGAUCUCACCUAUGAUGAGCAGCCAGUACGGAUCCUGGACACGCAGAUCAGAAAGUUGAGAAACAAGGAAAUACCGAUGGUGAAAGUCCUUUGGAACCACCACAACAUGGAAGAAUAUACCUGGGAGACACGGGAGUCUAUGCUCCAGCAGUACCCUUAUCUCUUCUAAGGUAAGUGUUUUAUGUUUUUAUGUGUAUGUUUAUGUUUAUGCUUUUCAUGUGCUAGUUGAGGAACAUUCGGGGACAAAUGUUCUUAAGGGGGGGAGAAUGUAAUACCCGGCUAGACUACGGUGUCGAAAUUCCUACCGUCCGGUGGAAUCUCGGAUGUCGGAAACCUCUAGAAGGGUAAAAAGUAUGUUUUUAUAAAAUGUUUUAAUGUAUUAUAUAGUUUUAAGUAAGAAAGAAAUUGAGUUUUGAAUGAAAAUGACCUUGGAGGGAAAUCCAGGUUCGGCCGCCGAACCUACAUGAGUUGUGGAGUCACUUUCGGCUUUCGAAGGUGGCCUGGCUAGCCACCUAUAAGAGGCCCCAUGGCCGAAAAUGGGCGAGUUUUCUUUCCCAUUUCUGGCCAGAGGUGAGUCCAUGCCCUCCCAUGGUUGGUUUUGAUGAUUUUCCCCAAAUCUUUUAAGUUUUAACAAGUGUUUACUUGGUUUUGAAGAUUUUUGGAGCUAAGAUCAAGAUUUGAAGCUUGGAGACCUAAGAGCUUUCUUUCUCCAUUUCUCCAAGUUUAGGUCGCCUCCCCUCUCGAUCUUCAAGAGGUAAGAGUAGAUCUUUAGCUCAUUUCAUGUUUUACACAAGUUUUAUGAGGUUUAUGGGGUAGAAAUGCAUGUUUAGGUUAAUAUUGAGUUUAUGGAUAAUGUAUGUUGUAUAUGUUUGUUAGAUGUGUUAUUAUUGGGGUUUAGGAUAGUUUGAGGCCCCUAUAUGCUUAUGGAAGUGAGUAUGCAUGUUGUAGAAUAGCUAAAUGCAUGUUUGGAAAGUUUGGGAGGCAUUUGUGCAUAAGAGAGGCUGAGUUCUGCCACUUUGGAAGAACUCAGGUUCGGCAGCCGAAGGGACUUUCGGCCGCCGAACCUGCCUGUGGUUGGACUUUCGGCUAUGGAACCACCUUCGGCCGCCGAAGGUGCCGCCGAAAGUGGCUGAGUUUCGGCUCUGGAGGGACUUUUGGCCGCCUAACCUGCCGCCAAAAGUGCCCUGUUCAGCCUUCCUUUGCAUGUUUUCUAUGAAUGUUUUGAGGUGUUUUAGGGGGUUUUUGGGGAGUUGUUUAGAGUUUUGUUAGUAUAUGUUUGGUCCCUCAUUUGAGUCCACCUGUGUAGGUUCGGACCCGAGGAACCGAGGAGGUCAGCAGUGCUAGCUGCUUCAGAGUCUUCAGAGUCAGCCAGAGGUGAGUAGAACUGAACUGUAUUUUAAAUUAAUGAAAGUUUUAGCAUGAUUCAUGCAUCAUAAAUGCCAUGUAUGUUUUAGGUUGCAUUGUAUUAGUAUUCACGAAGAUGAUGCAUUGCAUUCUAUGUUGUUGGUGGUGAUGGAUUUUGGAUGAACCUUUAGCCCUCGAUAUGUCCAAUGUUGAGAAAGUCCAAGGCUGCCCAUGUCCACGCGUCUUGGCAUUAUCUGAUAGAAGUCCUGCGGAGCUCCGACGAGGGCCGGGCACAUUGGGUGAGAGGGAUAUUGGUGACAAGUCCAUCCAUGAUGUGAAUUGUAUGUGUUAUGAUGCAUUCCAUGAAAGCAUGAUUUAUGAUAAUGUUUUAUGGUUCUGUUCACUGGGCUUUUUAGCUCACCCCAUUCCCUUAACCCCAGGUUUGCAGGUACGAGACAGUCAGGGAGGUUAGCUAGAGUAGGAAGGUUUUAUGUAUGUAAUAGUUAGUUGUAGACAUGAGAAUAUUGUAAUGUAAAGUAUUGAAUAGACAUGUAAUGUAAUGAUGUAUUUUGAGGGUUAGUAUUGUGCUUGACCCUAGUAUGUAUAGUUAAUCCCUUUUGUAUACAUGAUCUAUAUAAUGUUUUAUGUUAACCAAGCUUAAUGUAUAUUAUGUUACCCCAUUGGAGCAUUUGAUGAGGGCUCCAGUGUGGGGUUUAUGUUAUGAGUUUAUGCAUGUACAGGUUAAGCUUGGUAAAUGAAAGAAAAAGUUUACAGUUUUAAGUAUAUGUAUAAUCAUGUAUGGGAUUUAACAGGCUUUCAGGAUGUAUGUUAGGCUUGCUACGGGUUCCGGCGGCCUUAAGCCGACCUGAAUCCUAGCGCCGGUAGCGGUCCGGUUUCCAGGUCGUUACAUUUGGAGUCCUUUGAAGUGACCAUAGAAGAAUGGAAGGUCUGGGUAGAUGGAGCUUGCGGGGCUGGGGGAUUAGGAAUCGGGAUCUUUUUGCAUUCUCAAACUGGUAUAAAGUUUCGAUAUGCAACAAAACUCACCUUCAAAGCCACCAACAAUGUAGUUGAGUGCAAGGCAGGUUUCACAAGAUCAUGUCACAAGGCGGUUCCCACCACACCACUCGGGCGUUGGUCUAUUAAACAAGGCCAUAAGACGGUUUUCACCAGGUUAGGUCACCAGGCAGUUCCCGCCCAACCACUCAGGAGUUAGUCUCACUAAAUAAGGCCACAAGGUAGUUUUUGCUAGGUUAGAUCAUAAAGCGGUUCUCGUCAGACCAUUUGGGCGUUGGUCCCACUAAAUAAGGGACAAGAAAGUUUUUGCCAGGCUAUAAGGCAGUUCCUGCUAAACCAUUUGGACGUUGGUCCCUGUAAACAGGUCACCCGCGCUAAGAGAACUGAGAAGCGGUUAUACUAAUCCCCAAAGGAUGAGGGGUAAGCCGAUCUAAGAUCAAAGGAUAAUUUAAAGCCAAGAAUCAAGAUGAAUAAAAAUCACUUAUUAUAAAAAUACACAUGAUAUCAUACGAGGCAGAGGCGAGUACUUGCCAGUCCACAUUUUCAGUUAUUACUCUAUUUUACUAAAGUUUUAUAAGGAACAUUCGCUAAUUCGGGAGUUAAAAUCUGCAGAUGGAUAUGUCUUUGCUACAGAAUAAGAUAGGCAAAAUAAGCAUUUUUUAUUACAAAUAAUUACAAGAAGAUAAAAGGUGUUAUGGAUAUGUCUUUGCUACAGAAUAAGAUAGGCAAAAUAAGCAUUUUUUAUUACAAAUAAUUACAAGGAGAUAAAAGGUGUUGAGAAUCGAAUAAUCACACAAUCUAAAAAUAAGCACGAAAAGAAAUUAACACACAGAUUUAAUGUGGUUCACCAAUUUGGCUACAUCCACAGUGGCUAGAGUUUUCUUAUUUCUCUGUGAGUUUUGAAACAGAAUACACUAGGAGAAUAUUACAUAUUUAUAUGUCUAGAAAAAUAUAAAAAAAAGAUAAAAUAGCUCUAAAAAAAUUCACCUCAGUACCCCCAUUUUCGAGUGGGGGGCUCCCGCCCUCCACACCCCCUAGCCAACUCAGUAUGAAGUUGGAUCCACGAUAAUGGAGCAUGGUGUACAAUUCAUAAUAUAUUAUUAGACUCCAUAUCUUAAUAAUUCUCCUACUUUGAGGCUAAUCCAGCCAACCUAACCAUUUUCAUUCUCCGUGCUAAUGUAUUCAACAAAGACACCUAGCUGUAAAUAUCUUCCAUACUACUAUAGAAGACCAACUGAGACCUUGCACACCCCCAUCUUUCCAGCAUCAACACCUACAGGCAACUCAGUUAAUUCCCAAGUAUCAUUCUUCUCAAGCAACCAUAUUUCAUCACCCAUGGCUUGCUCCCACUUGAUUGAAUCCUUCACCUGCAAAGCCUCAUCAAAGAAUUAUAGUUCCCCUUCAUCAGUCAACAGUAAACAAUACAUGAAAAGUGAAUACCUUUCUGGUGACUUGGUAGCCCUGGUAGAUCUCCUCAACACUGGUGCAGGUGUGACUACCUGCUAUUAUGAUUCUGUAAUAGUAUUUUCUGGAUUCUCUUGUGGUCUUACUGCAAUAUUACUAGGUGAAAUUUCCUGCAACUCAAUAUUAGUUCCUACUUCUUCUGCAUCUUCAGAUAGCACUCCAAAUUUGUCCUUAUACAGGACAUUCUCAUUAAAUGUCACAUCACAGUGUCUCAAAAUCUUCUUAUUUUUGUCCCUCUUUUCUGGAUCAAUGUGAACAUAGGCAGCACACCCAAAAGUCCGCAUAUGAGUAAACUUGACCUCCUUAAUUGACCAAACUUUUAUUGGAAUCUUGAAACCCAAAGGAACUGAAGGUCCACUAUUUAUCAAAUAUGCUGCUGUGCUCGCUGCAUCUGCCCAAAAUAUUUUUGGUAGCCCAACAUGUAGCCUUAUGCUUCUUGCUUGCUCAUUCAACGUUCUGUUCAUCCUUUCAGCAAUCUCAUUCUGUCUUGCCUUGCUAGGAGCUGUCCCGGUGCACUUGAUUCCCUCAUUAGCAUAAAACUUCUUGAAUUAUGUAGAAUCAUAAUCUCCUCCAUUAUCAGACCUUAGACAUUUGAGUUUCAACCUAGUCUGAUUUUCAACUUCAGCCUUCCAUCUCUUAAAAGUGGCAAACACAUCUGAUUUGUGUUUCAAAAAGUAAACCCAUACUCUCUUACUGAAGUCAUCAAUAAAGGUAACAUAGUAUCUCGAACCACUAAGAAAGAAAACUGGGGAUGGCUCCCACAUGUCUGUAUAUACUAGUAUUAACUGUUUUGCCUUUGGUUUUGUGAUAGCUUUUGUGAAACUAACCUGUUUAUGCUUUCCCAGAACAAAACUCUCACAUAAACCCAUAUCAACAAAUUUCAACCCUUGCAAAUACCCUUUUGAAGCUAGCAUCUUCAUUCCUUUCUUGCUCAUGUGUCUAAGCCUGUUGUGCCACAGACUUGAAUUUGAUGUACUGUCAAUUGUAGCAACCAUGUCCGAACACUCUGCAGUAGUGUAUAAAGUUCUAGAUUUUGUGCCCCGUGCUAUCACCAUAACUCAUUUCAUAAUUUUCUAGGAACUCUGCCUAAACACUAUUUUGUAACCCGUACUGUCCAACUAGCCAAUAGAUAUCAGAUUCUUCUUCAAGUCAGGAAUAUAUCUGACAUCCUACAGCUUCCACUUACCCCCACCUGAGGUUUGGAUACAUACACCCCCCUUUCCAGCAAUCUUUAAGGCUUUAUUAUCAGCAAGAUACACCUUCCCAUAAUUUUUAGACUUGAAAUUAUGGAAUAACUAUAUGCUCGAAGAAGAAUGAAAUGAUGCACCUGAAUCAAGUAUCCAUGAGUCAACUAGACUGUCCACACUAAGAAUUAAAGCAUCAUGAAUGUCAUAUGCAGAAUAUACAGAAUCAUCAUCUUCAUGAGACUUGUUCUUUUGGCCUUUAUUCUUCUUAGGUUUAAGGCAGUCCUUUUUAAAGUGUUCCUUUUCACCACAACCCCAAUAGACAAUGUAAUACCCGGCUAGACUCCGACAUCGGAAUUCCUACCGUCCUGUGGAAUCUCGGAUGUCGGAACCCUCUAGAAGGGUAAAAUAUGUUUUUCUAAAAUGUUUUAAUGUUUUAAAGAAAAAGGAAAUUGAGUUUUAAAAGAAAAAGCAAAGAAAAGAGAAUGGAGGAAGAACCCAGGUUCGGCCGCCGAACAUUGGGCGGAUGCGGAGGCACUUUAGGCCCCCGAAAGUGGUCUGGCCAGCCACCUAUAAAGGGGUCCCCUGUCCGAAACGGGUGAGUUUUCUCUCCCCAUUUUCGGCCAAUGUGAGUUUCUGCCAUCCCUCAUCGAUCUUGUGUUCUUCCUUCGAGUGUUUCAUAAUUUUUAUGAGUUUUUAUAUUGUUUUGAAGAUUUUUAAGCUAAAGAGCAAGUUUUGGAGCUUGGAGAUCCUGGAGCUUGAUUUCUCCCAUCUCCGAGUUUGGAUCGCUUCUUCUCUCGUUUUCCAAGAGGUGAGAGUAGAUCCUACCCUUCUUUAGUGUUUUAAUCUGUUUUGAAGGGGUUUGAAGAGGGUUAAUGCAUGUUUUAGAGUAUAUGCACCUUGAUAGGGUUUAUGUUAGUUUUGUGGGUAAUGUAUGUUAUAUGUAUUGCUAGAUGUGUUGUUGUUGGGAUAUAGAUUAGUUCUAAGCCCCUAAAAUGCUUGAAUAUGUGUAUAUGCAUGUUUUAGUGUAGUUGGUUGCAUGUUGGAGAAGUUUGGAGGCUGGAAAAUGGCAAGGCCGAAUCGGGUUCUGCCCUUUGGGAGAGCCAAGGUUCGGCCGCCGAACCUGCCUGUGGAGGCACGUUUUGGCUGUCGAACCUUGCCCCCAAAAGUUGGACUUUUGGCUCUGGAGGGGAGUUUCGGCCGCCGAAGGUGCAUGACUUUCGGCCGCCAAACCUGCCGCCGAAAGUGCCCUAUCCAGCCUUCCUUUGCAUGUUUUCUAUGAGUGUUUUGAGAUGUUUUAGGGGGUUUUUGGGGGAAUGAUUAGAGUCAUGUUAGAGUAUGUUUGGUCCCUUAUUUGAGUCCACCUGUGUAGGUUCGGACCCGAGGAACCGAGGAGGUCAACAGGGCUAGCUGCUUCAGAGCUCGAUCAGAGUCAGCCAGAGGUGAGUAGAACUAAAAACUAAUCUUUUAUUUCAAGAAAUCAAAUGCCUCAAGCAUGUUCAUGCAUCAUGUAUAUAUGUAAUAGGUUGAUUGCACUAGUUUCACGAAUAUGGCGCAUUGCAUUAUUCAUUGUUGGUGUGGAUGGACAACAGGACGAUCCAUUAGCCCUCUGGAUUUUAUUUCAUGUAACAGAAGUCCUGAGGAGUCCCUUGAGGGCCGGGCACAGAGUACAGGAAGACCAGGGUGCCUGCACUAUGCCCCUAGCACAGAGCUUAUGUGUGUAUAACAGAAGUCCUGAGGAGCUCCUUCGCGAGCUGGGCACAGAGCAGAGGGAUUUUUGGAUUAGUCCAUCCGUGAUGUGAUUUGUCUGUGCUGUGAUGCAUUCCAUGAAAGCAUGUAAUUAAUGAACUGUUUUUUUUAUAGUUUCUGCUCACUAGGCUUUUUAGCUCACCCAUUUCCCUUAACCCCCAGGUUGUAGGGACAGAGAUAGCUCAGGAGGGCAGCAAGGGUAAUAGUCAUGGUCAUGUGUAUGUAAUAGUAUAGUAGUGGACAUGAAAUGUAAAAAGUAAUGUAAAGUAAAAUGAUAUUAUGUAAUGUAAUGUAAAGAAGUGUGUUGAGGUGUAGAAUUGUGCUUAGCCCUAUUGUAUGGUUAAUCCCUUGUUGUACAUGAUCUUAACAAAUGUUUUAAAUGAUGUUUAUGGAUAUGUACCCAGCUUGACAUAUGUUAUGUUGACCCACUAGAGCAUUUGAUGAGGGCUCUAGUAGGGGUUUUAUAUUUAUAGUGAUAGUGCAUGCACAGGUCAAGCUUGGGAUAUGGAAAGUUUAAAAUUUUUAUAUAAAUGUAUAAUCAUGUAUGGGAUUUUAUCAGGUACACAGAGUACAUAGUAGGCUUGCUACGGGUUCCGGCGGCCUUAAGCCGACCUGAAUCCUAGCGCCGGUAGCGGUCCAGUUUCCGGGUCGUUACAGACAACCUCGUUUCUUCCAUGAGAUUUUCCCCACCCCUUUGACUUCAAUCGACCAUGUUUACUAUGACCUCUUUUCACCUUGCUCCUGCCUCUACCCUCUACACUAAGUGCGUUACCAGAUGAAUCUCUGAUUUUCUUUUUGCGAAUGCUCUCAUUCAUGAUAACAUUUCGGACUUCAUCGAACUUUAACUUCUCAGACCCAUAUGAAACAGCAGCAUCCCACGACUCAGGUAGAGAGGAUAAUAAAAUUAGGGCUCUUUUCUCAUCAUCAAAAUUAAUCUUGACAGAGUUUAAUUGACUGAUGAUCAUAUUAAAUUCGUUAAUAUGAUUCGUGACAAAUUCAAUUUCAGACAUCUCUAAAUUAAACAAACGAUGCAUCAGAUAUACCUUAUUAAUAGCUAACAGUUUCUCAUACAUAUUCGCCAGAGCUAUCAACAUCCUGCAGUCGUUGUCCCCUUAGUGAUAUUAAAGGUAAUAUUUCUCGCCAAUGUCAAACCAAUCAACCCUGGUGCCUUCAGAUCCUUUAAAUCCCAAACCUCCUAUUUUAUAGUUUCUGGCUUCUCCCCUGACUGGGGUUCAUGGAGGUUAUUCUGAUACAAAAAAUCUUCAAUUUGCAUCUUCCAGAAAUCAAAAUCUAUUCCAUGGAACUUCUCAAUUUGAACCUUCGGGCUUCUCAUGAUCUUUUCAGAUUGUUGUGAUACGAACCAAAAGUUUUGAUACCAGUUAUUGAGAAUCGAAUAAUUACACAAUCUAAAAAUAAGCACGAAAAGAAAUUAACAUACAUAUUUAACGUAGUUCACCAAUUUGGCUACGUCCACGGCGGCUAGGGUUUUCUUAUUUCUCUGUCGAUGCACCAUAAUUUUAAUAGUGCCCAGCUCACAACGGGUGCUUCUUAGGACUUCCUCUUAAACAUAACAUAAUAUAUCCAUAGUGCUACGAGUGUAAAAUGGGCAAUCCUAGUCUUUUCCUUACAUAGUGCCAGGGGCAUAGGAUAGACAAGCCUUGGUCUUUCCAUAUCCUUCAUAACAUAUCAUAACUGGUUGAAGGCUAGUGGGUCAUCCAACAUCCAUCCAUAACAACAAAUAAUUGGGUAAUGCAUCAUAUUCGUGAAUUCUAAUACAAAUAACCUAAUCUUAUAUACAUGGCAUUCGUGAUGCAUGAGUAUGCUUAAAACAUUUGAUUUAUUUAAAAUAAUAGUUCAAUUUAGUUCUACUCACCUCUAGUCGAUGCAAGUCUAGCUUUGAAAUAGUUAUCUCACUGUAAGUUUCUAUGGUCUCCCAAGUCUGAUUCUACAUAGAUGGACUUAAAUAAGAGACCAAAUAUAACUUACAACACUCAAAACUAUCCUAAGAAACCCCUAAAAAUAUAUAAUAGAACAUGUAGAAAACGAGCUGAAAAUGGUUAGACAUGAGAACUUUCAGUGGUAGGUUCGGCGACCUAAAGUCCUCUUACAGAUUCGAAGGUCAAACCUUCGGAGGCACUUUUAGGGGCCAAAGAUGGUUGCCUCAGGUGUAGGUUCAGUAGCCGAAUCUGACUUCAGCAACUAAAAUUGGGUUCUUUUGCAAUAUAGAACUCGAUUCAACCUUAGCCAAUAACCCCCAAAAUACUUUUAAACUCAUAUGCAGAAGCUCAAAAGUAACUAUUUACAACUCAAUAUACCAAGAACACUUAAAACUAACCUAAGCUUAAACAUGUAUUCAAUAAAAUAUCAAAACAUCAACAUAACGCAUAGACAUUCAAGAUUCACUCAUAAAAGAAGGAAAAGACACAAUCCCUUGCAUGCUUUCUAAAACCAGAACUCAAACUACACACAACUAUAAUGAGCCCAAAAGCAACUAGGGAUGUAAACGAACCGAGCCGAGCCGAGCUUUGAAGAGCUCAAGCUUGGUUCGUUAAAAUUUUUUCGAGCUCGAACCGAAUUCGAGCUUUACUCAUAUCGAACUCGAGCCGAGUAUUAAGAAGCUCAAGCUUGGCUCGUUUAGCAAACGAGCUUAGACGAGUCGAGCUUUUAUCGAGCUGAGUCGAGCUUUUAUCGAGCUGAGUCUCAAAUAGUUCACGAGUAAUUUAAUUUAUUUACAUGUAUAAUGAGUUUUAGUUUAAAACUAAUAAGUUUAAAACUAAAAUAAUUUUAGUUAAAUAAGUAUAUCUAUAAAUUAGCAUGUAAACUUAUAAAGAUGAGUUUUUAAAUCUUAAUGAUCUAAAUAUAUGCAAGUUUAAGAGUGUAACUAAACUAUAUAGAGCUGAAUUUUAAAAAAUUCAGAUUUGGCUCAUGAAAAUAUAUGUAGGGUUUAGUUUAUUUCUCUUAUGAUAGUAAUUUCAGUUUACUUAACGAGACUGUUCACGAGCCUAUUCGCGAGCCUGCUCAUGAACUCAUAAAUGAGUCGAGCUCACGAGCCUUAACGAGCCGAAUACUAUGGAGCUCAAGCUUGGCUCGUUUACCAAACGAGCCUAAAAAUUAAGCUCGAGCUUGGCUCGUUUAGAAAUCGAGUCGAGCUCGGUCGAGCUUUUAUCGAAUCGAACCUCGAAUAGCUCAUGAACGGUUUGACUCAUUUACACCCCUAAAAGCAACUAGUUUUUGAGAAAACAGACUUACCUUUUGAAGAACACACAAUCACAACAACAAUGGAAAGAUUUCGGAGAAGAAGGGAUGAGCUUUAAAGAUUCCAAAAGCUAGAACUCAAAAAACAAGGCUCAAUUCUUCAAAAUAGAAAGUAAAACUCAUGAAUUUUCUAGAAGAUUUGAAAAAAAAAACUCUAGCAAAAUCAUCAAGGGGCCUUAAGCUUACCUUUGCCUAGAAGAAGAUAAAAGAAUAUCUCUAAAAAAAUCAUAUUAAGACCCUUUUAUAGCUGGGUCUGUUAGCUUAUGUUCGGUGACCGAACAUGAGAGGUUUAGCAGUCAAACCUUGAUGAUUUGAAAAUCUUUUUUUUUAAACACAUUUUAAAAUGCUUCAAAUUCAUUUUAUAAAAAUCCAUUUUACUCUUCUAAAGUUUUUCAGUUUUGAGAUUCUAGAUUCUAAUAGAGAUUCCAUCGAAAAAUUAAAAUUCAGACGUUAGAGUUUAGCUGGGUAUUACAUCCUAUGGGAAGACACAGUUUGAGAGGCCAUACAAAGAACUGUCUCUCCAAUUGCCUUCCUAGUCUUGCUCUCGAAAUGAAUAUUGCAUAAUUCAACUCCUCUUCUUAGGGUCAUUUUACUAAGAAGACGUUAUAGUCGGGCUAGUUGCAACCCUCAGCGCCAAGUAGUAUAAAUGCAUCUUCAUGAAGGCUUAAGGAUCGCGAUACUAAAGAGGCAUUAUUAUUGGGCCGGAUGGAACCUUCAACAGUAUGCCCAUGCCUUCGCAAAAAUUCACCUUUAGCGCACUUUAUAGACCAUGAUGACAUCCUCCACACAAAUCUGCUUAUCCUUAAAAAGAAGAAAGAAAGCGUCCCAUUUUAUGUCUCUAGAAGAUGGUAGUCGCAAACACAAAAGAGAAAAGAAGGAUUCUUAUACAGUGGCAUAGCUGAUAAAGUCUUUAAUAUGGACUAAAGAAUAAGGCUGCCAUUAUAACUAAGGGAAAGCAAAACGAUAAACAAUCAAGUUAUGCCACGUGGUCGAUAAGACAAAAUGUCACAUUUGAAUCUAAAGAAUCAAAGACUAACUGGGGGCCUCUGAUUAUAUAUACAAUCGCCCAAAGUGAGUCAUAAGCUAUCAUUAUGAGAUAGGUUCACGUGGCAAGGAUCAAGUAAAUAGGCAAUACAGUCUAUCCCGAGAGAAGGAAGAUCUGGACACCUUAAACAUCAGGAUCAUCAUCAAAGACGGGCGAGUCUCGGUAUAAAGUUAUCAUUAACAGACACAAUCUAGCGUAUACCUAUUACACCAAUAAUCGCGGGAUUGCCAACUUAUUAGCUGGAGAUAUUCCUUAUCAACUGGCCACAUUAUCACAGGAUUAUCGAAAAAUUUUAUAUUAAUCACCACCUUCUUACAGUAUAAAAGGAAGAAAGAUCACAAAAUCAAAUGUACGCUAUUCUCUAAUACUAUUCAAGUUUUAAACAGUUAAUUGCAUUCUUUCUAUUAUUCAGUGUACUCAGAGUGGAUGCGAUAGGCACCCACCACCACUUCAUGUUCUUUUCUUUAGAGGUUCUAUCCAGUCACAAUUUAGUUCCAUUCUGACCACUUUAUCAAUCUAAUCUCUGCAAUAUUACUUAUAAUUAUAACUUUUAAAAAAACUACCAUAUUUAUAUAAUUCAAUUACUAAAGUUUAGUUAUUUUUAAAGUUUAAUUAAAAUUAAAAUUAAAACUUUUAAUUUUAAAGAUAUUUAUUAUUAUUAAGCUAAUUAUAUUUCACACGUCAUCAACUAUAUUGUUUUAAAAAAUAUUAAGUUUAGCCGAUUAUAAAUUUGUUAUUUUAUAACGAUGGGAAUUGCAUUGUAAAAUAUAAAUUUCUCUAAUUAAUUCAUUAAUACCGUUUUCAUCCUAUAAUUUUUAUUCUUUUUUUAUCAUCCAUCACCCAGUUUUAUAUUAUAUUAACAUAUAAAUUGAUUAUUAUAAUUUUAUUUUAUUUUUAUAUUAACCUCUUAUUAAUUGUUAUUUUUCUUAUUAAUUGUUAUUUUUUUAAAUGAAUAUUCAAAAUAUAUGUUAAUAUUUAAUAAAAUUUACUCUUUUCAUCCAUAAUUUUUAUUUAUUUUAUUUUUUCACACAUAUGAAUAUGAAGGAAGAUAAUUUUUUUAUUAACUUUUUAAUUAUAUCCAUAUUAAAGAUAUUAAAUAUUAUUAAUACUAAAAAAUAUUUUGAGAGUUUUUUUAAGAUAAAAUAAAAUAAAAUAAAAUUGUAAUAAUCGAUUUAUAUGCUAUUAUAGUGUAAAAAAAGUGAACAAUAAUCUUGUAUCAAAUAAAAAAAGAAAGGUGGAUGAAAAUUAUGAAAUGGAGGGAGUAAUAUUUUUAAAACAGAUAUAAUUAAAAAGUAAAUAAAAUUUUUUAUUUUUUUUAAUACGUGUGAAAAAAUAAAGUGAAAAAAAAAGGAACGAAAAAUAAUAUAUUUUAAUUGAAAUUUAAUAAAUGAAAAUUUUUUAAAAUUGAAUAAUGUCAUUAAUAAACCAUUAUCAGAUUUCAUUAUAAAUAAGUCGAUGGUCUCGUAGCUCAGUUGGUUAGAGUAUUGGUCUUAUGAGCCGAAGGUUGCGGGUUCAAGUCUUGCCGGGACCAAAUAUUUGCACUUUACUUCAUCAUAGGUUUCUACUUCUCCGAAUUCCCAUUUUAUUGAGCCGAAGGUUUUUUAUAACUGAGACAAGAGAUCCAAUAUUUAAAAUAGAACAUAUUGAUUGGGCAGAUCAGAGCCCUGCCGGACCAAAUAUUUGCACUUUACUUAGAUCUCAUCACAGGUUUCUACUUCUCCCAAUUCCCAUUUUAUUGAGCCGAAGGUCUUUUCUAACUGAGACAAGAGAUCCAAUAUUUAAAAUAGAACAUAUUGAUUGAGUGGAUCAGGUCAUACAAAAAUAUAUAUAUAUUUUUUAUUUUUAACUUAUUUAGAUCUAAUCAUUUUUUUAGCUCGGCUAUCCUACUAGUCGAGCCAUUUUAACCAUUUUAUUGAGCCGAAGGUUUUUUAUAACUGAGACAAGAGAUCCAAUAUUUAAAAUAGAACAUAUUGAUUGGGCAGAUCAGAGCCCUGCCGGACCAAAUAUUUGCACUUUACUUAGAUCUCAUCACAGGUUUCUACUUCUCCCAAUUCCCAUUUUAUUGAGCCGAAGGUCUUUUCUAAUUGAGACAAUAGAUCCAAUAUUUAAAAUAGAACAUAUUGAUUGAGUGGAUCAGGUCAUACUUAAAAAAUAUAUAUAUAUUUUUUUUAUUUUUAACUUAUUUAGAUCUAAUCAUUUUUUUAGCUCGGCUAUCCUACUAGUCGAGCCAUUUUCAUUUAUGAUAUUGGCCAGUCAAAACCAAUAUAAACAUAAAUCUAUUUAUUGGGACAAGGAGAGAAGGGAUUCCCUCUCAUAAAUUCAUUUAUUUCAAUCGUUAAAGAUGCUUUUACCCAUUUAUCAUAAAAAAAUAUAAUUUUAUUAAUCCGUGUAAAAAAAUUAAUUAAUAUGUGAAGAAUAUAUGAAGCCAAAGAAAAAUAUUUAUUUAAAAUGAAUGAAAUAUGACAUUAUAAAAUAAAUAUUAAAAAAUAAAAUAAGAUAAGAUAAUACAAAAUUUAUAUAAUUCAAUAAAAGUUUACAUCCAUAUAAAGGGCAGCAAAGUUUUCUAAUCAAAUUAGAGAAUUAUUUAAAAAAAUAAGAAUAUCACUCAAAUAAUUUAUCCAAACUCAAAUAUUUUUCUCUUAUUUAAUUAUAUCCAGAAAUUUAAUAAUUUCAUUUUUUCAAAAAAUCUUUAAUUUCAUUUGUUUUAGAAAUUUUUUUGUCAAUAUAAAUAUUAAUGAUAAAACUUUCAAGUUGAGAGUUAAAGUAAGCGGAUAAAAUUUACAUAUAUAAAUUUUUGCAAUUUGAAUGAAUUUAUCCAUUUAUUUUUUAAAUUUGAAUGAUUUAACCUAUUAUCUGUAUGAAUAUUAAUUGAUUUUAUUUAUAUUUGUAAUUUAUUUUAAAAAAAGUUAAUCCAACUUGUAGCUUCUUAAAUUCAUUUCUUUCUAGAUUUAUUUUCUUUUUCUAUAUCUAAAUAGUUUAUGAAAAUAUUAAAUAAUUUAACUAUUCCUUAGAGUAUUCUUUUUUUUUUCUAAAAAUUUAAAUUUUAUUUUUAUAAAUUUAAAUAGUCUAAUGUAUAAAUUUAAUGCAUAAAUAAAAAUAACUACUCUGGAUUAUUUUAUAAAGUGAUUAUAUAAAAUAAAAUAUGAAUAAUUUAAUUUAUAAAUAUAAUUUAAAAACUUCUAAAAUUUUUAGGUAAUACUUUAUCUCUUAAUAAUGAUUUUGUCGAACAUAAAAAUUAUGUAAAGUUUAAAAAAUAGAUUAUAUCUUAAUGUAUAUUUUUAAUAGUAAAAAAAUUAUGUAAAGUUUAGAUUUUAAAUAAUGUGAAAAUAUUAAUAAUGGUGUUCCAAAAAUAUUUUUAAUGUGAUAAAAAUUAUUAUUAUUUAUAAAAUAAUAUUUAUUUUUAAUUUAAAAAUAAUAAGAAUUAUGAAGGAAAUAAAUUAAUUUAGCUUAAAUUAUUAAAUAUUUAGCUCUAUUAUCUUAAAUUUAUUCUACACAAAAAAUUUUUUAUGAAUUGAUAUGAAUUAAAUUGUAUUAUUAAAAUUCUUUUUUUUUUUAUAAAAAAUACAUUAUUCAAUGAGAUUAUUUUUAAAAUAAAUAUAAUUAAAAGGUAAAUAAAAAUUUUUAUCGUGAAAAAAUAAAAUAAAUAAAAAUUAUGAGAUGAAAAAAAUGUUUUUUAAUUGAAAAUUUAAUAAAUAAAAAUUUAUUAAAAUUGAAUAAUUUCAUUAAUAAACCAUUAUCAGUUAAUUUCAUUAUAAAUAAUGUAAAAGACAGAGAGUGUAGAGUGAGGAAUUAAUUACUCAGAGUGAGAAGUCCGUUACCUGAAAACCCACCAUGGCUUUUGCUUGAAAUUGAAUUUUUUUAUUAAAAUGAAGAAAAAUAAAAAUUCAUGGUUACUAAAUCCAAUUCAUUCAACAUUACUUGCUCCUCAUGAUACGAUGAGGGCAUAACAGUACAAAAUCCUCAAACUCAACAAUAAAUUUGAAAUUAAAAUAUAAAUAUAUAUUAAAUUCAGUGGGCAGAGCUGAUUGUGUUGCCAAUAUCAAUGACAAACCGAUAUCUAACAUCAGCUUUUAGAAUGCGUUCCAUAGCAGUGUUCACAUCCUCAAUUGGAAUAACUUCUAUGUCUGCUGCUAUGUUGUGUUUGGCUGCAAAAUCAAUCAUUUCUUGUGUUUCCUUCAUUCCCCCAACGCAACUACCUCCCACCAUCUUCCUUCCUGUCAACAGUAAUUAAUUGAAAUUAUUAUUUCUUUUUAUUUGAAUAUUUAUGAAUAAGAAGGAGAGAGGAAUGGAAAAUUACCAAUUAACAAAGGAAAGGCUGGUAGCUCAAGUGGCUUCUCUGGGGCACCAACCAAAACCAGCUUUCCAUUAGUCUUCAGUAGUCCAAUCAAAGGCACAAGUGGGUGAAUUGCAGACACUGUGUCAAUUAUACCAUCUACUGUGCCCAUCGCAGCCUGUACCAGAUUUAACAAGAUUAUAAAUUAAUAUAAAUUUCCUGAUUCAUGGGUUAUCCAAGAAAGUUCCAAAUUAUAGAUACCUUCAUUUGAUCUUGGUCACGGCUAACCAAAAAUGAAUCAGCACCAAGAUGCUCAACAGUCUCUUGCUUCUUGCUAGGUGAGGUGCUAAUUACAGUAACCUUCACGCCCAUUGCCUUGGCAAAUUUCACAGCCAUAUGGCCAAGGCCGCCCAGGCCAACUACGCCUACGUGCAUGCCAGGCUUGUCGAGUCCAUAAUGUUUCAAGGGGCUGUACACUGUGAUCCCAGCACAAAGGAGAGGAGCUGUAGCAUCAAGAGGUAAGGUAUCUGGAAUACGAACAAUGAAGUGCUCAUCUGCCACCAUGGUGUCAGAGUAGCCGCCGUAAGUGGUGGUUCCGUCAUAGUACUUAGCACCAUAGGUGAGUAUCAUCUCUGGGCAGUAAUUCUCAAGAUUGUUUGUGCAGUUAUGGCAGGAAUGGCAUGAUCCCACCAUGCAGCCCACACCAACUUUAUCUCCCACCUUAAAUUUUUCCACUUUGCUCCCGACCUCUGUCACCACUCCCACAAUCUCAUGCCUGCAUAGCAAAUUCAUCAGCGGUGAUAAUUUCUUAUAUGAGUUUACUGGGGUUCUAAGUUCCAACUGUCUAUAACUUUACAAUUGAGAAAAAGAAUUUUCAUAAUAGAUAUAAGAUGAUAAAAAAUUACUUACCCAGGGACAAGAGGGUAGGUAGAAGUGCCCCAUUCAUUCUUGACCAUGUGAAGAUCUGAGUGGCACAUUCCACAGUAGAGGACCUUGAAACAAACGUCUUUCUCUCCUGUUUCCCUGCAUAAUGUUAAUAACUCGAUUAUCAGUUUUGUUCUCAGAGAUUCAAGAAAAAGCAAAGAGAUUUGUGGAACUAUAAGAAGAAAAGGAACCUCCUGGAGAAGGUGAAGGGAGAGAGGACACCAGAUUCGUCUCUUGCAGCCCAUCCGAAUGCCUGCUUGGGAUGCUCUUCUUCUGGCAAUUUGGCUACCAUUUUUCUUCGUAGAUGGAAAAUACAAAAGCAAAGAGAUGUCUGUAAGAUGAGUUGAUAGCAGAAAAAAAGCUUGAAAUCUAGUUUAUGGUGAUUGAUUAGAGGGUACAUGCUCAUCAAUAUAUAUAGUUUGUUGGAAGUGGGAAGAUGCUUGGUUGGGCUGUGGAAUGAUGACGUAGUUGGUGAGCUUUCCUUCUUCUGGGCCUUACGUAUUAGCAGAGCAAAAGUGCUUGCCGCCAGACGAUGAACGAGUCAAAAAGAGAGGAAAGAGAAAUUCUCACGAAUUUUUUCUGGUACUUUAAAAAAACUUAAAAAAAGAAAAAAGAUAAAGCAGCCAUCACCUGGUCUACUUCAUAUAGCACAAUACAAAAAAUAAGUAGAGCAGAAACACUUAAUUAAAUUACAAUGUUUCGUCUUAAUUUAGCAACAGAGUAAUAAAGAAAAUAAAAUAUAUUGUCGUGAUUUUUCAAUUAGCAAAAAAUAAUAAUUUUUUUAAUAUGAAACUGUAUUAUUAAAAUUAAAUUAUAUAUUUUAAUCGAUUCUUUAUACAACUUUAAUAUUUUGGUUAAUUUUUUUUAAUUUUAUGUAAAAUUUUUAGAUCACCUAAAUUAAAUUGAAAUGGAAUGAAAGCUCAAAACUUUAAUCAAUAUUAUUUAAUUAAAAUAAAAUUUAGAAUGGAUAAAAGUAAAAAAUUUUUAUAAAAUUUUUGAAAAUUUAAAAAUAUUUAAAAUAGUUAAAUAAAGAAACUAUUUAUAAUAGUAAAAAAAAUUUUAAUGUGAAAAUUUAAAAAAAUUUAAAAGUAAUUAAAAUAUAAAAUUAAGUUCUAAAUGAUAGAAUUUGAAUUCAAACAUUGUGAUGAAUGCCUAGAUUUUUUUAUUGCAUUUUUUAAAAUCAUCAGUUUCAAAAUUUUUUUUUUUCAAAAAAUUAUUGUAGGCUUACCACAAAUGUCGUAAACAGAAACUAAAUUAUUUUUUUCGUUAUUAAGUCUAAUCCAAAUUUUUCAUAAAAUUUAAAAUUAAUUGUUCUGCAUCACAAACUAUAAUUAUGCAGUAAUUUAUCAAAUAGUUCCGCNNNNNNNNNNNNNNNNNNNNNNNNNNNNNNNNNNNNNNNNNNNNNNNNNNNNNNNNNNNNNNNNNNNNNNNNNNNNNNNNNNNNNNNNNNNNNNNNNNNNNNNNNNNNNNNNNNNNNNNNNNNNNNNNNNNNNNNNNNNNNNNNNNNNNNNNNNNNNNNNNNNNNNNNNNNNNNNNNNNNNNNNNNNNNNNNNNNNNNNNNNNNNNNNNNNNNNNNNNNNNNNNNNNNNNNNNNNNNNNNNNNNNNNNNNNNNNNNNNNNNNNNNNNNNNNNNNNNNNNNNNNNNNNNNNNNNNNNNNNNNNNNNNNNNNNNNNNNNNNNNNNNNNNNNNNNNNNNNNNNNNNNNNNNNNNNNNNNNNNNNNNNNNNNNNNNNNNNNNNNNNNNNNNNNNNNNNNNNNNNNNNNNNNNNNNNNNNNNNNNNNNNNNNNNNNNNNNNNNNNNNNNNNNNNNNNNNNNNNNNNNNNNNNNNNNNNNNNNNNNNNNNNNNNNNNNNNNNNNNNNNNNNNNNNNNNNNNNNNNNNNNNNNNNNNNNNNNNNNNNNNNNNNNNNNNNNNNNNNNNNNNNNNNNNNNNNNNNNNNNNNNNNNNNNNNNNNNNNNNNNNNNNNNNNNNNNNNNNNNNNNNNNNNNNNNNNNNNNNNNNNNNNNNNNNNNNNNNNNNNNNNNNNNNNNNNNNNNNNNNNNNNNNNNNNNNNNNNNNNNNNNNNNNNNNNNNNNNNNNNNNNNNNNNNNNNNNNNNNNNNNNNNNNNNNNNNNNNNNNNNNNNNNNNNNNNNNNNNNNNNNNNNNNNNNNNNNNNNNNNNNNNNNNNNNNNNNNNNNNNNNNNNNNNNNNNNNNNNNNNNNNNNNNNNNNNNNNNNNNNNNNNNNNNNNNNNNNNNNNNNNNNNNNNNNNNNNNNNNNNNNNNNNNNNNNNNNNNNNNNNNNNNNNNNNNNNNNNNNNNNNNNNNNNNNNNNNNNNNNNNNNNNNNNNNNNNNNNNNNNNNNNNNNNNNNNNNNNNNNNNNNNNNNNNNNNNNNNNNNNNNNNNNNNNNNNNNNNNNNNNNNNNNNNNNNNNNNNNNNNNNNNNNNNNNNNNNNNNNNNNNNNNNNNNNNNNNNNNNNNNNNNNNNNNNNNNNNNNNNNNNNNNNNNNNNNNNNNNNNNNNNNNNNNNNNNNNNNNNNNNNNNNNNNNNNNNNNNNNNNNNNNNNNNNNNNNNNNNNNNNNNNNNNNNNNNNNNNNNNNNNNNNNNNNNNNNNNNNNNNNNNNNNNNNNNNNNNNNNNNNNNNNNNNNNNNNNNNNNNNNNNNNNNNNNNNNNNNNNNNNNNNNNNNNNNNNNNNNNNNNNNNNNNNNNNNNNNNNNNNNNNNNNNNNNNNNNNNNNNNNNNNNNNNNNNNNNNNNNNNNNNNNNNNNNNNNNNNNNNNNNNNNNNNNNNNNNNNNNNNNNNNNNNNNNNNNNNNNNNNNNNNNNNNNNNNNNNNNNNNNNNNNNNNNNNNNNNNNNNNNNNNNNNNNNNNNNNNNNNNNNNNNNNNNNNNNNNNNNNNNNNNNNNNNNNNNNNNNNNNNNNNNNNNNNNNNNNNNNNNNNNNNNNNNNNNNNNNNNNNNNNNNNNNNNNNNNNNNNNNNNNNNNNNNNNNNNNNNNNNNNNNNNNNNNNNNNNNNNNNNNNNNNNNNNNNNNNNNNNNNNNNNNNNNNNNNNNNNNNNNNNNNNNNNNNAUUUCUUAAUCCGUUACUAAUUUUAUAUUAGUAACGGAAUCAGGAACAGAUUUUUUCCGUUACUAAAUUAGAAAUAAAAAUGCGGGAAUUUAAAAUAAAAGCGCGGUAUUUUAUUUUCUAAAAUUUAGUAACGGAUUAUAGAAUCCGUUACUAAUUUUCGAAUCAGUAACGGAUUUAGUGACAGAUUAUAUCCGUUACUAACUUAAAAAGAAAAUUUGGAAUUUUAAAAAAUAAAAAAUUAAUUUUUUAUUAAAAAAAUAGUAACGGAUUAAAUCCGUUACUAAUUAUAUAAUAGAUUGCAUUCCGUUAUUAAAUCCGUUAUUAUUUUAUUUAUUUAAUUUAUUUAUUUAAUAACCGAUUUAGUAACAAAUUUAUUAACGGAUUGAGAUCCGUUACUAAUUUUUAGCUAAUUUAGUAACGGAUUUAUAACGGAUCUCAAAAUCCGUUAUUAAAUUUAUAAAUAAUUUUAUUAAGUAACAGAUUUAGUAACGGAUUGUUAAUCUGUUACUAAAUAAUAAAAAUUAGUAACGGAAUAUAAAAUCUGUUACUAAUCCGUUACAAAUUUGUAACAGAUUUAAAUUCGUUACUAAUAUCCGUUACUAUUCCGACAAAUUUUUGUAGUGUCAGUCGAUUCGCUUUAAAAUCAAACUAAAUCGAAUAAGUGAAAAAUUGAAUUUUUAGUAUUUUUAAAAAUUAAAUCGAACUGAUUUUAGACAGAAUCAAAUCGAUUUAAUUCAGUUUAAUUCGGUUCGAUUUGAUCUUUUGGGAUUUUGAAUAAAUUUUUUUAUUUUUUACACCGCAAUUUUAAUAUUUUAAAAUUUAAUUAAAGUAUUUUAAUAUUAGUCAUGGUAUAAUCUCUAUAUUAUAAAAAAUAAUAUAUUAUUGUUACUAAUCGAUUCGAUUUUAUUAAUUUUUUACUGAUUCAAAUUAAAUCGAACUGAAAUAAUCGAAAUUUUUUAAAUAAAAAUCGAAUCGUUAAGAGUAAAAAAUUAAACCAAAAUUUUAAAUUAAUUUAAUACAGUCAAUUUUUUUUAUUUGACCGAAUAUUGAACGCCUCUAAUUAGGUUAUUUCCGAUUAUCUCUUUUCUUACCUUUCAAUUAAAAUUUACAAAAAAAUAAAAAUUAAUUUUCUAAAAUUGACAAUUUAACUAAAAUAUAUAAUUUAUCCUACUAUAAAUAAAACGUCUUAUAUUAAAAUAAAUUUUAUUCUCCUUUCCAUUCUCUAAUUAAAAUUUUUAAUUUAGCUAAAAUUAUCAAAAAAAAAAUUAUAAUCGUAAAAUCAUAUAUGCGUUUAGCUAAAAAAAUGUAAUUUACGCUUAAUUUAUUGUAAUUGUAGAAAUGAGGUAUAAGUAUUCAUUUUGAAGAUUAUAAAAAUUUAAACUUAAAAAACUUAUUUAAAAUUAAAUAUAUUAUGUUUUUUUUUAAAAAAUCUUCUUAUAGCCGUCAUGAUUAAACUAAGUAUUUAUCUUUUCUUUACAAUUUCGUCUUAUUUAUUUUAUGAAUUUAAUAAAUUUUUAUGAUUAUAUUUAAAAAAAUAUUUUUUUUUUAUGAUGAUGUUAAUUAAAAUGUUAAAUUUAUUUUUAAAUUAUAUAGCAUAUUAAAAAUAUUAAUUUUUAAUUUUUAGUCUAAAUUUUAUUGUUUAAUUAUUCUUGGGUGAAAACCGGACUAAAUCAGUGUACACUGUUGCCAUCAAAGCUAACAUUCCCCUAGUUAUUUAUUUUGCAUAAAAUAUAUAUAUAGAAAAAUAAUAACUAAAUAAAAAUAAAUUUCUUAAAAAUGCGAUUUAUAAAAUUAAUAGAAUAAUUUAAUUUAAAUUAAAUUACUAUAUAUUUUUAUUUUUAUUAUUUUUUAUAAAGUAAAAAGUAUAUAAUUUUUAUUUUCAUUUUGUUAUAAAAUUUCAGUAUAAUAAUAUUCAUUAUAUAUUAAUUAGUAAAGAAAUUUUAAUUUUAAAUAAUUUUUAAUUAUAUAAAAUUGAAUAUUAUUAAUUUUUAUAUUUAAAAAUAAUUUAUAAGAUAUAUAUAAAAUAAUUAUAAUAAAAAUAUUAUUAUUAAUAUUAUAAUAUAUAUUUAAUAAUACACGGGAUAAAUCUCAGUUGGACUUCGAUUGAACCUUAAACAUUUAACCCUUCGUCUUCACUUAUUUAAUGACCAGGUAGUGUUUGAAGACAUUGGUCAUAGACACAACCAUGCAAGAAGAGCAACUUUUGCUAAAAGCACCUCAACUCAAAACAAAUUAAAUUGCCAGUUCCGUGACAACCACAACCACAUAAUAAACCUAUAAAACUAAGAAAGAUAGCUUAUAGAAAGCCUUUAUGCAUCGAUUCAAAAACAGUCGUAUACAUAAAAGAAACGUGACAAAAUUAUUAGGUGUAUUGGUGCAUUUCUUUGAGAUUCUUCGUUUCUUUUCGAGAUUCUCAAAAAUUUUCUUUGACUCCUCUAUUUUAUUUUUUUAAAUUUCUUUAUAAUUUUUUAAAAAUAAAUCUCAAAUUUGUUAAGAAUAUAUUUGAGAUUAUCUUUUUGAUAUUAUAGUUUUUUGUAUUUUCUUUAAUAUUGGAAAUUUUUUAUUACUUUAGUGUGUUUCAUUGUUUCUUGCAUAUUAAAUGCAUUAUUUGACAGUUUAAAAUAAGAUAUAAACUAUUAAUUAUGUUUGUUUUAUUGACACAUAAGCAAUAUAAAUUAUUCCAAAAAGCUAAAAAAUAAUAAGUUCUUGAAGAUGGCAGUAUUGUAGAAAAUUCUGUUUGUUGCUAAAUAUGAAAAUUGACCAAUCGCUUAUCUCAAAGAUUAUUUUCUUUUAUGCAUUUCAAAUUAGAAGCCUUCAAUUGCCUAUUUUGUAUGAUUCCAGUGCUAAGAAUAUUAUGUCGAAUUUAUUUUCUGUUACCCAUAACUAUUAAAUUUCCUAUCAAAAAAUUUAAAAAUAUUUUUAAUUUUUCAUUUUAAAUAGGGAAAAUGGUUUUUUUUUUUUUUGAUAAAUCGAUUUUCAUUAUCCAAUGACUUUGAUAACAUAUAAAUAAAAGAAUAUGUUAAGACCGCAACAUGUGUUCACAGGAUUUGAAAGAGUUCGUUGAACCUUUCCAUCUAGUCCGACUGAGUAGUAGAAAACUCGACCUAUAAGAUAUCAAGAUCAAACCAGCGAUAUCCUUGACCCUGCUAAAAUCUGGAAUGGAAAGGCAAACCUCUUCAAAACUCGUACCAUAACGGGAUAUUAAAUGCAUGUACGAUGAACAGAAUCGAUGUAACGUGCCUGACAGUCAAAGUAUGGGCUAGCUAGCUUCGUAUUCAUUAGUCAACUACCUACUAUUAAAUGAGCUGCCUGAAAAACCUAUUGAAAAGCUCUCUAGUCAUCUUCAAUGAGAUACUCACAUUCCCACCAGAGUGACCAAGGGUAUAUAUACCCCUGGCAUAGCCAUAAUAGGGGGACAUUCCUAACUCACUGAAUCCACCAUCUUUGCUCUUUCAAGACACCUUAACCUCUCCAAAUUCAACACCUAGUUCAUUUACUCUCAUUUAUUUUUCUACAUUUACUCCUCGUUAAACUAAUCUCAGUUUAUUGAUUUUCUCAUUGAAUCAAACCACCGUCCAUGUGUCCUCAUCAGGUUACCCCCUUAGAUCUCAUUUCAUCAAGUGGCAUCAUCUAUAGGAAACGAAGGAGAUUUUUCUAUCACUGGAGUUUCCAAAUAAAAUCCAAUGAGAUCCACAUGGCAAACCAAGAAAGUAACACACCAACCUCCAUUAGGAAUGAAAACCAAACCCCGAAAACUCCUAGUCCUCAGGGAUUUUUGAUGAGCUUAUUCCCACACUCCACUACACCGAUAGUAUCUACCGUUCCCUUUAUCCACAACCUUACAUUAAUAAACACCAUCCCAUAAACCCCAUUAUCCAACCAAGAUUUAUAGACCAUGUCACUACAAUUGCAGUAAGCCAUGAUGUGGAUGGACCAAAUCAUGCAGCAACGAGGCCUCAUACAACCUAUGGUUGCAAAACCAACACCAACUAUAACUCCUAGCCUAGCUCCAACACCUAUUUUUAUCCCUGAAAUAGAAAAUCAUGAGCUAGUAACCACCACCUAUAGAACUAGAAGGAGAAGAAGCAACGAAGCAUGUAAGGAACUACUGGCUAAGUGUAGAAGCCAUGCAGUAAGAAACCUAAUAGAAGAAGACAUUGAUAUGAGUAGGAGUACUGCGUUGGGAGAAUAUGAAACAAAAAGUGAAGGAGAAGGAACCAACUCCAAAUCUCCGGUUGAUGCCAAAAAGUCUGAAGUAAGGGAGAAAGGAGUGGAAGAGAAGCUAGAAAGGAUGAAAGAAGAACUGCUAACUGAGUUGAAAACCUAAGCGAGCGUCCUGACUAGCUUGAGAAUCCUGACCCUUUGUGAAUUGUAUCCAAGAAGAAACUAUGUCUAAAAAAUUUCUAAUGCUGACAUGACUGCGUACGACAGUAUUGGGAAUCCUCGAGAUCACGUAAUCAACUACAAGCUUUUCAUGGAGUUAUAAACUCAUUCUGAUGCCUUGCUUUGCAAAGUAUUUCCCACCACCCUAACUGGAGCAGCUGUGACAUGGUUCAACAACUUAGAAGUAAAAGUAUCAGAACCUUUAGCGACCUAGCAAACUCGUUCAUGAGAAGAUUCAUAGCCAGCGUCCCUACUCAAUGAAAAACCAGCUACCUAAAAAUGGCUAGGCAGAGAAGGGAUGAGACCUUGCGAGAAUAUAUAGCUCGUUUCAAUGCUGGAGCCCUGUAGAUUCCUAACCUCGACGAAUCUAGGGCCGUGGAGGCAAUGCAGAAAGGGACCACCCCGACAAAAUUUUUUGGAUCCUUAAGCAAGAAACCACCCAAUACAUUGGUAGACCUAAUGCAAAGAGCAAAAAAAUACAUUAGACAAGAUGAUGCCUUAAUGACCAGCAAAUUUGCGAAGGACUCCCGAGAGAGGUACAUCUCGUGGAUGUCCAGAGGAUCGAAGAAGGGAGUAUGGAGACAGAAGACCUGACUGAGGGCCCAAAGCCCUGAACAUGUAUACUAACCAUCGAGAGAUCGACCACCAACCCAAACCCCUCCAACACAAAGAAAUUACCCCUUUAGAUGUGUCUAGUAGAGGUCAUAGUAAUAGUGUAGGACAAAAACUUGUUAUAAUGGCCAUAAGUCCUCUAGACAGACUCCAAAGACCGUGACCCGAAUAAGUAGUACCAAUUCCAUUGCGCCCACAACUAUGAAACCAAUAUUUGCUACCAGCUGAGGAAUGAAAUAGAAAAACUGAUAAAAAAAAAGGCCAUUUGAAGAAUUGUCAAAAAAUAAAGUCGUCCCGGUAAUAGGCUAGAAGAGAGAAAAGAGCUGACCAGAGAAAGAGUUACAUGACCGGUGAAUGAUGGGUCAAGUGGGACCAUCAAUAUGAUAGUUAGAGAGGAAGCAACACAGCUACCCACGGUGAAUCAUAAAAGAAGAUGGGAUAGAAAACAGAAAGAAGUAGAAGUCAUGCAAGUAAUUAAGAAUAUUCCGGGCAUGGUCUGCUUCUCAACAACUAAUGGGAAAGGGGUAGAAAUGUUCCAUGAUGAUGCAUUUGUAGUGGAGGCCAUAAUCCAUAACUUCAAAGUGCAUAAAAUUUUAGUGGACGACUGAAGAAAAGUGAACCUCCUCCCCUACCGAGUACUACAAGCCAUGAAGAUACCUGAAGAAAACCUGGUAAGAAACUAGGCUCCUAUAAAAGGUAUAGGGGGAAUGCAAGUACGAGUAGAAGGAAAAUCAAACUGUUAUUAACUCUCGGGACACCUCCCACAGCUCGGACUUAGUACGCUCAAUUUUUGGUGGUCAAGUUGCCGCUAGUGUACAAUGCCAUCCUUGGCCAAGUAGUUUUAUACAACUUUGAAGUAGCCACCAGCAUCCGAUAUUUACGCAUGAAGUUUCCAACUGAAGGAGAAAUAGCCAUAGUCAAGGGAAGACAAAGUGAAUCAUGAGCCGUGUAUUUAGCAACAGUAGCCGGAGAAGAAGAAGAAGAAGAAGAGGUACACCUAGAGGUCAUGGAGGCAAGAGAUAAAGAGAAAGAUCAAAGAGCCCAGCCAAUCAAGAGCUCAAAAGCUUCAUACUAAACAAGGAGCAUCCUGAAAAAAUAUUCAGCAUGACUGCAGACUUGGACACUAAGCAGAAGGAAGCAAUCAAAACCCUGGUCAGGAGGCAUGCAAAAAAUUUCGCCUGGAAACCAACAUAUAUGUCGGGAAUUGAUCUUGUGAUCAUGUCCCAUAAGCUAAACGUGUACCUUGAUGCAAAACCGGUCAAACAGAAGUAGAGAAUAUUGAGAGUAGAAAAGAGAGAAGUAAUGAGGUCAGAAGUAGAAAAGCUAGUAGAGGCUAGGUUUGUAAGGGAAGUGGCAUACCUAGAAUUGUUAGCCAACCUAGUCCUUGUAAAAAAGACUAACGGUAAAUAUCGGAUAUGUGUAGACUUUAGCAACCUUAAUCAGGUCUACCCAAAAUAUUAUUAUCCCCUCUCUGAUAUAAAUAAAUUAGUCGAUGCUACGGCUAGUUUUGAGUGCUUAUCUUCUCUAGAUGCUAUGUCAGGCUAUCAUCAAACCCCAAUGGAUAAGGCCAAUGAGGAAAAAGCCUCAUUUAUAACUGAAGAUGACACAUACUAUUACAGGACUAUGCCACUUGGUUUAAAAAAUGUGGGGGAAAUUUAUCAAAGGCUGAUGAAUAAAAUAUUCAAGGAAUAGAUAGGUCGGGAUGCAGAAGUAUAUGUAGAUGAUAUAAUAAUAAAAAGUAGCCGUAGCAUUUGAAGGAAAUUUUUCAGUUCUCGAUAAGUAUCAAAUGUAGCUCAACCCCUCUAAAUGUGCCUUCUUCAUAAGGGGAGAAAAUUUCUGGGUUAUAUGGUCAGCGCCUAGGGCAUAGAGCCAAACACUUAAAAGGUCCGAGCUAUUCUACAUAUGCCACAGCCGACUUGCAUUAAGGACAUUCAAAGAUUAAUAGGGAGGAUUAUAACCUUGAAUAGGUUCAAGUAAAGAUCAAGAAAGAAGUGCUUGCCCUCCUUUAAGAAAGUAAGAAAGUCACCUGACUUUGAGUGGACAGAGGAAUAUUAAAAGGCUUUCAAAGAAUUUAAAAACUGCUUAGGACCUCAAAGAUUCUUAGCCGACCAAUGCAAGGAGAAGGCCUAUACAUAUGCUUGGUAGCCUUUUGACCAGGUAGUCAGUAUAGUGCUGAUUUGAGACGAAGGCAAAGUUCAGAAGCACAUUUUCUAUAUAAGUAAGGUCCUGAAAAGAGUAGAACUAAGGUAUCCAAACAUCGAGAAAUUCACUUUAGCUUUAUUAUUAGAAGUCUGUAAGUUCAAGAACUACUUGAAAAAUCACCAAGGGAUUGUGGUAACCGACUAACCUCUGAGGUGAAUUUUACAAAGACAAAAAAUGUCUAAGUGAAUGUUGGCCUGGUCAGUGGAAAAGGAACCCUACUGCCUAUAGUACAAACCUCGAACAACAAUGAAAGCAAAAGCCCUGGUAGACUUCAUAGCUGCGUGCUCGUUUAAAAAAGCGGAGGAUCUUGAGAAACUAAGUUAGAAAGAAGGAAAAACUGGAGGUCAUACAGAAAGGGAAAAUGAAGAUAAUCAUAUGUACUUGUAGAAAUUGCAUGUCGACGGGGUAGUUGGGCCAAAUCAAAGUAGAGCUGGGGCAAUCUUAGAAGGACUGGACGGCCUGUUCAUGUCGUAUGCACUAUGGUUUGACUUUUUGGUCUUGAAUAACAUGGCCGAAUAGGAAGCAUUAAUGUAAUGAAAUAUGGUUGGCGAUAGAUACAGGUGUAAGCGAUCUGAGAGUUCAACGCGACUCACAAUUAAUCGUCAACCAGAUUCAAGGAGCAUACGAGGCAUAAGAUGAGACAAUAAAGCAAUACUUAACUCAGGUACAUGAGCUUCAACGUGGGUUUGGAUCUAAAGGCAUCCCACUCUGAGUAGACCUCAUUCCACAGGCUCAAAAUGAAGAGGCAAAUCUAAUUAGUCAAUUGACCUGUGAAGAACUAGGGAAUUACCUCAGGAGGUGCUAAUAGAAACCAUAUCACAAUCGAGCUUCAAAAAGCCCAGAUUCAUCAUGCAACUACACACAGAGCCCUACUGGAUGGAUCACUUCAUAAAGUAUCUCGACCAAUGUAAACUACCCGAAGACAAAAACAAAGCAAAGAAAAUUGCCUCUAAAGUAGGAAAUUAUCUAUAUGAAGAUGGGGUGCUGCUCAAAAGGGGGAAAUCCAUGCCUUGGCUUCAAUGUGUGGGACUAGAGGAAGCCUCUAUUAUUGUCAUAGAGUUUCACUAAGGCAUCUGUGGCACCUAUAAAGUUGCAACUACUAUGGCAAAUAAGAUCUUCAGGCAAUGAUACUACUAGCCCCACUCUAAAAGCAGACGUUAAGGAACUUGUGAAAAAAUGUGAUAUCUGUCAAUGGCUCGGAAGGGCAAUCAACGCACUAGUUGUACCCCAAAAUGGUAUCUCAACUUCUUGGCAUUUCUCUUAGUGGGGGAUUGAUAUCUUUGGACCUUUUCUACAAACCACCAGUCAGAGGAAGUACGUGAUAGUAGUGGUGGAAUACUUUUCAAAAUGGCCAGAGGCUGAGGCGGUCAGAAGCAUCACAUCUCGGUAGAUGAUUGACUUCAUUUAGGGCAACAUAAUAUGCAGAUUUGGGAUCCCACUCAUCCUCAUAUCAGACAUUGGGACUCAAUUUGACUGUAAGGAGUUUAAAAGGUUCAUAUAAAAUAUAGGGAUCCAUAAAAAAUUUACAUAUGUAGUACAUCCUUAAACCAACGGGCAAACUGAAGUCACCAAUUGCACUAUCCUGACCGAACUAAAAAAGAGAGUAGAUGGAGCCAAAGUCAGAUGGGUAGAUGAGCUUUCGAGCAUAUUAUGGGCAUACAGAACCUCACCUAGAAUGGGGAAAUGCCCUUUUUUUGGCAUAUGGAACCGAACUAUGGUUCCUAUGGAGUUAAUGUAAUACCCGGCUAGACUCCGGUAUCGGAAUUCCUACCGUCCGUUGGAAUCUCAGAUGUCGGAAACCUCUAGAAGGGUAAGAUCAUGCUUUCAUAAAAUGUUUUCAUGUAUUUUAAUGGUUUUAAGUAAAAAGGAAAAUGAGUUUUGAAUGAAAAAGACCAAGGAGGAAUCUGCCAGGUUCGGCCGCCGAAAGUCAAGUUCGGCCGCCGAACAUGAGAAGGUUUUGGGAGCGCCUGCGGCCUCCGAAAGUCCCGUUUGAACAAACCAGGUUCGGCCGCCGAACCUCAUGUUCGGCCGCCGAACCUCAUGUUCGGCCGCAGAACAUGCAUGAGAUGUGGGGGCACGUUCGGCUGCCGAAAGGUGGUCUGCCAGCCCCUAUAAGAGGACCCCAUGGCCGAAACGGGCGAGCUUUUCCCCAUUUUCGGCUAAGGGUGAGUUCUUGCUCUCCCAUGGUGCAUUCUUGAUGUUUUCCUUCGAUCCUUCACGUUUUAACUGGUUUUAUUGUUGAUUUGAAGGUUUUUGAACUUAUAGAACAAGUUUUAGAGCUUGGAGACCCAAGGAGUCAAAAACUCUCUCAACUCCAAGUUUAGGUCGUCUCUCUCUCAAUCUUCAAGAGGUAAGAGCCGAUCUUGAGCUCAUUUUAAGUUUUAAGCAAGUUUUAAGUUGAUUCAUGGGGUAGAAUGGCAUGUAUAGGUUUAUAGGAGUUUAUGGGUUUUAUGUGUGUGUUCAUGGACAAUGUGGCUUGGAAAUGUAUGUUUGAUGUGUUGUAGUUGGGGUUUAAGUUAGUGUGAAGCCCCUAGGAGCUUGUAUGCUUGAGUAUGCAUGUUGUAGAAUAGGCUUAUGCAUGUUUUGUGAGGUUUGGGAGGUGUUUGUCCAUAGAGGAGCUGAGUUUCUGCCCUUUGGGAGAAACCAGGUUCGGCAGCCGAAAGGACUUUCGACCGCCGAACCCUCUUGUGGAGGCAGCAUUCGGCUGCCGAAGCCUGCCCCCGAAAGAGAAGUUUCGUCUCUGUCUGGGAGUUUCGACCGCCGAAGGUGCCGCCGAACCUGCCUGACUUUCGGCUCUGGAGGGACUUUCGGCUCUGGAGGGACUUUCGGCUCUGGAGGGACUUUCGGCCGCCGAACCUGCCGCCGAAAGUGCCUUGUUCAGCCAUUCCUUGCAUGUUUCUCUAAGGUUGUUUCAUGAUAUUUUAGGGGGGUUUUUGGGGAGUAGUUUAGAGUUAUGUUCAUGUAUGUUUGGUCCCUCAUUUGAGUCCACUUGUGUAGGUUCGGACCCGAGGAACCGAGGACCUCAGCAGUGAGUCAGCUGCUCCAGUGUCUGGUCAGAGCUAGCCAGAGGUGAGUGGAAUAACUCUUUAUGUUUUAAAAAGAAAAUAUAAUUAAUAAUGAAUGUUUUAGCAUGAUUCACGCAUCAUGGAUACCAUGUGUUAUAUUAGGGUGUUUGCACUAGUACUCACGAAUAUGUUGCAUUUCAUUCUUAUGCUGUUGAUGUGGAUGAAUGUUGAAUGAUCCAAUAGUCCUCGACCCAUGAUACAAUGAUAUGAUAUGUAUGGUAUGGAAUGAAAGACCAGUGGGACCCAUUCUACGUUCGCUGCCACUAUGUAAAGAGAAAGUCCAGGAAGACCCAUUCUACGUCCCUGGCACAGUUGGACUAUGUAGAGGACUAUUGGUGACAAGUUCAUCCUUUAUGUGAUAUGUUUGUGAUGUGAUGCAUUCCAUGAAAGCAUGAAAUUUAAUAUAAUGUUUUUAUUAUUCUGCUCACUGGGCUUUAUAGCUCACCCCUCUCCCCUAACCCCAGGUGUGCAGGUACAGGGUAGACCAAGAGGUCAGCAGGAGUCAAGUCUUAUGUAUGUAUAGUUAGUAGUGGACAUGAUGAUCAUUGUAAUGCAAUGUCGAAUUAUGUAAUGUAAUAAUGAGAUUGAGGAUUAGAGAGUGUGCUUGACCCUAUGCAUAUGGUUAUCCCUUGUUACAUGAUCUAUAGAAUGUUUUGAUGAUGAUGUUCAUGAUAGUCCAAGCUUAAUGUAUGAUGAGAUACCCUGUUGGAGUAUUUGAUGAGGACUCCAGUGGAGGUUUAUGUUUAUGUUAUGUAUAUGUACAGAUUAAGCUUGGUAAGAGAAAAGAAAAGUUCAAAUUUUUAUAUAUGUUGAUGAUCAUGUAUGGGAUUAAACAGGUUCACAGGAUGUAUGUUAGGCUUGCUACGGGUCCCGGCGGCCUUAAGCCGAUCUGGAUCCUAGCGCCGGUAGCGAUCCGAUUUCCGGGUCGUUAUAGUUAAAGAUCCCCACUCAUAGAGUACAGUACUGUGACGAGCAGAAUAACGAGGAGAAACUGAGACUGCUACAUAUGAGCAAAGAACAACAAGCUACCACGACUGCAAAAUCAAAGAGAGAGUAUUGACAGUAGGAGACCUAGUCCUUGGAAAGCUGGAUGCCAUUAGAAAAAGAAAAGGUCAAGGGAAGCUCGCGCUGACAUGGGAAGGACCAUUCAAGAUCAUACAAGUUAUAAGGCUAGAAGUGUUCCAUUUAGAAGAUCUCAAUGCAAAAGAAAGAACCGCAUACUUGGAAUGUACAACACCUUAAGAGGUAUUCCAUUAAAUAACAUCUUUCAAAUGUUUCCUUUAAAUGGCCAUCAUGUUAAUUGCCUUAAUGAAUGUUAGAAUAAUUAAAUGUUUACCCUAGCAAAAGCCCAAUCAGCAAUAUGUUAAUUUUUGAACUACGUAAAUUAGCAUUAACGAGCACAUGUGUUUUAUGCUUGAUUAAGCAAAAUUAACCUUUUAUGAAAAGCAAUGUUUAGUGGUCUGAGAAUUCAUAAAGAAUAUUAUACACAUAUUAUGUAAGCCUUAUGUUGUAGAAAAGAGUGCCCAAAGGAUCGAGGCCAAGUGCUCAAAUAAAGACUAGACCUAAGUUUCGAGUCCAAAUGCCUAAAUAAAGAUAAGGCCUAAGUGCUGAGGCAAGCGCCCAAAUGAAGACUAGGCCUAAGUGCCAAAGCUGAGUGCCUAAACUAAGAUAAGGCUUAAGUGCCCUACAAAGACUCAAGGCUAAAGAGCCUGAAAGAGGACAAAGAGCUCAGAAGAAUACUCAAGGCUAAAUAACCCAAAAGAGAACAAAGAGCCAAAGAGCUCGAAAGAAUACUUAGGGAUAAAGAACUCAGAAGACAAUAAAAGAGCCAAACAGCUUGGAAGAGAACAAAAAGCCAAAGAACUCGAAAGAAGACUCAGGGCUAAAAAAUCCAGGAAACAAUAAAAGAAUCAAAUAACUUGAAAGACUACUCAGGGCUAAAGAGCCUGAAAGAUAACAAAGAGCCAAAGAGCCUGAAAGAUAACAAAGAGCCAAAGAGCUCGAAAGACAACUCAGAGCUAAACAGCCCGUAAGAGAACAAAGAGCAAAGAACUCAAAAGAAGACUCAGGGCUAAAGAAUCUAGGAAAUAAGAAAAGAGCUAAAUAGAUCGGAAGAAUACUCAGGGCUAAACAGCCUAAGAGAACAAAGAGCCAAAGGGCUAAGAGGAAGACUUAGGGCUAAAGAGCCUGGAAGAUGAUAAAAAGCCAAGAGCUUGGAAGAAGAUACAGGGCUAAAGAGCCUAGAAUAUAAUUAAAAGCCAAAAGCUCAAAAAAAGACACAGGGCUAACGGGUCUGGAAGAUGAUAAAAAUUUGAAAAGCUUAGAAGCAGACUUAGGGCUAAAGAGCCUGGAAGAUGAUAAAGAGUCAAGUGUGCUCGAAAAAAGACCCAGGGAUGAAUAGCCCAGGAGAUAACAAGGAGCCUAAGAGCUUGGAAAAACACUUGGAGCCAAAUUACUUAGAAGACUCAGGGGUAAAAGAGCUCAGGAGGUCGUUUCUAAAAGAAAAUGAAUUGAUAACAUGAAAAGAAAAGUGAAAGAUAACAUGACCCUUCAAAAUUUUUUACAGCACAAAGAGAAACUUGGAUAUGCAGUAAUGGCAUCUCUUAAGGGAGAAACUUGGAUAUUUACGGCCUUUAGAGCAGUGGGAUUAUCAAUCAUCCAAACAGCUGGAUCACUAUCCUUCUCUGAGGUACCACGAGAAGAGGAGGCAUGGGUGACUGUGCAGUUGUCGAAGCAGAUAAAAAAUAACCCUUUUGGUUACCCACAAUUUUACAACUGUAGAUAGUAGUAAAAGGAUCGAAUCCACAGGGAAUUGAUACUCACCUAUUUCUCUUAUCAAGACCAAGUAAAUAAACUGAAAAUAAAAUAAAAGGGGGGAGAUUUGAGAUUGAUGAACUAAACUAGAAUUAAAAAUAGCAAAGUAAAGCAAAUAAUAAAGUAAAGAGAAUUCAAUAAUGAGAAAAACUCUAGUUGAAGAAUUGAAUCCACUUUAGUUGUUGGGAUUGAUCAUUGACACUUAUAUUCUUUUAUUUGACUCAAUAAAUUAGUUAUGGGGGUGGAAGAUGCUUCUCACCACUAUAUCCCUCCUUAAGCAUAGAUUAACUAGGAAAUGUUCUCUAAUUAAUCACUAAUCAACAAGUUGCCAAGGAACGUCCUUGGGACUUUUAGCAUUAUACAACUGUCAAUUGCAUUAAGAAAUAGAGAGACUUAAUUUUAGCUAUCCAAACGUAUGGUGAUCUUGCUAGAUUAUGCAAUCUCCUUGGUUUUUACGCCAAGAGUUAUUUGUGUUUGAAUAAUUCAAGCAAUUACGGACUUAAACCAUCCAAACUAAUAAAUUAUUACUUUGCAAUCAAGAAUCUGUAACGACCUGAAAAUCGGACCGCUACCGGCGCUAGGAUUCAAGUCGACUUAAGGUCGCCGGAACCCGUAGCAAGCCUACUAUACUUCUUGUGUACCUGAUAAAAUCCCAUACAUGAUCACGCAUUUUCAUAAGAAUUUAAAACAUUUCAUUUACCAAGCUGCACCUGUGCAUGUCUCAUAACUAUAUACAUAAAACCCACACUAGAGCCCUCAUCAAAUGCUCUAGUAUGGUCAACAUCACAUGCAUAAAGCUUGGUUCAACAUAUCUCAUCAUUUAAAAACUUUACAUAAACAUCAUGUAACAGGGAUUUAUCAAAUAUACAAUAGGGCAAAGCACAAUCUAAACCAUUACAUAAUACGUGUCCACUACUAACUAUUACAUAAACUUAUACCAACUAACAGCCGACUCUGCCCAACUACCUGUACUCCUGCAAACCUGGGGGUUAGGGGAAAGGGGUAAGCUACAAGAGCCUAGUGAGUAGAACAAAAAAAAAGUUAAUUAAUUAAAUCAAUGCUCAUAUGAAAUGCAGCACAACACAAACAUAUCACAUCAAGAUGGACUUGUCACCACUAACCCUCUACAUAAUCCAAUGUGCCCGGCCCACUACGGGUGCUCCUCAGGACUUUCGCUUAAAUAUAACAUAACAUAUCCAUAAAUGUCAGAGGCGUAGAAUGGGUCUCGACCUGGAAUUUCUCUUACAGAAUGCCAGGGGCGUAGAAUGGACCUCGACCUGAACUUCCAUAUCUCAUCAUAAAAUAUCAUAGCAUAUCGAGGGCUAGCGGGUCAUCCAAUAUCCAUCCACAUCAACAGUAAAAUUAUGCAAUGCAUCAUAUUCAUGAAUUCUAAUGCAACAACCUAUAAUCAUGGCAUUCCUGAUGCAUGAACAUGCUCAAAAGCUUAAUUACUUGAAAACAAUAGUUCAUAUUAGUUCUACUCACCUUUGGCUGACGCUUUACUAGAACUGUAGCAGCUAUCUCACUGCGAGCCUCUACGGUCUCCCAAGUCCAAUCCUGUACAGGUGGACUCAAAUGAGGGACCAAACAUCUCUAAUAAUACUCUAAUAUCUCUCCAAAAAACCCCUAAAACAUCAUAAAACAUACAUAGAAAACAAGCAAGGAAAGGUUGGUUCGGGAACUUUCGGCGGCUGGUUCGGUGGCCGAAGCCCUUUCCAGAUCCGAAAGUCACCAACCUUCGAGGGUAGGUUCAGCGACCGAAAGUCCUCCACAGAUCCGAAAGUCCUCCACAGAUCCGAAAGUCAAGCACUUUCGGGGGUAGGUUCGGCGGCCGAAACUCCUUCUAGAUCCAAAAGUCCAAGCCUUCGGGGGCAGUUUAGGCGGCCAAAGGGCUGCCUCCCCUGCAGGUUCGGCGGCCGAGCCUUGUCCCCCCAGAAUGGCAGACCCGAAUCUGUUUUAUGCAUUCCAACCCCAAAACUCUCAAAUCCUCACACCCAACAUCUCAAAGCAUGCAUACUCACUCCCACAUGCAUAAGGGGUAUAAAACUAGUCUAAGACCUCAACAAACAUCAACACAACAACAUUAAACAUGCAUUUAUCAUCAAAACUAACAUAAACCCUAACAUAUUAGACCUAAACAUUUCAUGCAUUUUAACCCCUUAACCCUUCAUAAGACUUACUUAAAAACAUAAGAGAAUGAAGAUUUAAACUUACCUCUUAGAGGUCUAGGGAUGACAGCAACCCCCCCAAGUGGAGAUGAGUCAAAUGUCUCCAAGACUUCAAAACUUGAUUUUUAAGCUUAGAUCUUCAAAAACAAGAGAAAAAUCAUGUAAAACAUUGAAUGAAUUGAAGGAAAAACAUGGAAUCAACCAAGGUAGGGCAAAAACUCAUCUUAGCCCGAAAAUGGAGAGGAAAAUUCGCCCAUUUUUGGACUGGGAGCCUUUUAUAGGUGGCUGGCCAGACCACCUUCGGAGGCCGAAGAGCUCCCGCAACAACCCCAUGUUCGGCGGCCGAACCUGAGUUUUUCUCCCAAAAACUCUUUUCUUUUCUUUUAACAUUUUUUAAUUUAAAAACAACAAUAAAAUCAUCAAAUUCAUUUUUUAAAACCUUAUUUUACCCUUCUAGAGGUUCCGGUAUCCGGGAUUUCGGAUUCCAAUGGAGAUUCCGCCGAAAAGUUGGAAUUUUGACACCAGAGUCUAGGCGGGUAUUACAGAAUCUAUGGGCCAUAUUGAUCUAAAUAACAAAGCAACAAUUGAAUUAAGCAUGAAAUUGCAUAAAUAUUGAUAAAUAAAAAAAGAACAUAAUAGGUUCAGAUCUCACAAUCCAUAAACAACUUGAAGUAAUCUUCAAUUAGAAAAAGGGUUACAGCCACUGAUGGCUGAAACAAACAUAAAAAUAAAGAAAGAAAGCAAGAAGAAGAUGGAGAAGGGCCGGCUGGUCUGGCGCGCAGUUGCUGGUCUGUUUCUACCGAAGAUCCCAUCUUUUCUUACUGGUUGUCCUUUUGUAGCUGAAUAGGUUGCCCUUUAUUUCCUUGUUGAGGUAGGAUUCUCUUUCCUAUUUGAAUUUGAAUUCUUUGAAGGCAAUUGGAUGUUCUUAAAAUUUGGCUUCCUAAAUAUGUGGGAUAGAGUACUGAGGUGUCUUGAAGAUUUGCUGAGCUGUAUUCACGUGUUUGGGGAGGAAAAGACUUCUUGAAAAUUUGAAAUUUGAAUUUUCCACGAUUCUGUUGUCUAUUGUCGUAGACCCUGUUUGCCCAGGUUGUGUGGGCAAACAACUCAGUCAAACAGUCUAUUUUGGGUGCUGUCUACUCUCUGUCUCUGUCCUACGGGUCUGUUUGCCCAGUUUGCUUGGGCAAACAAUCUGGUCAAACAGCAAGUCUGUGCUUUUCUCAUCCCUUUCCCAUUUCAGCUUCAACUUAGUUUGGGCAAACAACUUGGGCAAACCAGACUUGUUCUCUUUUACUCUUUUUUGGGCAGCUUUAAGGCCAUUUUUAUCAAAUUAUCCUUUUACACCAUUUUCUGCAAAAUAAGAUCAAAACCACAAAAUUAGGUAGAAAAUGUGUAAAUUAACAUAAAUAACAAUAUGAAAAAUUGGUCUAAAUUUGGCUUGAUCAAAGGGCCUUUGAAGCUAAGGUCUUCGAGACAAGAGUCUUAGCAAGCUUCUCAAUUGGUAAGUCGUCAGGGCCAUACUGCACAUCCUCACCAUCAGAAUCGCACUCAGCUAGUCGGAGAGCAGUAAGAGGCUUGUUUUGCUCAUCACGAUCAAACUUUAGCCCUAAAUUGUAGCCACUACCAUAGAAAUGCAUCGCAAAGUUGAGAAUUUUGGACUUAUGCUCAUCAAACUGUAGGUAUUUUCGAUACAUAGUCCUGACGAUGCCCUCAGUCUUCUUAUGCAUACCAUUAUAGCCGCCUUAUAUUCCUUGCAACGAGUAGAGAGCUCAGUCACCUCCAGUUUAUACUGAUUCUUCAUAGCUUCACUAGUGCGAGCAUCCUUUCAAGACUUUUCCAAAUGAUGAUGAGCUUACUUUAAAUCUUUAGACAACUUCAAAGGCUCACCUUCGAGAUGGGUAGUCCAGAAAGAAAGCUCUUAACUUUUAACUCCGCAUUAACUUUGACUUGGAAUAACUGAGCUGUCACAUCAUACCACACUUUGGCCAAUUAGCUCUCUAGUUAAACAACUCGGUCAUUUUGAAGUUGGCUUUGCUCAAGUAACUCAUUUUAUCUCAUCACAUCAACCUCAUGUUCCCCUUUUAGCAAGGUGACAACACGAGCAACCUCCUCUUGCCUAACCUUAUCAACUUCAGCACAAGCAACCUCCUGACAUCUUUUAUCUUUCUUCCAACUCGACUAGGGUACUGAGGACCUGCAAACACAAAUAGAUAGUUAGCACAAUAAUGAAAGCAGAAGUUAGCAAUACAGGUAAAUAGAGAAAGUACUAAGAGGCUUUGUCUUUUUGGAGUCAGUAAAAAGCUCUUCAACAGGCUUUGAGCUACUGGCCUCUGAUUGUGCACUAGACUUAACCAGAUGACAAAAGACCCCCAAGAGUCAAGGAUCACAGAUAUUAGGAGAAGACCCAAAGACAUGGUUGCAGAGAAGCUCUACAACAGAAGUAAAGGUUGACUUUUGGUUCAGAGUGUAAGUAAUCCUUGACUCAUGGGGGACAAGAGCCUGAGGCAACUCUGUUCCGACGUUGGCAUACAAGCCCUCCUUUCCUCCCCUUACCAUGUCAGGUGCACCUCUCUUAUGAUCACCCAAGGUAGCCCCCCCACCUUGAGGCCCAUGCAGCUGGCUCUCUUUGACCAAGCUUCUUCUUUUCUUUUGAGGAGGGGAAGGGUCAAACCUAUGGGAUGAAGCCUGAGAGUUCUUCCUAACAAGUUUAGCCUCUUCUUCUCCAUCCGAAGAAUGGUCAAAUGGGAGCACAUGCACAACAAGGGCCCUAGAGGAAUCACUAGGAUAGUUUUGGACAUUAUCGAGCGCAACGACCCCAAGGCAUCCUCCUUGAUAACAAGUCCCACGACAGCCUCCUCAGCGACCAUUUUAAGAGGUGGCCCCACAAUUGCCAAAGGUAGCACGUCUUCUUUCCUUUGAGGAUGAGGCCCUAAAGCAUCAUAAACGACCUCCAUAGUCUUUUGGAGAGUAAACUGCUCAAUCGCUUGCUUAUCUCUCCCAUAGGAAUAGUGGAAGCUGCAAAACACAAAAAUAAGUUUUAAUCAAGAAAAUGAGGACUGAAAAUGUAAAAAUAAAAAUAAUAAAUAUCAGCAGCACGUCAAUCACUCCUAUGAGGGAACUGAAUGCAUUUGAAGACAUCGUAUUUGAAAGGAGAGAGGCUAGCCGGGCAAAGUACAUUUGCUCCCACUUAGACAGGUAGAGAAAAACAUUGCAAGUGGGAUCAAUGUUCCCCCAAUCAAAACUCCAUUCUUGCUCUCCCCUUAGACCGACAACGGCGAAACUCUCUAUCCAGUGAUGGUAGAGUCUUUAUGACCAACAAUAAAAGACAGACCCAUCCGACCACUGAAGCUCCAUAACCCAUGAUUUGGUGAUCCUAAAAAAAGACCUAAAAAGACUAAUAGAUGGCCUGAAGCCCCUGCCUCAACACACUGCCUCAAAAACUUUCAUGAACAUGAUAGAGUUUGGAGUUAACACUCUAGGAAAAACCCUAUAAAACCUAAAAACCCCCAAUGAAAAAAUGGGAAAGGGGAAAAGGCAACCCGUUUUUCUGAAUAAUAGCUAAUUGUAGUUACUUUUUUUUCCUUGAACCCUAAACUAUAUGUUUUAUAGGUUGAAAAAUAAAAAGGGAGAUUUAUUAUUUAGUCUCUGGGUUUUGCCAUUAUUAACAAGUCAGUUUUUGUACUUUUAAAAACCUAUUAAAAUGUCUUUAUUUUUUCUCUCCGUCAACAAAAUAAUUUUUCUGUUUAAUUCUAUCUAUUUAUGCCAUUAAAAAUAUAUCAAAAUAUUAUAUUACCGCUUUCUUCUUUGGUUCUUCGUAAAAAAAUAUUAAGAAGAAAAAUUAAAUUUUAAAAAUUGAGUUAUUGAGAAAGAAGAAGAAAAAGAAGUAAAAGAAAUUAGAUAAUAGAAAAAGAAAGAAGUAAAAAAAUUGGAUUUUAAAAAUUAAAUGAUUGAGGAAGACGAAAUUGAAUUAGAAGGGGUUAUUGAGAGCAAAAUUGAGUUUUAAAAAUUUCUCUAAUUUUUUAUUUAUUUUUAAUAAAUAAAAAAGAUAGAACAACUAUUUCAUUAAUGAAUAGAAAAAAAAAAGAAGUGUUUUAGUAGAUUUUUAAAAUUAUAGAGAUUGAUUUAUUAAUAACGGUAAUACCUAAAAAUUAAAUAAUAAAUUUCCAAAUAAAAAAUUGGAUGUUUCCUAAAUAUUUUAUUUAUCAAUACUAAAUAAUGUUUCCUAAAUAUUUUAUUUAUCAAUACUAAAUAAUAGAGCUCAUAAAGUUUUUUGGAUUAUGAGGCUAAUGUCUCUUUUAUUUUUUAAAGCUUUUAUAAUUUAAUUUUUAAAAAAUUAAAUAAAUAAUUUGUUAGGACUAAUUGUCCAUAACCUUUGAUUGGAUGACAAAGAUAAUUAUCUCUCAAAUUUUGCAUUUUUAUUUACAUAAUUAUUAAAAUUAAAGUAAUAUAUAUAUAUAUAUAUAUAUAUAAAAGAGAAUUUAUCCCUUACGAUGGAUGCAAUUUGAUUUUUACCAUGUAUUAAUUUAAUAUAUUAGCUAGCUUUUUUUGGCCGAGUUGGAAAUUUUUUUUAUGAAGAUUUUUUUUUAAAAUUUUAUAGAAUUUCUCUAUCCAAAAUUUAAUUUUAUGCAAUAGAGUAAAUUUUACAAUUUUUUCACUUGACUGUAGACAUCAAUGGAAGUGAGGGUGGUGCAGCCAGAUAACCUUUUGUACGAUAUUUGAAAAGCCAAAACAUCAUGAACAUCUCUAUCAUCAAGAAAUCAUGAUCUAGUUUUUUGGACGGAGAUGUGCAACUACAGGAUUUGUAUUAGGUCGGUCAAUUUUAGCUAAUUUAACUCCACUAAUACUAUAACUUCAAUUUAAAUUAAAUUAAUUUAGCUUAAUAUAUAGUUUGAAAAUUUUAAUUUAAAAUUAAUUUAGCCUCAAAAUGACCAUUUUUAGCUUAAUUUAAAUUAAAAAUAAAUAACAUUUCUAAUAAGUGCAAGGGAAAAAUAAGUAUUUAAGCAAAGAUUGUAUAAGGAAAAAAAAAAUUGAAAGAAGACAACGCCAUGGCUGCUAUAUAUGGAAAAAAAAAAGAGAAGAAAAAAAGGAAAAUUCUUGGGCACUUCUUGAUCUAUUAAUUUUAACUUGGUGCUUGCAUUGAUGAUCUAUGCUCGAGCACUUAGGUCAGCUGAUACGUAAGGAAACCUCACCUAAUACGUCAUCAACUCCAUAGCCCAGCUAAGAGUCUUCAAUAUUCCAACUUUAUAUAUUGAUGGGCAAGUACCCUCUCCUACACCCAUCACCAGAACCUAGUAUUCAAGCUUUUCUGCUUCCAAUUCAUCUACGCAUAAUCUCUUUUCUAUUGCAGUUUCCAUCUCAUUCUCAAGGAAACAUGGUACCCAAGUUGCCAGAACAAGAGCAUCCCCAACAGGCAUUUGGAUGGGCUGCAAGAGACGACUCUGGUGUCCUCUCUCCCUUCACCUUCUCCAGGAGGUUCUUUUUCUUCUACCUUUCCAUGAAUCUGUCUUGCUUCUCUUUCUACAUCAACAAAUCUUCUUUUUACUUGAAUCUCUAAGAACAAAAUCGAUAAUCCAUUUUUCUAAUUAUCAAUAUAUAACAUGUUUGUGCAGGGCAACUGGGGAGAAAGACGUUUGUUUCAAGGUCCUCUACUGUGGAAUGUGUCACUCAGACCUUCAUAUGGUCAAGAAUGAAUGGGGCAAUUCCACCUAUCCUCUUGUCCCUGGGUACGUAUUCUCAUCUUAUAGUUAUUAGGAACAUUCUUUUUUUUUUUUCAAUUGUAAAGUUAGACGGUUGGAACUUUGAGCCCAAGUCAAUUAACAUAAGAAAUUACGGUUUCUGCUGAAUUUGCAAUGCAGGCAUGAAAUUGUGGGACUGGUGACAGAGGUUGGGAGCAAAGUGGAAAAAUUCAACGUGGGAGAUAAAGUUGGUGUGGGCUGCAUGGUGGGAUCAUGCCAUUCCUGCCAUAACUGCACAAACAAUCUUGAGAAUUACUGCCCAGAGAUGAUACUCACCUAUAGUGCUAAGUACUAUGACGGAACCACCACUUACGGCGGCUACUCUAACAUCAUGGUGGCCGAUGAGCACUUCAUCGUUCGUAUUCCAGAUACCUUACCUCUUGAUGCUACUGCUCCUCUCCUUUGUGCUGGGAUCACAGUGUAUAGCCCCUUGAAACAUUAUGGACUCGACAAGCCUGGCAUGCACGUAGGCGUAGUUGGCCUGGGCGGACUUGGCCAUAUGGCAGUGAAAUUUGCUAAGGCUAUGGGAGUGAAGGUUACUGUGAUUAGCACCUCACCUAGCAAGAAGCAGGAGGCUGUUGAGCAUCUUGGUGCUGAUUCAUUUUUGGUUAGCCGUGACCAAGAUCAAAUGAAGGUAUCUAUAAUUUGGAACUUUCUUGGAUAACCCAUGAAUCAGGAAAUUUAUAUUAAUUUAUAAUCUUGUUAAAUCUUAUUGAUACAGGCUGCGAUGGGUACAAUGGAUGGUAUAAUUGAUACAGUGUCUGCAAUGCACCCUCUUAUGCCUUUGAUUGGGCUACUGAAAACUAAUGGAAAGUUGGUUUUGGUUGGUGCUCCAGAGAAGCCACUUGAGCUACCAGCCUUUCCUUUGUUGAUGGGUAAUUUUCUGUUUCUUUCUUCUUCAUAUUCAUAAUUCAAAUGAAAAUAAAAACCCUUAACAAUUUCAGCUAAUUACAGGAAGAAAGAUGGUGGGAGGCAGUGCAAUUGGGGGAAUGAAAGAGACACAAGAAAUGAUUGAUUUUGCGGCCAAACACAAUAUAACAGCAGAUAUAGAAGUUAUUCCAAUGAAGUAUGUGAACACAGCCAUGGAACGCAUAUUGAAAGCUGAUGUUAGAUAUCGAUUUGUCAUUGAUAUUGGCAACACAAUCAGCUCUGCCCACUGAAUUUAAUAUAUUUAUAUAUCUGUAUUUUCAAUUUUCAAAGUAAUUGCUGAGUUUGAGGAUUUGUACUCUAUAAUCUCAUAAUCAUGUAUUAUGAGGAGUAACUAAUCUUAAAUAAAUUGGAUUUGAGUGAAUGUCAUUUUUUUUAUUUUAAUUUUAAAAAUAAAUGCGGGAAAUGGGAAAGAUGUUAUUAAAUAAAUGAAUUAUAAAGUGUUUACGGCUCAAUGAAUCAUUUAUUUUAAAUUUUUUUUUAUCAGUCAUUUAUUUCUUACUGUAUAAACUACAUUAAUAAUUUAAUAAUAAAAUAAAUUAAAUUCAAACAUUUGAAAAUACGAAAUAAAUAGAUAAUAGAUGUAUUAAAAUGAAAUAAAAAAUUAUUAAAAAAUUAUUAUAUGAAUUAAUAGUAAAAAAAAGUCUAUAUUUUUUAUUUCAUUGUAAUUAUAUUCUGUAAUUCUUUUUUUCAAUCAAAAUCUAACAUUUUAAAAUUAUUUUAAUUGUAUAUGCUAUUUUAAAAAAUUAAUGGAACCGUCACAUCAACACCAUGUAAUCAAAUUAAUCAUAAAAAAUUUUAUAUUUUAUAUUUAUUAUAAUUUCACCCUAUAAUUAUUUUUUAUCAAUUAAAUUUUAUUUUUUUAAUAUCUGACCAAAUAUAUCCUACCGUUAUUUAUACAGUUGAAAACUUAUAAAAUUAUCAUGUUACUUUUUUUCAUUGUUAAAUAUAUUUAAAAAUUGCUAUUAUUAUUAUUUAAUUUUAUUUUAAUUUUUAUUAAUAAUUUUAUAAUAAUAAUAAUUUAUCUUCAUUUUAUUUUUACUAAAAUCAUUAUCAAUCAAUUUUUUUAAUCUAUUUAAUAUGCUUACUGUUUAGCAUUACUUUUAAAACUAUUAUUAAGAAAAUAAUUUUAUUAAAUAUAUUAAUUAUGAAAUACCAAAAAAUAAUUUAAAAUAAUAUUUAAUAUAAUUCGGUUUUAAAAUAUUAAAAAUAAUAAAAUAAUUUUUUAAGAUUUUUUUAAUUGUUCUUUUAACUCUCAAAUAUAAUACUAAUCUGCCACCUUUUUUUUUAAUUAUUUAGAGUGGAUUUAAAAAAUAAUAAUAAAAUAAAUAAUUAUUAGAGUAUAAUUGGAAUAAAAUUAAAAAUAAAGCUAUUUUUUUUUUCAUUACCUCUUAUUAUAUGCCAUUAUAAAAAAAAAACUUGAAAGCAAUUGAGACUAAGAGGUCAACUCUUGUAUUAAUAAUAUGGAAGAAUUUAAUGGCACAUGUUCACUAUUGGAAUAUUAUGUUAUGUAAUGUUAAGGGAAACACCAGUGGCCCAUUCUAUGCCCUGGCACUAUUGGAAUAUGUAGAGGGUUAUUGGUGACAAGUCCAUCCUUGAUGUGAUUUGUUUGUGAUGUGAUUUGUUUGUGAUGUGAUGCAUUUCAUGAAAGCAUGGAUUUUAAUAAAAUGUUUACUAUUCUGCUCACUGGACUCUAGUAGCUCACCCCUUUCCCUUAACCCCAAGUUUACAGGUUCGGAAUAGACUAGGAAGUCAGCAAGAGUAAAAGUUAUUUGUAUGUAAUAGUUAGUUGUGGAUAUGAAAGAUGAUGUAAUGUAAUGUAAGAUUUUGUAUAGUUUUGUAUUGAGGAUUAGCAUUAUGCUUGACCCUAGUGUUAUGGUUAAUUCCUUUGUUCAUGAUCAUUAUGAAAUGUUUUAAUGUUAACCAAACUUAAUGUAUGAUAUGCUACCCCAUUAGAGAAUUUGAUGAGAGCUCUAGUGUGGGGUUUUAUGUUUAUGAGUAUGUGCAUGCACAGGUUAAGCUUGGUGAAAGAAAAAGUUUAAAGUUUUUUAUGUAUUUGUAUGAUCAUGUAUAGGAUUUAUCAGGUAUGACAGAUUGUAUGUUAGGCUUGCUACUGGUUCCGGCGACCUUAAGUCGAUCUGGAUCCUAGUGCCGGUAGCGGUCCGAUUUCGGGUCGUUGCAGCCCUUAUUCAGUUUUCUACUCCUUUUGAGACCCUGCACAUUUGUACAAAUGUGAGAACCACAUCCGGUAUCUAAUACCCAUGAAGUAGAAAUAGAUAAAUUAAUAUUUAUAACAUAAAUAUCCGAAGUCGUAGUCUCACUACUCUUCUUCUUCUUGCACUCAUCCAAAUAGAGUUUGCAAUUUCUCUUCCAAUGCCCUGGUUCCUUGCAAUGGAAACAGACUCCUUCCUUAUAAACUAUUUCCUUAGGAACUUUUGCCUUGGAUUGCCAUUUAGGCUUGUCUUGUCCCUUAGGCCCAUUACCACCUUUAGACUUGGGCUUCCCCUUAUUUUUCAUGGGCUUACCCUUAUUGACAUUCAAAAUUUGGGUAGGCCUUUUCUUGAUAUUUACCUCAGCUGUCUUUAGCAUCCCAUGCAGCUCAAGAAUGGAUUUCUCCAUAUUGUUCAUGUUAUAGUUCAUGAAAAACUGAGAAAAACUGCUGGGUAAAGAAUGUAGGAUCAGAUCCGUAGAGAGUUAUAAACUCAGAGGAUAACCAAGCCUAGCAAGGUGAUCAAUGUAGCCUUUCAUCUUUAAAAUAUGAGCACUAAUUGAUUCACCUUCAGUCAUUUUGAAAUCAUGCAAUGCAAUGGUGGUUUCAUACCUAUCCUGUCUAGCUUGUUGUUGGAAAGCUUGUUUGAGAUGGACACUCAUCUCAUAAGCCUCAAGGUGCUCCAGAUCCUUCUGAAGUUCUGGGCACAUAAUUGCCAACAUAAGACAUCCAAUGUCAUUAGAAUCAUCCUUAUGCUUGUUCUUAACAGCAUUAGUAGCAUCCGCAGGAGGUGGUUCUGGGAUAGCUUCAUCAAGCACAUAGGACUUUUUCUCUUACUUGAGAACAAUUCUUAAGUUUCUAAACCAAUCAACAAAAUUAGUCCCAUUUUCUUUCAGUUUAUCCUUCUUAAGGAUGGAUCGCAGUGAUAAGGUGGAAUUGUUAUUAGCAGCCAUAAUUAUCUACAAAAUAUGCAAAUAUAAUCAAUUUAGUAAAUUAAUAUUGAGGUGAUAAUAAUCUCCUACUAAAAUACAACCCUCAAAAAGAAUUAUUAGAAUUAUAAUAUUUUAGUGGGUUAAGAUCCAUAUUUCACCUAAUUCUAAGUCAAUUUUGGCAUGACGCUUAGAAUUAAGUUAUUUAGGUAGGUAACUCCUUACCAAUUACAUCUAAUGUAACUCUUAGAUUAUGAGGUGUUGACAUUAUAUGUCAAAUUGCAUGUUAUACCCCAUCUAAUGCCCUAGGCCCAAAACCGUUUUAAUAGCCUAAUUAAGCCCAACCAAAAUUAAAUAAAUGAGUAACUAUUACUCAUCCUAUCUUACUAGGAUAACUUAAGCACUUUACUUUGGCAAAACCUGCAUUUUGGUGAUCUUAGUCUUGAUAGGUAUUUAAUAUAUGGAUGGCAUUAAAACUUAAAAUUUUAGAGUGAGGGUUCAACUUUUAAUUUUAAUUAUUUUGUCUUGCAUAUAUAUAUUAUAGCAUCCUAUAUGCAUACAUAUAUAUAUAGACAAUAAUGCAUAGUAUCUUAUAUUAAUAUAUGACAAAAUAAUAAAAUAUAGUCAUUUAAAUCUGAUUUAAAGACUAAAAGAAAAUAAUUUAAAAUUUAUUUUCUUAUUAAUAUAUUUUUUUAUUUUAUUUCCAGGGGUAGAAUUGUAAUUUGGACAUUAUCUUCUUCUUCAAGAAGCCCUAUUCGCCGCCAUCUACUGCUUCACCAUAUGCCAUCGCAUGCUCAUGUGGACAAGACAGCUGUGUUCUGGCCAUCACGUGUGAUGGUUGACAGUAGCUGGUCCUUUCCAAAUUCUGGGUUCACAAUGACUGUUCAUCGUGAAUCCAUUUCUUUUUAUUUUUUUUAAAUGAUAAAAUUAUUUAUCCACAGUUAUCAUGCCAUUCUAAUAAACAUAUAUCGCAUAUAUAAUAUCAAUCAUGGCAUAAUUAAUUUAAACGAGAAGCACAGGUUGGCUAUGAUACCAUUGUUGGGAAAUCCAGAGAUUAUUGCAACCCAAAUUGCACAGCGAAAAAAUAAAAUCUCGAAUUUCCUUUUCCCAGAAUCUUAGUGCUUCAUUUAAUUCACAAGAAUGAUAUGAGACUAACCUGUUAAUCUCGUCGAGAAUAUACAAUGUUGGACUAAUGGUGCUGCUUUUUCAAACGAACACCCUCUAUGGUAUCCACAUGAACGUCUUCUAUUCUUCUAGAGUACUAGCUCUCUCAAAGAUAGAUAGAUUAUGUGCUCUACAAUCUGCAGCCUUUUAGACUGAGUUUUCUAAAAAAUGUAUCCCUUCUACAAUUCGUAGAAGGGGUAUUUAUAUGUUUCAUUCUUUUGUUUUUCCCUCAACUCCUUACUAUCACAAUCUCACAGAUACUCAAAUAUCUUAUGUGAUAGAGUCCUUUAUCUGUAACAGUUACAGAUAGACUGCAGAUCUUUUAAAUAUUAUUAUCUCAUAAUAAUAAAUUAUUAAUAAUAAUAACACUAUUAUUAUUAAUUAUAUUAAUAAUUAAUAUUAAUAAUAAUAACACUUUAUUAUUUUUAAUUAUAUUAAUGAUUAAUAUUAAUAAUAAUAACACUUUAUUAUUAUUAAUUAUAUUAAUGGGCUUUAGGCUUUUAGCCCAUUAAUAUGACAUAACACAUCAACAACGUUCUUUUGUGUGUGAUCCAAUAGGCUCACAUUAAUUGGCAAUAGGCCCAGUCUAGCAAGAUAUUAUGACUACCCAACUAAUAUGAGGAUCAAUAGUCUGAUAAAGCCUAAUAAAUAUAAUAUGAAUUAAUCCCUUUGUCACACGUUAUCUAGUUUGAAUAUAAGUCAUGGUCAAUGUCAAACUUAUAAUGUUCAAACUUAUGAUUUCUUGAUCUCUAAGUAGACUGAUAAAAAUCAAAUGAUAUUGAUCACACUAUCAAUUCAUUUGAGCACGGCCAUGCAUUUCUCAGUCUCACUUAUCGAGGGGCCCAGAAGAUAUCUCUCUCGGAGAGAGGGACAAAUCCUAUCUUGAUUGUUCAUUAUCCUCUACAUAAUUUCUAUUAUGCUCAAUCAUAACCUUUAUGAUUGUCCGAUUAAAGACAAUGUUUGGUUAUGUCAAAACAUAAUAGUCCUUAUGUUGGAAACUAUGUGUAACAGCCCGCUUACCGGACCGCCACCGGCACUAGGAUCCAGAUCGGCUUAAGGCCGCCGGGACCCGUAGUAAGCCUACUGUAAACUCUGUGUACCUGUUAAAUCCCAUACAUGAUCCUCAUAAGCAUAAAACUGUAAACUGUAAACUCUGUGUACCUGUUAAAUCCCAUACAUGAUCCUCAUAAGCAUAAAACUGUAAACUGUAAACUUUUUUUUUUUUUUUCUUUCGCAUAUCCUAAGCUUGGUCUAAACAUUCUCUGUAUGCACUCUGAGAGUGAUACCUACUGUGGUACCAUACAGGAUAGAACGAUAGAAAACCCCUUUUUCCAGAGCUCUCAUCAUAUGCUCUGGAUGGGUCAUACUAUCAUACACCAAGCUUAGUCUCAUAAUCAUAAUCAUAACUUAACUUAAAACAUAAAACAUAAAACUGAUCAUGUACACAAGGGAUAAACAUACACUAGGGCCAAGCACAAUACUAUACUCUGUACAAGUGUACAUAACAUAAACUUUGUACUGUACAUCAUCAUGUCCACUACUCUAUACUAUUACAUAAACUCUUGCCCUUGCUGUCUCUUUCUCUUUCUCUUUCUUGAGGCCCUGAAAUAUGGGGUUAGGGAGAGGGAUGAGCUACUGAAGCCCAGUGAGCGGAAACAAUAAAAACAUUUAAAAGAUGCUAUCAUGAAAUGCGUCACAGCACAACCAUUUCACAUCAAGGAUUGGACAUGACCUCAGGACUCCCUCUGUCGAUACCCGGCCCCCGUAGGAACUCACACAAGUAUCUCACUAACUGCUCAUGGUGCCCGGCCCUAAAAGGGCUCACACAGGACUUAUCCAAGUCUAAUGUCCCGGCUCCCUUUGAAGGAGCUUACACAAGACAUGAAAUCUUGACAGAUAUAUGGGCUACUGCGGUCGCCUUGGUCCAAUCCACAUAGACAAAUAAUAAUGCAAUGCAACAACGUCGUGUAUACUAAUGCAAUGCAAUACAUCCUUUACUAACAUGGCAUCAAUGAUGCAUGAAGCAUGCUAAAAUAGUCAUUAACUUAAAAACAUAGGUCUGUUCCACUCACCUCUGAUAACUGUUGUAACAGUCUCUGUAACUCUAACUCUGUGGGCCUCCUUGGUUUCUCGGGUCCGCACCUACACAGGUGGACUCAAAUGAGAACCAAACUUAGCUUAACAUAACUCUAAACAUCUCCCCAAAACCCCUCUAAAACAUCAUAAGCAUGCAUGAAAAACUGGGCAAAGGAAGGUUGGACAGGGCACUUUCGGCGGCAGGUUCGGCGACCGAAAGUCCCUCCAGAGACGAAACUCAGGCACUUUCGGCGGCACCUUCGGCGGCCGAAAGUCCUCUCUAGAGACGAAAGUCUCAACCUUCGGCGGCAUGUUCGGCGGCCGAACCCUCCUUCCAGAGCCGAAAGUCCAUUCUUUCGGAGGCAGGUUUAGGCAGCCGAAACAGCCUCCACAAGGGGUUCGGCGGCCGAACCUUCUUUCGGCGGCCGAACCUGAGCUCUCCUCAAAGGCAGAACCCGAGCACAACUCAUGCUCACAGCCUCCAACUAACUCAAAAACACCCAAAACAUGCAUACCAACUAUCCACAACUAGCAUAUAACAUAUCUCAUGCAUAUAGGGGCCUCUAAACUAGCUUAAACCCCACAAGCAACAUAAAACCUCAUCAAAACUCAUAUGAUCAACAUAUGCUCAAACUCAUGGUUACACCCCAAACCAUGCCAUAAACUCUCUAAAACUCCUUAAAACAUACUUGAAACUUAAGGAGAGGUGAGGAUCCAUGCUUACCUCUUGAAGAACGAGAGGAUUGAUGGUCCAAGCUUGGAGAUGGGUGUAAAAACCAAUCAAAGUCUCCAAGUGCUCAACUUUUCUUCCUUUUGCUCAAAACUCUAAAACAAAGUUCAAAACAUGUUAAAACAUGCAAGAUUUGAAGAAAUUUCAUGAAAACAUACCAAGGGGAACAUGAACCUACCUUUGACCCAAAAACAGAGAGUUCAACACCCCUGUUCUCGGUCAAAAUGGCUUUUAUGGGUGGCCAACCGCCUCUCCUUCGGCUGCCGAAACUGCAUGCGAAACCAUGCAACUUUCGGCGGCCGAACUUCCCUUCGGCGGCCGAACUUCCCUUCGGCGGCCGAACCUGGCCUUUGUCCCCUUGCUCUUUUCCUUUCAAAACUCAUUUUUCCUUAAUCCAAAACCAUUCAAAACAUGAGAAAACAUAUAAAACAUUUUAAAAAAAACCUCUCUUAUACCCUUAGGGCAGGCUCCGACAUCCUCGAAUCCCAGAUUCCAACAGAGAAUCCGUCGGAUCGUAGGAAUUCCGAUACCGGGGUCUAGCCGGGUAUUACACUAUGAUAAUCUCAAGUCAAAUGAUUAAGACAUAACUACUUUGAGAUUCACUUAUGACAAUAACCCAUGUAGUGAUCUCAGUACUGGUCCAUCCAAUACUUUAUUCUCUAACAAGUAUCUAUGAUUAUUGAAUUAUAUCAACAAGUAUCUCAUGAUUAUCAAUCAAUAAUCAUACUAGCUAUAUUUUAUUAUUAUCAACAUAAUAAUAAGUAACCAGGGAUGAUAAUCAUUAUUAUGUAACAUGCAAAUAAAUAAUAAUGAUAAAAACCUCUUUUAUUAAUAACCAAAACGACAUACAAAAAGGUCUAAGAUAAUGGCCUAGGGCAUAUACACUAACAAUAAUUAUCUCGAACGUAGAGGAGUUAACACUGAUCGCCGACAGGUUAAUGUAGUUUAGCAGAUAGCCGAAACUGACAAGGAAGUGGAUGACGAUGAUGGAUCUAUUGCUAGUUCUGAAGAUGGAGAGGUCACCUAUGUGAUAAAGAAAAUCUUAUGCUCAACAAAACAGGAGGAUGAGAUGCAAUGGAGGAGGAUUUUCCAAGCAAAGUAUCGAGUAGGAAAGAUAAUUUGCAGGCUAAUUAUAGAUAGCUGCAGUUGUGAGAAUUUGAUAGCUAAGCAAAUGGUGGAAAAAUUACAGUUGCCUAUACAACCGCACCAUUCACCAUACAAAGUCGGAUGGAUUAAGGAAGGUCCGACAAUUGAGGUCAACAGAAUCUGCAAUGUGCCUAUCUCGAUCGGUAAAUCUUAUACUGAAUCUGUUAAUUGUGAUGUUGUGGAUAUGGAUUGCUGUGAAAUUUUGUUAGGUUGCCCUUAGCAAUUCGAUGUUGAUGCUUUGCAUAAGGGGAAGGAGAAUUCAUACAUGUUCACGUGGAAUCAAAAAAAGAUUACUAUUUUGCCUUCCGAUUCUAUGAAACAUUCUAAAGUGGAAGGGAAGAAUGUUGUUGGUGUUUCCACGGGAGUUGACUCGCAGUUGUAGAAACUGGUAAAAAAUAACCUUUUUGAUUAUCAACAAUUUACAACUAUAGAUAGUGGUGAAAGGAUCGAAUCCACAAGGAAUUAAAAACUUACUUAUUUUCCUUAUCAAGACCAAGAAAAUAAACUGAAACAAAACAUAAACUGAAAGAGAUAAACUGAAACGAGAUAAACGAAAUAAACUGAAACGAGAUAAACUGAAACGAGAUAAACUGAAAGCAAAAAUAACUGAAAGAGAAAUAAAUUGAAACGAGAUAAAACUGAAAGCAAAAAUAACUGAAACGAGAUAAAACUGAAAACAAAAAUAACUGAAACGAGAUAAAACUGAAAACAAAAAUAACUGAAACGAGAUAAAACUGAAAGUAAAAUAGGGGGUUUGAGAUUGAUUUAAUUAAACAACUACUGAAAGCAAUAAAAUAAGUGAAUAAUAAAAUAAAAGAGAAAUAAAUAAUGAGAAAGCUCUACUUGAAGAAUUGGAUCCACUUCAGUUGUUGGGAUUGAUCAUUGACACUUAGUUUCUUUUGAUUGAUUCAACAGAUUAGUUAUGGAGAUGGAAGACGCUUCUCACCACCAUGUCUCUCCUUAUGAUUAAACCAAUUAGGGAACGUCCUCUAAUUAAUUACUAAUUAACAAAUUGCCAAGGAACGUCCUUAGUCCUUAGGCAUCAAAACAAUUGUUAAUUGCAUGAAGAGAUAGAGAGAGCCAAUCCUAACUACUCAAACGCAUGAGAUGUUGCUAGAUCAUACAAUUUCCUUAGUUUUUACACCAAGUGUUCUUAUGUUUGAACAAUCCAAGCAAUUACGGACUCAAAAUUAUCCAAACUAAUAAUAUAUUACCUUGCAAUCAAGAAUCAAUUGGCCGUAUUGAUCAAAAUAACAAAGCAAUAAUAGAAUCAAGUAUGAAAUUGCAUGAAUAUUGAAUAACCAAAAGAUAAACAAUGUUUGAUCAAGUCUCCCAAUCCAUAAAACAACUAAAGUAUCACCUAAUCUUCAACUAGAAUAAAAGGUUUCAACCUCUUAUGGCUGAAACAAAAACCAAAAAUAAAAGAAAAGAUGAAAGGUAGAAGAAGAGAUGUGAAUCCCGUAGGUGUCUCCCAAGGGGAGUGUAAAGGGCAUGGGGAGGCUCCUUAUGUGUCUUUUUAUAGUUAAAAGUGUUGCCCUAGGUCUCCCUUGCUUCCUAAUUAGUGAAGAGGCUGCCCAAAGUGCUGAAAAGGAAAGAAUUGCGUUGCUAAUUAUUUAGAAGGAAAGUGGCGCGCGACAAGGCUUCAAAAGAGGAAGGAGGCGUGCCUUGUGCUUCGGAUGGUAAGAGGCGUGAGGCAAGGGUUUCAGAAGAGGAAGAUAUGCUGUUCAAGUUGCUGCCCACGUGCUGUUCAAGUUGCUGCCCACGUGCUGCCCAAGUGCUGCCCAUAUCUUGCACAUUAAUAAGAUGGAGCCUCUCUUUUGAAUUUUGAAUUUUGAAUGUGCAAGACUUGGGGGGCAAGUAUGACUUCUUUGGCUUCUUUGAUAAGCUGAAUUUGAAUUUCAAAAUCUGAAUGUGCAUCUUGAAGAUUUGGCUUCUCAAAUAAGGAAAAGGAUUCUUGAAGAUCUUGAAUUUCAAACUGCUCUGCAGACUGCACUUUCCUUAUUUAGCACUUUCCUUAUUUGGCACUUUCCUUGAUGAGCUGAAUCUUGAAUUUGGAUUUUGAAUUCUCUGAAGGAUUUGAAAUUAGAAUUUCAAAUUACUUUCCUUAUUUGGCACUUUCCUUAUUUGAAAACUUUCCUUUUUGCCACUUUCCAUAUUUGGCACUUUUUGGCAGUUUUAAGAGCAUUUUCUCCAGAUUGUCUCUUUGCACCUAAUAUCUGCAAAACAUGAUUAAAACCACAAAAUUAGGCAGAAAAAAUGCAAAUAAACAUCAAGAACAUCAUGAUAAAAUGGGCUAAAUUAUGCUCUAUCAAAUACCCCCACACCUAACUUUUUGCUUGUUCUCAAGCAAACAAACAUUUUCAAAUAAGCCUUCUUUGCUCUAGAUCCUUAUUACCACUUAAGCUCUUACUCUAGACCCUUAUUUUGAAUCAUUGCAGUGAAGAAUACAUGCAUGAAGAUUACUCACCUUCUUUCCUUGUUUCCCUUUGCUUACCAUGGCUAGGAUUUAUUUUCCUCAAGAGAGACCAUACAUGCACAUGUUUGUUUUGUUAAGACUUUUUCUAGCUUUCAGAGUGACUUGCCCUUACCUUGAAGUACUUUAUUCAGGCUUUAAAUUUUUUUUUUUUGCACUUUAUCCUUGCUUGAAAAAGUCACCAACCUUUUGACGUGAAGGUGAUAUAUUUGUGAUACCCACCCCCAGUUACUCAGUUUGUCACCUGUCCAAGUGGCUACUAGCUCUGUUCAUAGUCUUUUGACCAUUGGAACAGUUUUCAAUUUGUGCUUUUGAGGUCUUUGCCUUUGCUGAAUUUUCUUUCUCUCAAUGAUUUGGGCAAAUCAACACCAAUUGCUAAAACAAGUCAUGUUAAGUUCAUUCACACAAUUUCAAUUUAUUCUCUCUAAUGAGGGUCAUCAGUAUACUUUUCACCAUGGCAAGUUCUAAGAUUCAAUUCAAAAGGCAAUUCUCAAACAUGAAUAUAACUCACUGCAAUUUAUUCAACAUAAGUUUAAAGAGUCAUCACAUCAAUGGGGUCAUGGAAAGAAAGACUCAUCCAACAUAGCUCAUAAGUUUGAGUAAAGCAAAUCAGAACACAAACGAGAAGCUGUGGAAAAAUGAAAAAAAUGAAAAAAAUCACACUCAAAAUGAAAACAGAAAUUCAAACUGAAAAUUAAAGCAAAAAUUAAAAAUUAAGAAAUAUGCACCCCCACACCUAAAUCAUGCAUUGUCCUCAAUGUAUAGGAAUUAUUAAAAUGCAAAAGAAACUGAGUACUCCCCUGGGUGUGGUGUGCAUGGUGCGAUCCACUUGAUCAAGGCUCAAGUAAUUGGGGAAGGGAAAAGAGUCCCAACUGAAUUAAGUAGAAAGUGUAGCACGCCCUUUGAUUUAGUCAUAGCCCAUCUUAUUUUUUCCAUGUACUCAUGAAGUAACAUGAUUAGCUUCUCCUCUUUCAGGUGAGGUGUGCCUCUAGCCCUUAUGUUUGCAUUUUUUAGAUGAUUGGGACGCACUUUGAACUCCAAUUCAUGUUUCUCUAUGGCUAACUGCAAUUUAGUACUGAAUUUAGGCAAAACAAACUCUACCUUAUCCAGAGGUUUGGGAAGGCAUUGAUCCGCAUGGUCCUUUGGUUUAGGUGCUUGGAAUACCAUUUGUUCCUUAUGAGCAUGGGUUGUUUGCAUUGGAAGGCUGAAAGGAGUUUCAGUUUGCUCCUUCUGCGCAAGGCCUGACUGAAAGGGAGGACUGGAGGAGCUUGACUGCGUUGGAAGCUGAAAGGAUGCGAUGGAGGUGGCUUCAGGUUGCGCAAGGCUCAUUUGCGAAUUCUCCUGAAGAGGUGCGACAGAGCUCUCUUCAGUAUGUGCUUGGCUGCAGUUCACCUGUUGGAUGCAACAGUCAGUUUCUUUCAAUUCUGGCUCUUUCUGGUUCUUUUCCCUGCAAAAAUCAUUGUUUAGCAUAUCAUCUUGAUUUACAUAAAAAUUUUCUUGGCUCAUACAAUCAAUGAUAUCUAAACUUUCAGCAAGUUUUGUUUGAUUAGUCUGUUUAGGCAAACAAUUUUCUGGUUGUUUUUCUUCAGCAGCUUGCUCUUGUACUUGUGAGCUUUCAUCAUCUGUCUUAUCAUCUUGAAACUUUUCCUCUCUUCUUAACACGCGUGCACUCAUUGAGGUGGCCAAUUGUCCUAUCUGCUGUUGGAGGCCUUGCAUAGAACUUGCCAUUGUCUCCAUCAUCUUCUCAAGGUGCUGGUAGGAACUUGGAGGUUCUGGUUGGGCUUGAUAUCCUUGAUAAUCCUGGUAGUUAUUAGCCUCUGCAUAACUGAAGUUUGGAUAGUCUCCCUAACCUGGAUUAUAUGUAUUAUAGUAGGGAUCAUGUCUUGGUUGUUCGUGGAAUCCUCCAUAUGCAUGAACUGGUUGGUCAUACUGAUAAAGUGUGGGACAGUGAUCAGUUGGGUGUCCCAAAUAUCCACAGAUCCUACAUGGCCUUGGUGGCUAGGAUGCUUGAACCUGUUGAACUAGUCUUAUGGCAAAAUCUUUCAUAAAAAAUGUCAGAAAAGAAAGAUCAGAUCUACUUACCUCAUCCAUGAUUCAGAUCUGCGAUGGUAACUGUGCCUUUGGUGAGAUGAUGGGCGAUCUGAAUGGUGAAGAGAAGGAGAGAUGUGCGAUGGAGAUGUUUCAGAAGAGUUUUUUUUUUCUUUUUGGUCCUGAAAGAAAAAAAAACAAAUAAGUUAAAUCAACUCCCCGGCAACGGCGCCAAUUUUUAACUCGCGUUUGUCGAAGCCGGUCAAAAAUAACCUUUCUGGUUAUCAACAAUUUACAACUAUAGAUAGUGGUGAAAGGAUCGAAUCCACAGGGAAUUGAAAACUUACCUAUUUUCCUUAUCAAGACCAAGAAAAUAAACUGAAACAAAACAUAAACUGAAAGAGAUAAACUGAAACGAGAUAAACGAAAUAAACUGAAACGAGAUAAACUGAAAGCAAAAAUAACUGAAAGAGAAAUAAAUUGAAACGAGAUAAAACUAAAAGCAAAAAUAACUAAAACGAGAUAAAACUGAAAGUAAAAUAGGGGGUUUGAGAUUGAUUUAAUUAAACAACUACUGAAAGCAAUAAAAUAAGCGAAUAAUAAAAUAAAAGAGAAAUAAAUAAUGAGAAAGCUCUAGUUGAAGAAUUGGAUCCACUUCAGUUGUUGGGAUUGAUCAUUGACACUUAGUUUCUUUUGAUUGAUUCAACAUAUUAGUUAUGGAGAUGGAAGACGCUUCUCACCACCAUGUCUCUCCUUAUGAUUAAACCAAUUAGGGAACGUCCUCUAAUUAAUUACUAAUUAACAAAUUGCCAAGGAACGUCCUUAGUCCUUAGGCAUCAAAACAAUUGUUAAUUGCGUGAAGAGAUAGAGAGAGCCAAUCCUAACUACUCAAACGCAUGAGAUGUUGCUAGAUCAUACAAUUUCCUUAGUUUUUACACCAAGUGUUCUUAUGUUUGAACAAUCCAAGCAAUUACGGACUCAAAAUUAUCCAAACUAACAAUAUAUUACCUUGCAAUCAAGAAUCAAUUGGCCGCAUUGAUCAAAAUAACAAAGCAAUAAUAGAAUCAAGUAUGAAAUUGCAUGAAUAUUGAAUAACCAAAAGAUAAACAAUGUUUGAUCAAGUCUCCCAAUCCAUAAAACAACUAAAGUAUCACCUAAUCUUCAACUAGAAUAAAAGGUUUCAGCCUCUCAUGGCUGAAACAAAAACCAAAAAUAAAAGAAAAGAUGAAAGGUAGAAGAAGAGAUGUGAAUCCCGUAGGUGUCUCCCAAAGGGAGUGUAAAGGGCAUGGGGAGGCUCCUUAUGUAUCUUUUUAUAGUUGAAAGUGUUGCCCUAGGUCUCCCUUGCUUCCUAAUUAGUGAAGAGGCUGCCCAAAGUGCUGAAAAGGAAAGAAUCGCAUUGCUAAUUAUUCAGAAGGAAAGUGGUGCGCGGAUUGCACUGCAGAAGGAAAGUGGCACGCGGCAAGGCUUCAGAAGAGGAAGGAGGCGUGCCUUGUGCUUCAGAUGGUAAGAGGCGUGAGGCAAGGGUUUCAGAAGAGGAAGAUAUGCUGUCCAAGUUGCUGCCCAAGUGCUGCCCAUAUCUUGCACAUUAAUGAGGUGGAGCUUCUCUUUUGAAUUUUGAAUUUUGAAUGUGCAAGACUUGAGGGGCAAGUCUGACUUCUUUGGCUUCUUUGACAAGCUGAAUUUGAAUUUCAAAAUCUAAAUGUGCAUCUUGAAGAUUUGGCUUCUCAAAUAAGGAAAAGGAUUCUUGAAGAUCUUGAAUUUCAAACUGCUCUGCAGACUGCACUUUCCUUAUUUAGCACUUUCCUUAUUUGGCACUUUCCUUGAUGAGCUGAAUUUUGAAUUUGGAUUUUGAAUUUUUUGAAGGAUUUGAAAUUAGAAUUUCAAAUUACUUUCCUUAUUUGGCACUUUCCUUAUUUGAAAACUUUCCUUUUUUGGCACUUUCCAUAUUUGGCACUUUUUGGCAGUUUUAAGAGCAUUUUCUCCAGAUUGUCUCUUUGCACCUAAUAUCUACAAAACAUGAUUAAAACCACAAAAUUAGGCAGAAAAGAUGCAAAUAAACAUCAAGAACAUCAUGAUAAAAUGGGCUAAAUUAUGCUCUAUCGGGAGUGCAUAGGCUAUCAGGCGCAGUUGAGAAAUCUGAAGGCACACUGGCUUUAUUGGUAAGAGAAAAAGGUACAAUGGAGGAUGUAUCAUCUUUACCACCACCCGUCAAAGAGCUGUUGAAAGAGUUUCCUAAGAUAGUGGAGGAAUCAUCCAAGCUUCCACCUCUAUGGGAUAUCCAACAUCAGAUUGAUCUCAUUCCUGAAUCAAAAUUACUGAAUCUGCCUCAUUACAAGAUGAGUCCAAAGGAGAGUGAAAUCCUCUAAGAACAGGUUGAAAAAUUACUGAAGAAGGAACAUAUUCAGAAGAGCAUUAGCCCUUGCGGAGUACCUGCCCUAUUAGUUUCAAAGAAAGAUGGGACUUGGAGAAUGUGCGUGGAUAGCAGGGCCAUCAACAAAAUUACAGUUCAGUAUCGAUUUCCUAUUCCAUGAUUGGAUGAGAUGCUGGAUCAGCUAUCCGAGUCUAAAGUCUUUUCUAAAAUCAACCUUAAAAGUGGCUAUUACCAAGUUUGGAUCAAGGAAGGAGAUGAAUGGAAGACUGCCUUCAAGACUAAGGAAGGCUUGUAUGAGUGGCUGGUUAUGCCCUUUGGUUUGACGAAUGCACCUAACACUUUUAUGCACUCAUGAAUCAGGUUUUGCGUCCUUUCUUAUGCAAAUUUAUGGUUGUUUAUUUUGAUGACAUCUUGAUCUUUAGUCGCAGCAAAGAAUAACAUUUACAACAUCUCCGUCAAGUCAUGACAAUCUUGCAAGAAAGUGAGUUGUUAUUAAUCUUAAGAAGUGCAUUUAUAUGACGGAGCGUGUUCUGUUCCUGGGGUUCGUUGUUAGUGCAAAAGGGAUACAUGUUGAUGAGAAGAAAGUAGAAGCAAUAUGGAAUUGGCCCAUCCCCAAAACUAUUUCUGAAGUUCGCAGCUUUCAUGCCCUUGCUACUUUCUAUCGACUGUUUAUCAUAAAUUUCAGCAGCAUCAUUGCCCCAAUCAUAGAUUGCUUGAAGAAAGAGAGAGUACAGAAAUUUGCAUGGACUGAAGCUGCCAACAAGAGCUUUGAAGAGAUUAAAUAUAAGCUUACUUAUGCCCCUAUUCUUGCUCUACCCGAUUUUGAAAAACUGUUUGAGGUUGAAUGUGAUGCUUUUGGAGUUGGGAUUGGUGGAAUGUUGUCACAGUCUAAAAGGCCUAUUGCCUUCUUUAGUGAGAAACUGAAUGAAACUAGAAAGAAAUUGUCUACUUAUGAGUAGGAGCUAUAUGCAGUAUUCUAGGCUUUUAAAACUUGGGAGUAGUAUCUGAUGGGGCGAGAAUUUAUUAUUCACACAGAUCAUCAAUCUUUGAUCCAUUUUAAAACUAAAAAACAUGUGAAUAAGAUGUAUGCUUGAUGGGCAGCUUACUUUGGAGCCUUCCAUUAUGUCAUCAAACAUAAGGCUGGCCAUAGUAAUAAGGUGGCAGAUGCUUUGAGUAGGAGGGCUGCUUUGUUGAUUACAGUUAAUCAGGAGGUUGUAGGUUUUGAAUUUCUGAAGGAUUUGUAUACUACAGAUGAUGACUUUGCUGAUAUAUGGGCUAGAGUCCAGACUCACCAGCUUGCUAAUGGGUUCUUGGUACAUGAUGGCUUUUUUUUUAAGGAGAAUAAGUUAUGCAUCUCUUGAUCUUCUUUGCAGGAAAAGCUGAUUCGAGAGGUCCAUGGAGGAGGUUUGAGUGGUCAUUUGGGGCGUGACAAGACUAGUGUUGGGUUGGAGGAGCGUUUUUAGUAGCCAUAAUUAAAAAGGGAUACAGGUUGGAUUGUAAUACCCGGCUAGACUCCGGUAUCGGAAUUCCUACCGUGCGGUGGAAUCUCGGAUGUCGGAGCUCUCCAGAAGGGUAAUAUAUGUUUUUCUAAAAUGUUUUCAUGUGUUUUAAGGUUUUAAGUAAGAAAGAAAAUGAGUUUUUGAAAGAAAAAUACCAUGGAAGGAAAUCCAGGUUCGGCCGCCGAACCUCAUGUUCGGCCGUCGAACAUGGUGGAGUUUAGGGAGCACCUUUGGCCUCCGAAGGUGGUCUGGCUAGCCACCUAUAAAAGGCUCCAUGUCCGGAAAUGGGAGAGUUUUCUUCUCCAUUUUCGGGCAAAGGUGAGUCCAUGCCCUUCCAUGGUUAGUUUAGAUGUUUUUCUUCAAUCCCUUCAAUUUUUAAUUAGUUUUAACUUGGUUUUGAAGAUUUUUGAGCGAAGAUCAAGUUUUUGAGCUUGGAGACCCAAGGAGCUUGAUUUCUCCCAUCUCCAAGUUUGGAUCGCCUCUUCUCUCGGUUUUCAAGAGGUAAGUAGAGAUCCUACCCUUCUUUUAUGUUUUAAAUAAGUUUUGAGGGGUUUUAAGGGAAUGUGAUGCUUGGUUUGACUAUAUGUUUUAUGUUAGGGUUUAUGUUAGUUUUAUGGGUAAUGUAUGUUAUAUAUUUGUUGGGGUUUAGGCUAGUUUGAGACCCCUAUAUGCUUAUGAAUGUGUGUAUGCAUGUUUUGGAAGUGUUGGAUGUGAGUGUGAGAGGUUUUGGAGGCAGAUUGCAUGAGGCGGAAUCGGGUUCUGCCUUUCUGAGGAACCCAGGUUUGGCCGCCGAAGGUGGUUUCGGCUGCCGAACCCGCCUGUGGAAGCAAUCUUUGACCGCCUAAACUUGCCCCCGAAAAUGGACUUUCGGCUCUGGAAGGGACUUUUGGCCGCUGAAAGUGCAUGACUUUCGUCUCUGGAGGAGACUUUUGGCCGCCGAACCUACCCCCGAAAGUGCCUGACUUUCGGAUCUGUGGGGCAUUCGGCCGCCAAAUCUGCCGCCAAAGGUGCCCUGUCCAGCCUUCCUUUGCUUGUUUUGCAUGCAUGUUCUGUGAUGUGUUAGGGGGUUUUUGGGGAGUUGUUUAGAGUAAUGUUUAUGUAUGUUUGGUCUCUCAUUUGAGUCCACCUGUGUAGGUUCGGACCCGAGGAAUCGAGGACCCCAGCAGUGAGAUAGCUGCUUCAGAGUCUGUUCAGAGUCAGCCUGAGGUGAGUAGAAUGGAUCUUUAUUGCAAAGUAAAUAAAUUUUGAGCAUGUUCAUGCAUCAAGAAUGCCAUGAUAUAUACUAGGUUGUAUGCAUUAGAAUUCACGAAUAUGUUGCAUUGCAUAUUAUGAUGUUGAUGUGGGUGGACGUUGGAUGAUCCAUUAGUCCUCGAUAUGAUAUGAGAUGGUAUGGUACGAAAGUCCAAGUCGAGGCCCAUGCUACACCCCUGGCAUAAUGUUAAGAGAAAGUCCAGGUCGAGGCCCAUUCUACGCCCCUAGCAUAUUGGAAUGUUAUGUUAUGCUAUGUUAAGGGAAAGACCAGUGGCCCAUUCUACACCCUGGCACUAUUGGAAUGUAUAGAGGGCUAUUGGUGACAAGUCCAUCCUUGAUGUGAUUUGUUUGUGAUGUGAUGCAUUUCAUUAAAGCAUGGAUUUUAAUAAAAUGUUUACUAUUCUGCUCACUGGGCUCUAGUAGCUCACCCCUUUCCCUUAACCCCCAGGUUUGCAAGUUCGGGAUAGACCAGGAAGUCAGCAAGAGUAAAAGUUAUUUGUAUGUAAUAGUUAGUUGUGGACAUGAAAGAUGAUGUAAUGUAAUGUAAGAUUUUGUACAGUUUUGUAUUAAGGAUUAGCAUUGUGCUUGACCCUAGUGUUUAUGGUUAAUCCCUUUGUUCGUGAUCAUUAUGAAAUGUUUUAAUGUUAACCAAGCUUAAUUUAUGAUAUGUUGCCCCACUAGAGCAUUUGAUGAGGGCUCUAGUGUGGGGUUUUAUGUUUAUGGUUAUGUACAUGCACAUGUUAAGCUUGGUAAAAUGGAAAAAGUUUAUAGUUUUUAUGUUUAUGUAUGAUCAUGUAUGGGAUUUAUCAGGUAUGAUAGGUUGUAUGUUAGGCUUGCUACGGGUCCUGACAACCUUAAGUCGAUCUGGAUCCUAGCGCCGGUAGCGGUCCGUUUUCGGGUCGUUACAGAUUGGUAUCAGAGCUCUAGGUUCAUAUGGUCGGAUCUAGAGAGUGUCGGGCUUAUAGAUGUUAUAGAAGGGCAAGCACAAUAGGAAAAUCAUGUCCACUAGGAUAGGAUAUGGAGUCCUGUCCUGUAUGAUGAUGUGAAAUGCCGUGAUUAUAUGCAUGUGCAUUAAUGAUAUGUUAUGUAUGUGAUGCGGGUUCAUGUGUUUCCACUUGAACCAUAUGAUGCUAAUGUUUUAUGUGUUGUGUGUUGUUUUUCAGAAACAGGAUGAGAGGAACUCGUCGAUCUGCACGAUUGACUGGAGUCCCACCAGAAGGUGAGGGCAUGGAUGCCCGACCCCCUACAUUACCUAGGGCAAUGUCCUGCAGGUCUAGUAGAGAGAGAGUGUCAAGGGACCCUAGAAGGUCUUUUAAUACAAGCAGAAGGGGAGCAGUUCAGGGAGGAGUGUCAGCUGAGGGGGAUGAUAUGGAUGUUGACCAGAGAAGGGAUGGAAGCUUAGGUGUGAGCAUGUCUGAAGAGGGCAUGGGAGAAUCUCAAAGAGGCACUCAGGUCUCGGGGUUUGUUCAACCACCCCAAUAUCCACCCUUUCCACAGGGCCCCGGGUAUUCGAUGGGAGGUACAUCGAAUUACCCCAGCUUUAACCCUUAUCCCUCUUACAUGCCAUAUCCACCUUUCUACCCACCACACCCCCAGUACCCUAUGUAUCCACCCCCAUCCUUUUAUCCAAGUACAGCAAACCCUAACCCAGGGGAUGUUGCACCUCCUCCACCACCAGCAGACCCUAUAGCCCCCGUGACCCAAAUACCCAAACCUAGCUCAUCUGGGGGGAGCAAAGUCAAGAUGACUGAUUACUUGAAGUUGGAUGCUCCCAAGUAUGAAAUAGGUGAUGAUCCGUUUGAGUAUCUCAGGACGGUCAAAAUGAUUACAGAUGAGUUAGGGGCAGAUGACAGUAGAGCCAUUCAGAUGGCUGGGUUCACUCUGAAAUGCAAGAAGGCCCAUGAGUGGUUUAAAAACUAUGUGAACCCGAGGUUGGAUAGUCUAUUGAUAGAGCACAUUUUAGUCUACUUUCUCAUUAUGUUCUUGAUGUUUAUUUACAUCUUUUCUGCCUAAUUUUGUGGUUUUAAUCAUGUUUUACAGAUAUUAGGUGCUAAGGAACAUUUUGGAGAAAAUGCUCUUAAAACUGCCAAAAAGUGCCAAAUAUGGAAAGUGCCAAAGAAGGAAAGCAUUUUGAAAUUCAAAUCUCCAAGAUUCAUAUUCAAAUUUUGAAUUUCAAGAUCCAGCUUAUUAAGGAAGCCAAAUCCCAAGAUCACAUGUUUCCCCUUUCAUGACCAUGCAUAUUCAAAAUUCAAAUUUGCAAAGGAGGCUCCACCUUCCUUAUUAGUGCAUGGGCGGCAAGGAGCAUGUGAAGGCAAGCCUUGGGCAGCAACUUGAAGACACUUGGGCAGUAAACAAAGACCAAGGAGUCCACUCCUUGCAAUUGAAGACAAGCCCCACGUUUUUCCCUUCAUACAUGUGCAUAGAUGGCACACCUUGGACCAAGGACAUUUUGGGCAGCCUCUAAAAGAUGCAUGGACAGCCAAGAAACCCUAAGCAGCCUCUCAAGACAUAUUUAAAGGCCUCAAGAAGACCAAAAGAGGCAGAUUGGACAACAACUCCAUCUCCCCCAUUCGGCCAAGCAAGGACCGGCGCUCCACCUCUCCACUUCUUCCAAUCGGUUCCCCUUUUCCUCUUCUCUUCUUGUUUUUGAUUUUUGUUUCAGCCAUGAGUGGCUGAAACCUUUUAUUCUAGUUGAGGAUUGGUUGAAACUAAGGUUGUUUAAUGGAUUGUGAGAUCUGAUCAUAAACUAUUGUCUUUGAUUUUGUUCAAUAUUCAUGCAAUUGAUGCUUUAAUUCCAUGAUUGCUUUGUUGUUUUGAUUAAAUUGGCCACUUGAUUCUUGAUUGCAAGGUAAUUGAUUGUUAGUUGGGAUUAUUUUUAGUCCAUAAUUGCUGGAAAUAUUCUGACCUAAGAACACUUAGUGUAAAAACCAAGGAAUUGCAUGAUCUAGCAUCAUCUUCAUGCGUUUGGAGUAGCUAGGAUUGGAUCUCUCUAUUUCUUCAUGCAAUUGACAAUUGUUUUGAUGCCUAUAGCCCAAUGAUGUUCCUUGGCAAUUUGUUGAUUAGUAAUUGAUUAGAGGACGUUCCCUAAUUGAUUUAUUCAUAAGGAGAGACAUGGCGGUGAGAAGCGUUUUCCACCCCCAUAACUAAUCUAUUGAAUCAAUCAAGAUAAACUAAGUUUCAAUGAUCAAUCUAAACAACCAAGGUGGAUCCAUAUCUUCAACUAGAAUUUUCUCAUAUUGAAUUCUCUUUUAUUUUAAUUAGUUGCUGGUUUGAUUGCUUUCAGUAGUGAUUUAGUUGCUUUCAGUAGUUUGUUAAUCAAAACAAUCUCAAAACCCCCCUUUUUACUUUUAUUGCACUUUAGUUCUAUUCCGCUUUCAGUUACUUGCUUUCAAUUGCACUUUCAGUUGAUUCUCUUGGUCUUGUUGAGAAAAAUAGAUUGGUAAUCAAUUCUCUGUGGAUUCGAUCCUUUCACCACUAUCUGCAGUUGUAAAUUGUUAAUAACCAGAAAGGUUAUUUUUGACCGGCUUCGACAACCGCGAGUCAUCUAUCCUGGAAAGAGUUUGCAAAUGAGUUUGCAGGAUGGGCUUUCCCUGAUAGCUCAAGAGAGUUGAAGAUCAUUGAGUUUGAACAGUUGAGACAGACAGAACAGAUGAGUGUAGAUGAGUUUACAGAUAAGUUCUUGGAGCUGUUGCCAUAUGUGGGGCAAGCUUAUGAUACAGAUCAGAAGAAGGCAAAGAGGUAUACUAUGAGACUUCACUCUAAGUAUUCCUCCCUGAUUCUUGCAGCAGAGAGGGAGAGCUUCCACACUAUUGUGGAUGCAGCACAAAGAUGGAGGCUAGUGCCAUCAUUCAAGGAACAGUUAAGCAAUCUGUGGCACAAUCUUCGGGUUCCAAGACCCCAGGCAGGGGAAAGUUAGAUCCCUCUUCUCUGAGUGUAGCAACUUCAGGUAGUAAGAAGUGGGGUAAAGCUAAGGUCAAAAAGAACAAGUUCUGGAAUCGAUUGAAAUCAGGUCUGGGUUUAGGUGAUGGCUCGAGCUCAGGUCCAGAUGGUGCAGAAUGUUUGAGGUGUGGUAAACUACACAGGGGAGCGUGUCGGUUUGGGACUACAGCCUGCUUUAGAUGUGGACAGGAGGGACACAUGGCACGGGAGUGUCCUAGAGCACCUUUCAUGGCACAGUCCCAGCAGACAGCUUCUGGUAGUGUGGCUCAGCCAGUAGCUCCAGCUGCGACACAGGGCAGUGGCAGAGGCAGAGGGAGAGGGGCAGCCUCUUCUUCAGCAGGUUCCCGAGGUGAAGGUCCAUCAGCUCCAGCACGGAUCUUCACUAUGACACAGCAGGAGGCUAAUGCAUCAAACACCGUGGUGUCAGGUAAUCUCAUCAUUGGUUGUUCAAAUGUGUAUGCCUUAAUGGACCCUGGUGCAUCUCAUUCUUUUGUUGCUCUGAGAGCUGUAGAGAGGAUGGGUUUGAUGGUCUCUGGGUUAGAGUGUCCCCUUUGGGUCAAUGGACCCAAGUGUGACCCAUCAGUGGCAGAGUCAGUCUGCCAGUUUAGUCCAGUUUUUGUUGAGGGAAGAUGCCUUCCAGCCGACCUUGUGGUUCCAGAUUUGACGGAUUUUGAUGUCAUUCUAGGGAUGGAUUGGCUAUCUACUCAUGGUGCUACCUUGGACUGCAGAGACAAGGUAGUCAGGUUCAGAGGUCAGGAUGGGUCAGAGGUUGUAUUCAGGGGAGACAGGAGGGGUACACCUAGAGGUUUGAUAUCAGCCCUACAGGCUCGUAGGUUGCUCAGAAGGGGUUGUCAGGGGUGUAAUACCCAGCUAGAGUCCGGCAUCGGAAUUCCUACUGUCCAAUGGAAUCUCGGAUGACGGAACCCUUUAGAAGGGUAAUAGCCAUGUUUUCUAAAGUGUUUUGUAAGUGUUUUAAUGUUGUAAGUGUAAAAGAAAUAAGUUUGUUUGAAAGAAAAGCACCAAGGCAGAAAAGCCAGGUUCGGCCGCCGAAGGUAAUGUUCGGCCACCGAACAUGCAUGGCUUUCGGCUUCACUUUUGGCCGCCGAAGGUGGUCUGGCCAGCCACCUAUAAAGGGCCAUAGGUCGGUGAAUGGAUAGGAUUUUUCUUCCUUUCCACUGACAGAGGUGAGACCAUGAUCUUCCUUGGGUGAUCUUUGAAUUUUCUUCAAUCUUUCAAAGUUUUGAUAAGUUUUUAUGAUGUUUUGAAGCUUUUGAGCAAAAGACCAAGGUUUUGAAGCUUGGAGAGUUUGAGAGCAAGUUUCUCCAUACCUCCACGUUAGGAUCGCCUAACCUCACGAUCUUUAAGAGGUAAGUGUUGAUCCCUAGCUUCUUUCAUGUUUUGAGCAAGUUUUAUAAAGGUUUUAUGGGUAGAGAUGCAUGUAUAGGUUAAGAAGGGUUGUGUGAGCUUUUGGUGUAUAUGCAUGCUAUGUGUUAUGUUGUGAUGUUUUGUUGGGGUUUUAAGUUAGUUUUUGACCCCUUUGUGCAUGUACUUGAGUAUAUGCUUGUUUUUGAGAUGUUGGUUGCAUGUUUGAGGAAGUUGGUGAGGGUUUGUGCAUGAAGCAGAGCAGGGUUCUGCCUCACUGGCGAACCCAGAUUCGGCCGCCGAAGGAAGGUUUGGCCGCCGAACGUGCUAAGGAGGUGUUUUCGGCUGCCUAAACCAGCCCCCGAAAGUCUGGACUUUCGGCUCUGGAGGAGGGGUUCGGCCGCCGAAGGUUUGGGACUUUCGGCUCUGGAAUGCCUUUCAGCCCCCGAACCUUGCCCCCGAAAGGGUUCGGCUGCCGAAAGUUAAGUUCGGCUGCCGAAGGUGGUUGAGUUUCGACUCUGGAAGGGACUUUCGGCCGCCGAACCUGCCGCCGAAAGUGCCCUGUUCAGCCUUCCUUUGCAUGUUUUUCUUGAAUGUUUUAGGAUGCUUUGGGGAAGUCUUGGGGAGUUUUAUAGAGAUGUUCUUGAGUUAGUUUGGUCCCUCAUUUGAGUCCAUCUGUGUAGGAAUGGACCAGGGGAACCAAAGAGUUCAGCAGUGAUAGCUGCUUCAGAGUUCUCAGAGUUAGUACAGAGUCAGCAAGAGGUGAGUGGAACUAACUUAUGCUUUUAAACUAAAUGAAAGUUUUAGCAUGAUUCAUGCAUCAUAAAUGCCAUGUGAAUGCUAGGUUGUAUCGCAUUAGAAAUCACGAAUAUGUUGCAUUCCAUUCUAUGUUGUUGGUGUGGGUGAUGUUGAAUGAUCCAUUAGUCCCUAAGGAAGACCAGGUGCCUGUCUCUACACCCUGGCAUGGUAUAUGAGGAAGUCCAGGUGCCUGUCUCUAUGCCCUGGCACGAUGGUAAGUAUGAUAUGUAUGGUUAGUAAGGAAGACUAGGUGCCUACCUCUAUGCCCUAGCAUAGGAUGCUGGGACUAUUGGUGACAUGAUUCACCCUUGAUGUGAAUUGUUUGUGCUGUGGCGCAUUUCAUGAGAGCAUAUUUUAUUAAUAUGUUUUUACUUAUUCUACUCACUGAGCUAUAGUAGCUCAUCCAUUUUCCCUUAACCCCAGUCUUGCAGGUUCAGAGUAUAGAGGGAGGUCAGCAGGGUACAGAGAAAGAGUAAAGAGUUAUGUAAUAGCAUAGUGUGGACAUGUAAUAUUGUAAAAGAGAUGUUUUAGUAUUGUGCUUGAUCCAUAUAUUUUGUAAAUCCCUUUUUGUAUACAUGGUUUGUUUAUAUAAAUGUUUUGAUAAUGAAUAUGAAAACCAGGUUUAACCUAUAGAGUGUUGACUCCGCUAGAGCAUUUGAUGAGGGCUCUAGUAGGGGGUCUGUGCACAGAGUACAGGGAUAGUGCAUGCACAGGUUAAGCCUUGGUACAGAGUCAAGUUUUCAAUUUUUACAAAAAAUGUAUGACCAUGUAUGGGUUUUUAACAGGUACACAGAGAGUAUAGUAGGCUUGCUACGGGUCCCGGCGACCUUAAGUCGAUCUGGAUCCUAGCGCCGGUAGCGGUCCAGUUUCCGGGUCGUUACAAGGGGUUUCUAGCUCAUGUGAGAGAGCUUGACAGUUAGGUUAGGGAGCCCGCCUCAGUGCCCGUAGUCAGAGGGUUUUUAGAUGUUUUUCCAGACGAGCUUCCAAGACUACCACCUGCUAGGGAGAUAGAGUUCGAAAUAGAGUUGAUGCCUGGAACCAGACCGAUCUCUAUCCCUCCCUACAGGAUGGCACCAGCUGAGUUGAAAGAGUUGAAGGAGCAGUUGCAAGAGCUAGUAGAUAAGGGUUUCAUCCGACCGAGUACCUCACCUUGGGGUGCUCCAAUGCUUUUUGUGAGAAAGAAGGAUGGAUCCCUCAGACUUUGUAUCGACUACAGGCAGUUGAACAAAGUCACUACCAAGAAUAAGUAUCCAUUACCUAGGAUUGAUGAUCUAUUAGACCAGCUAGCAGGAGCAAGUUGUUUCUCCAAGAUAGAUCUGAGAUCCGGGUACCACCAGCUGAGAAUAAGAGAAGAAGAUGUGCCGAAGACGGCGUUCAGGACCAGAUAUGGGCAUUAUGAGUUUCUAGUAAUGCCGUUCGGGCUAACUAAUGCCCCUGCAGCAUUCAUGGACCUCAUGAAUAGAGUGUUUAGCCAGUAUCUGGAUCACUUUAUUAAUUGUCUUCAUUGAUGAUAUCUUAGUGUAUUCCAGAAAUGCAAAGGAGCAUGCCCAUCAUCUGAGGACAGUUUUGCAGACCUUGAGGGAGCAUGGCUUGUAUGCCAAGUUCUCCAAGUGUGAGUUCUGGUUAAGGAGCAUCUCAUUCUUGGGGCAUGUUGUGUCAGAACAGGGAACUGAAGUGGACCCCAAGAAGGUAGAAGCUAUAGCUAAUUGGCCCAGACCCACUACAGUAAUAGAGAUCAAGAGCUUUUUGGGUUUGGCAGGUUACUACAGGAGGUUCGUUUAGGACUUCUCUAAAAUUGCCGCUCCUAUGACCAGAUUGACCAAGAAGAGCUAGAGGUUUGUGUGGUCUGAGAAAUGUGAAGAAAGUUUUGAAGAGCUGAAGAAAAUGUUAACGUCAACACCGGUGUUAGCUCUACCUACCAAUAAUGAAGACUUCACAAUGUAUUGUGAUGCGUCCCGUGUGGGACUAGGUUGUGUGUUGAUGCAGAAUGAAAGGGUAAUUGCUUAUGCUUCUAGGCAGUUGAAGAAGCACGAAUUGAAUUAUCCUACACAUGACCUAGAAAUGGCAGCUGUGAUCUUUGCACUAAAAAUGUGGAGGCAUUACCUGUAUGGGGUUAAAUGCGAGAUCUUCACAUAUCAUAAAAGCUUGCAGUACAUCUUGAGUCAGAGAGAGUUGAACCUGAAGCAGAGGAGAUGGGUAGAACUGCUUAGUGACUAUGAUUGUAAAAUUCAGUACCAUCCGGGUAAGGCAAAUGUUGUGGCAGACGCCCUAAGCCGGAAAUCACUUGGCAUUUUGUCCCAUAUUAUAGCAGAGAGGAGACCGGUGGUGAGAGAGUUCUAUAAGCUCAUUAAUGAAGGUUUGUAGUUGGAGUUGUCUGGUACAGGUGCUUUGAUAGCUCCGAUGAGAGUGACACCCGUGUUUCUGGAGCAGGUUGCUCAGAAACAGCAUGCGGACCCAGAGUUAAUGAAGAUUGCCAGGACUGUUCAACUAGGCAAGAAUGAUGAGUUCAGAUUUGACAGCAAAGAGAUCCUCCGCUAUGGGAACAUGUUAUGUGUACCAGAUGACGUAAGUCUGAAGGGAGACAUUAUGAGAGAAGCUCAUAAUGCCAGAUACAGUAUUCACUCUAGAGCCACCAAAAUGUACCAGGAUCUGAAAAGAGUUUAUUGGUGGCCAGCUAUAAAAAGAGAAGUGGCACAGUUCGUGUCAGCCUGCGAAGUAUGUUAGAGGGUGAAGCUGGAACAUCAGAAGCCAGCUGGAAUGCUUAACCCACUGCCGAUUCCAGAGUGGAAAUGGGAGAAUAUAGCUAUGGACUUCGUGGUGGGAUUACCGGCGACGUCCAAUAGACUAGACUCUAUAUGGGUGAUUGUGGACAGACUGACCAAAUCUGCUCACUUCAUUCCUGUCAAGAGUGGCUACUCUGUGGACAAGUUGGCGCAGGUGUAUGUGGAAGAAGUUGUCAGGUUGCAUGGGGCUCCCGUUUCUAUAGUGUCAGAUAGGGGACCCUAGUUCACCUCUAGGUUUUGGCGGAGACUGCAGAAUGCUAUGGGCACCAGACUAGACUUUAGCACUGCUUUCCAUCCUCAGACUGAUGGACAGUCAGAGAGGACCAUCCAGACUAUAGAAGAUAUGCUCAGAAUGUGUGUGCUAGAUUUUGGCGGUUCUUGGAGGCAGCAUCUACCUUUAGUGGAGUUUGCCUACAAUAACAGCUAUCUUACUAGCAUCGGGAUGGCUCCUUAUGAAGCUCUUUAUGGGAGGAAGUGCAUGUCACCUGUCUGUUGGGAAGAAGUUGGAAAACGGUCCUUAGCAGGACCUGAGUUAGUAGAGAUCACCAACAGAGUAGUGCCCAUCAUCAGAGAAAGAAUCAGAACUGCUGUGAGUCGGUAGAAGAGUUAUGCAGAUGUUCGCAGGAAGCAUGUAGAGUUUCAGGAGGGAAAUUUGGUGUUGCUCAAGGUGUCUCCUAUGAAAGGGGUUAUUCGGUUUGGGAAGAAAGGUAAGCUAGCUCCAUGGUACAUCGGACCCUUUGAGAUCUUGCAAAAGAUUGGGAAUGUAUCGUACAAGUUGAACUUACCUGCUUCUAUGGAGAGAAUCCAUCCAGUUUUCCAUGUUUUCAUGUUAUGAAAAUUCGUGUCAGAUCCGGGCAAGGUUCUUAGUGAGCCUGAUAUAGAGAUCCUAGGAGAUCUCACCUAUGUUGAGCAGCCAGUAUGGAUCCUAGACACACAGAUCAGAAAGUUGAGGAACAAGGAGAUCCCGAUGGUGAAAGUCCUUUGGAAUCACCACAAUAUCGAGGAAUGUACUUGGGAGACACGGGAGUCUAUGCUCCAGCAAUACCCUUAUCUCUUUUAAGGUGAGAGUUGUUGUUUUAUGUGCUUCUUUGUUGCUUUAUGUAUGUUAUGCUUGUUUGGUGAAUAUUCGGGGACGAAUGUUCUUAAGGGGGGGAGAAUGUAAUACCCGGCUAGACUCCGGCAUCGGAAUUCCUACCGUCCGGUGGAAUCUCAGAUGUCGGAGCUCUCCAGAAGGGUAAUAUAUGUUUUUCUAAAAUGUUUUCAUGUGUUUUAAGGUUUUAAGUAAGAAAGAAAAUGAGUUUUUGAAAGAAAAAUACCAUGGAAGGAAAUCCAGGUUCGGCUGCCGAACAUGGUGGAGUUUAGGGAGCACCUUUGGCCUCCGAAGGUGGUCUGGCCAGCCACCUAUAAAAGGCCCCAUGUCUAGAAAUGGGCGAGUUUUCUUCUCCAUUUUCGGGCAAAGGUGAGUCCAUGCCCUUCCAUGGUUAGUUUUGAUGUUUUUCUUCAAUCCCUUCAAGUUUUAAUUAGUUUUAACUUGGUUUUGAAGAUUUUUGAGCUAAGAUCAAGUUUUGGAGCUUGGAGACCCAAGGAGCUUGAUUUCUCCCAUCUCCAAGUUUGGAUCGCCUCUUCUCUCGAUUUUCAAGAGGUAAGUGGAGAUCCUACCCUUCUUUUAUGUUUUAAAUAAGUUUUGAGGGGGUUUUAAGGGAAUGUGAUGCUUGGUUUGACUAUAUGUUUUAUGUUAGGGUUUAUGUUAGUUUUAUGGGUAAUGUAUGUUAUAUGUUUGUUAGGGUUUAGGCUAGUUUGAGACCCCUAUAUGCUUAUGAAUGUGUGUAUGCAUGUUUUGGAAGUGUUGGAUGUGAGUGUGGGAGAUUUUGGAGGCGGAUUGCAUGAGGCGGAAUCAAGUUCUGCCUUUCUGGGGAACCCAGGUUCGACCGCCGAAGGUGGUUUCGGCUGCCGAACCUGCCUGUGGAAGCAAUCUUUGGCCGCCUAAACUUGCCCCGGAAAAUGGACUUUCGGCUCUGGAAGGGACUUUCGGCUCUGGAAGGGACUUUCGACCGCCAAAGUGCCUGACUUUCGUCUCUGAAGCUGACUUUCGGCCGCCGAACCUGCCCCCGAAAGUGCCUGACUUUCGGAUCUGUGGGGGUAUUCGGCCGCCGAAGGUGCCCUGUCCAGCCUUCCUUUGCUUGUUUUGCAUGCAUGUUCUGUGAUAUUUUAGGGGGUUUUUGGGGAGUUGUUUAGAGUCAUGUUUAUGUAUGUUUGGUCCCUCAUUUCAGUCCACCUGUGUAGGUUCAGACCCGAGGAACCGAGGACCCCAGCAGUGAGAUAGCUGCUUCAGAGUCUGUUCAGAGUCAGCCUGAGGUGAGUAGAAUGGAUCUUUAUGUUGCAAAGUAAAUAAAUUUUGAGCAUGUUCAUGCAUCACGAAUGUCAUGAUAUAUACUAGGUUGUAUGCAUUAGAAUUCACGAAUAUGUUGCAUUGCAUAUUAUGAUGUUGAUGUGGAUGGAUGUUGGAUGAUCCAUUAGUCCUCGAUAUGAUAUGAGAUGGUAUGGUACGGUACGGAAGUCCAGGUCGAGGCCCAUGCUACGCCCCUGGCAUAAUAUUAAGAGAAAGUCCAGUUCGAGACCCAUUUUAUGCCCCUGGCAUAUUGGAAUGUUAUGUUAUGUUAUGUUAAGGGAAAGAUCAGUGGCCCAUUCUACGCCCCGACACUAUUGAAAUGUGUAGAGGGCUAUUGGUGACAAGUCCAUCCUUGAUGUGAUUUGUUUGUGAUGUGAUGCAUUUCAUUAAAGCAUGGAUUUUAAUAAAAUGUUUACUAUUAUGCUCACUGGGCUCUAGUAGCUCACCCAUUUCCCUUAACCCCCAGGUUUGCAGGUUCGGGAUAGACCAGGAAGUCAGCAAGAGUAAAAGUUAUUUGUAUGUAAUAGUUAGUUGUGGACAUGAAAGAUGAUGUAAUGUAAUGUAAUGUAAUGUAAGAUUUUGUACAGUUUUGUAUUGAGGAUUAGCAUUGUGCUUGACCCUAGUGUUUAUGGUUAAUCCCUUUGUUCGUGAUCAUUAUGAAAUGUUUUAAUGUUAACCAAGCUUAAUGUAUGAUAUGUUGCCCCACUAGAGCAUUUGAUGAGGGCUCUAGUGUGGGGUUUUAUGUUUAUGAUUAUGUGCAUGCACAGGUUAAGUUUGGUAAAAUGGAAAAAGUUUAUAGUUUUUAUGUUUAUGUAUGAUCAUGUAUGGGAUUUAUUAGGCAUGACAGGUUGUAUGUUAGGCUUGCGACGGGUCCCGGCGACCUUAAGUCGAUCUGGAUCCAAGCGCCGGUAGCAGUCCGUUUUCGGGUCGUUACAUGGAUGGUCCAUAAGUGCUCAGUUUAUCAAACUUAGAAGGGACAUUCGCAGAAUACAGUCUUAUACACUCCACUGCCUAUUCCAGCACAUCCUUGGGAGGACUUAUCCAUACUAUGGAUUUUGUUCUUGGUUUAUUACGUACUCAACAUGGAUCUAAUUCCAUUUUUGUUGUUGUUGACAGGUUCUCCAAAAUGGCGCAUUCCAUUCCUUGCUAAAAAACUAAUAAUGCUUCUCAUGUGGCAAAACUGUUUUUCCAGGAGAUUGUUUGCUUAUAUGGCGUCCCUAAGACUAUUACUUGUAACAGAGAUGUGAAGUUUCUAACUCAUUUUUUAGUAACUUUAUGGAAACGUUUUGAAACUGAACUUCGAUACAGCAGUGCUACCCAUCCCCAAACUGAUGGACAAACUGAAGUGGUGAACCGCACGCUUGACAAUCUUCUGCGCUGCAUCUGCAGUGACAAGAAAACUGUUUGGGAUCUUGCUCUUAUCCGAGCAGAAUUUGCUUAUAACAGCGCUGUUUAUAGCUCCACAACGAUGUUAUCAUUUGUUGUUGUGUAUAAGAAAAUUCCAGCGCAUACGUAAUAAAUUAUAAGAGGAUAUAUCAAUUUAUUAACUAAUAUAUUUUAAGUAUUUGAUAAAAUAUAUCCAAUCAAUAAGCCGAUAACUAAUAAUUUAUACUAACUGAUAUAUCUUAGAUAUUUUAAUAAAUUAUGUUUAACUGUGACCACGUAAAAUAACUAAUACAAGGAUAUAUCAAUGUAUUAUAUUAAUGAGAUAAAUAUAAAAAUAUUAAUUUAUUAUAUAAUAUAUAUAAUUAAAAAUAAAUUUGAAAUAUAAUUAUUUGUAUGCACAUGUAUAAUUUUUAUUAUAUAAUAAUAAAUAUUAUAAUUAGUUUAACUAUUAUUUUUAUUAUUUCUUUAUGUAUUGUAAUUUUAAAUAAUUUAUUGAUAUAAAAAUUUUUAUUUUAAAAAAUUAUAAUUAAUAAAUUAUAAAAAAAUAUUAUGAUCUAAAUAAAAAAUAAAAUUAAAUAGUUAAUGGCUUAUAGAAACAACUCUAAAAUGCACCUGAUAUUAUCAUAUUAGUAUUAUCAAAACGAGAUGUCUGCCCGGCUAGAUCGGUCUGCGGCAGACGUAAUCCCAAAUGGAUACCUAAUAUUUAGCCUCAGUCUAAUCCGCAGUGGGGCUGCAUAUGGACAUAGAUACGUUUUUUUAUUAAAUUUAAAUAGAAACUAAAAAAAUUAAUGAAAUCUACGAAGUUAUAAAAAUUUUAUAUUAUACCGAUUGUAAUUAACAAAUAAAAAAAAUACUAUAAUCAAUAAAUAAAUAAAAACUCUAUAUUUAUAUUUUUUAUUUCAUUUUUCUUAUUUUAAGCCGAUACUAUAAUUACUUAAUAUGCAUCAUAUAUAUUGAUAUAAAUUAAUUAAAAAAUUAAAAAAUAUAUAAUUUUAAUAAAUUUUAUAAUUUAAAAUUCUCAAAUUAAAAUAAAAACUUAACAUAUAAUUAAAUUAAAAUCUAAAUAAAAUUUAUCAAAAUUAUCUAAAUAAUCAAAUAAACUUAAUAAAAACUAUCAAAGUAAUUUUAAUUGAAUUUUGUUUAAAAAUUAAUACAUUUAUCUAUCUAUCCUUUUCUUGCUAUUCAUAUCUUGAUUUUCAUUUAUAAAAUAUUUUUUAUAUUUUAACUUUUAUUUAUAAGAUAUUUUUAGAGCAGAUAGUUUGUAGAUUCGUCCGAUCUAAUUUGCACGAGCUCAAUUCCAAAAUAAACUGAGUAAAAAAAUUUAUUUUAAAAAUAGUCUCAAAUUACUUGUUCAAAUUAAAAAAAAAAAAUAUUAGCAACCUUGAACUAUUUACAGACUCGAACCCAUUUUGACAGUACUAAUAUCAAUUAUCCUUUAACUUUUUCAAAUUUUACUAAAUAUUUUAUUAAUCUAUUUAAAUAUUUAUUAGCUAUCAUUAUAUUCAACCGUUAAACUAAAUACUUCUAAAUAGAAAAUUAUUAUUCAACAAAAAUAUUUAUACUUAUAAACAAUAUCGUUAUUAUUAUUAAUAGUAAUAAAUUAAAUUAAAUUAAUUUAUUCAAAUUUAUUAAUCAAUAUACAAUUAUUAAUAUGAAUAAAGAAAAUAAGGAAUGUUUUUUUAUGCUAUUUUUAGUUAUUUUUACACACAAAUAUAAUUAAUUAAUUUUAACUUUAAUUCUUCGAUAGCUUGAUUUGAAUUUUGAUCUGAUAUAAAAUAUGAAAAACAAAAAUUAAUAUUGUCUUAAAAUUUUUAAAAUAAUAAAUAAUUUAAAAUAAAAAAAUUAUUAUAAAAUUAUAAGCUGAGCUAAACAGCUACUAAGUGCUCGGAAACCAUGCACUCUUCCCAUUCUCCCACACCUCCAAAAUCUAAAUGCGAAACACAGGAUCUAAAAUACUCAUUUUUAGGAUUUUUUAUGUUAAUUUUAAUUAAUAAUAAAACCUUUUAUGCUAAGUUAAUAUUUAAAUAUAAAUAUGAGAAAAACCAUAGAACUACAAGAGAAAGAUGAAUAUAAAAUUAAAUACAAUAUUUGAGAUAUUUAAUUUCAGAGAAAAUAAUAGAUUUUUUAAAUUUAACAAUUUAUAUAUAUAUAGAGUUGUCUUGAAUUAAUUUUUGAAGCUAAACUAAUUUAAACACUUUAAAUAAUAAAAUAAAUUAUACUUUAACUUUUUAAAUUUUAAUGUAAUUAAUGAAUUAAUUUUUAUAAUUUUAAAAUUAAAUAUUUAAAUUUUUAAUAUCAUUUCAUUUAUAAUUUUAUUAGUCAAUAUUUCUAAAGAAAAUAAAUAUUUUAAAUAUCUAAAAUACUCUCAUAAACACUCAAAUGCAUGUCAAUGUGAGUGAAACAUUUUAUAUUACGUAAACUAUACUUUAAUUUUUAAAUUUUAGCGUAAUUAAUAAAUUAAUUCUUGUAUUUUUAAAAUUAAAUCCUUAAAACUCUAUAUAUUUAAUCUAUAAAAAAUUACAGUUUUAUCAAAUUAAAGUUAGUGGAUAGUUAAACUUAUAAAAGUAUAAUUAAAUAUUUUUUUGUAAAUAUCUAUAUCUAUUUAAAAGUUAUUUAAUAUCACUUUAAAAUUGCUGAAUUUAUAAGUAUUUUCUGAAAAUUUUAAAACUAUCGAUUAUUGAAAUAUUUUAAUUAAUGAAAAUUGAAGAAUAAAAACUAUUGAAACAGUUGAAUAUGAUAAUUUGAAUAAAAAUUAAAAGAGAAUUUGAGUUUUUUUUUUAUGAAAAAUAAAAAAUUAAAAUGUUUAAAUUUUUUUGGAUGGGAAAAUGAAUGAAAUCUUUUAACUCCUUAAUAUUUUAAUUUAAAAAAGGAUAAUAAAAUUAUUUUUAUAUUUUUAAUUAUAAAAAAUAAAUAAAAAGAUUGAAAUUUAAAUGGAUUUAUUAGGAAAAGAUUUAAAUAUUUAAUUUUAAAAAUAUAUAGAGUUGUUCCUUAAUUAUAUUAAAAUUUAAUGACUAAUGUAUAGUUUAUUAAUUUAAAAAAAAAUAAAGAUGUUCAAUUUAAAUGAUUCGAGAAAUUUAAGUGUUUAAUUUUAAAAAUAUAAAAAUUAAUCAAUUAAUUAUAUUAAAAUUUAAUGAUUAAAUGUAAUUUAUCUUAAAUAAUAAUUUAUUUAUGUUGCAUGAAUACAAAUUGACUUUUGUGCACAGGCCUUAUAUAUUAUGAAUAGGGCUUAUCGCAUGGCAACACGUUUUUGGAUACCUCAUUAAAGAAAAUGUGGUAGUUAACCUUCUCCUCUCUAGAUCGUCAACCUUUAAUUUUUAUUUUAUUUUAUUUUAUUAUAUUUUUAUUAUUAAUAAAAAAUACAACUACAUACUAUAAAUGAAAAAAAAAACAUAUAAAGUUAUAAAAUUUUAUUUAUAAUCCACCUUUCAAGAUCUCAAAAUAAAAUUCUCAAAGUACAUAAAUUUAAAAUAAUUAAUUUAUGAUUAAGAUUUGUAUGAAAAUUUUUAAUUGUGUUAUAGCAAAUUAUAAGUCAUCCAUUUCGAUAUGGAUUUUUUAGAUUGGUCAUGUUAAUCUUAAUGAAUUAAUUUGUAAAUCUCUUUCGUUUUUUAUAGACGGUAUCAUUUUCAUGAAUAUUUUACUUUUAUUUUAUUAAAAAAAGUCUCAUAACACAUAAUCUUAAAAUGGAAACUCACAAAAUAGAAGAAAGGGAUCGAAAGGUCUACUGGUACCCCCAAUGAAAAUUCUAAAACACUCAAGUUAGAUCUUAAAAAUUUAAGUGUGAAAGCUUCUUUUAUAAAAAACUGUAAAGGAAAAGGGGAGGAAGAGGAAGAAGAAGAGAAGAGCGGGAGCAAUCAUGAGCUAUAAAAAGGUGUUUUUUUUUUAUAUUUUAUCUUGUGCAAAAGAGUUGUGAGAAUAUGUCUUUCAUAUUCUUUAGAUGGUCUAUUUUUUAAAAUUUAAAUGAUUUUAUAAUUUUUAAAUGUUACCAAAAAGUAACAUAAACCUAUAUCUACAAAUAUUUUUCAAUCCAAUUAGAACUAAUAAAUCUCUCACUGGAAAUUACUUUUAAUAAAUAUAUUAUUUAGUUAAUCUCAUUUUCUUUUAGAAAAUUUGUGUAUUUACUAUAAUUAUAUUACAUAAUGCAAUUACUAUAAUUAUAUUACAUAAUGCAAAUGAUGUUUUUAAUUACACGAUAAACCCUUUUUCUAUUUUAGAUCGAAAUCUCUUUCUUUUCUUCUAUGAAACUAUAUUAUACUGGACAAAAGCCAUUUAACCAUAACACAUAAAAACUCUUUUUCUUAUGUAAAAGUCACCCUCUACAAUAGAUUGUUAAACUCUUCAAUUAAGAAAAGACAAAAUAAUCUCCCAAUCAUAUUUUAUUUAUAGUAUUAAACUCUUCUAUUUUAAUUUAUUUAAGAAUUUUAAAGUAUAAAAAUAACAUAUAAAUAAAACAUCUACUCUAUCUAUGUCUCGGAAGAAUAUGUUUUCCAAUUUAAUUAAAAUAUACAAAUUAAUUUUAAUAUUUUCCGUUUGAAAUUUUAAAUAGGCUUUGUCUCCUCUCAAAAAUUCUCUCUUUCUCUUCUUUUUUUUUUUUCUUCUCAUCCACCUCUCUUCCCGUAGCCACCUCCGAAUUUAUCACAGGGGCAUCCCCUAUUUUUCUUGCUCAAACCAUCUCUUUUUAUUUCAAAAUUUAUUUCGUUGUUUUUUUUUUUUUUUGUUUCUUCAAGUAAAAUUCAAGUUUUAUUAAAACUAGAGAUACCUCUUCUUCUUAACAAGAUUAGCCUCUUCUUCCCCAUCCGAAGAAUGGUUAGAUAGGAGCACAUGCAUAGUAGGGGCCCUAGAGGAAUUACAAGGAUUGUUUUGGACAUUGUCGCCCUCAACUACCCCAUGGCAUCCUCCAUGAUAACAAGGCCCACACACCCUCCUCAGCAACCAUUUUGAGAGGUGGUCCUACAAUCGUCAAAGGUAGCAUGUCUUCUUUCCUUUGAGGAUGAGGCCUUAAAGCAUCAUGAACGACCUCUAUAUUCUUCUGGAGAGUAAACUGCUCAACCGCCAUCUUGAUGAAAUCCCGAGACAAGGUGAAAUUUCGAGGCAUAAAAGUCUAUCCCAUAGGAACAGUGGAAAGCUGCAAAACACAAAAAUAAGUUUUAAUCAAGAAAGUGAGAACUGAAAACAUAAAAAUAAUAAAAAUAAUAAGUACCAGCAGCACAAUAAUCACUCCCAGGAGGAAACUCAAGGUAUUUAAAGACGUCAUAUUUGAAAGGAGAGAGGCUAGUCAGGCAAAGUACAGUUGCUCUCACUCAGACAGGUGGGAAAAAGCAUUGCAAGAAGGAUCAAUGUUCCCCCAAGCAGUAUCGAAACCCUACUUCUGCUCUCCCCUUAGAUGGACAACGACAAAACUUUCUAUCCAGUGAUGGACGGAGUCUUUAUGACCAACAAAAAAAAGACAGAUUGAAGUUCCAUAACCCAUCAUUUGAUUUGGUGAUCCUAAAGAAAGACCUAAAAAGUCUAAUAGAUAGCUUGAAGCCCCAGUCCCAACACACUGCCUCAAAAGCUCUCAUGAACAGGAUAGAGUUGGGAGUUAACACUCUAGAGAAAACCCCAUAAAACCUAAAACCUCUAUGAAAAAAAAUGGAAAAGGGGAAAAGAUAACCCAUACUCAAAUUUUUUGAGAAAGAAAACUAACUUUUUCUCAUUUUAGGCAUCUUCAAGGUCAACGGGUGGGGGAAAAGAAAAAAGCACAAUCCUCUCAGAAGAGCGAGUGGCUUUAAUAUAAUAAAAGGAAGAGAGAAAUAGAUGGAAGAAAUCGUGUGUUGUAUUGUAUUGCAAUUGUCUUUAAAUAGACUCUGUACAAAGAUAAAUACAGUUACAAUAGAUAAGUUUACAAAUAUACAAAUAUGAUAUUUAAACCAAAUCUGUUAGGAUAUUGGUUUAUCAAGAUAAGUUUACAAAUAUACAAAUAUGAGAUUUAAGCCAAAUCUGUUAGGAUAUUGGUUUAUCACUCCCCCGCAAGAUUGAAGUACCAUCAAGGACACCAAUCUUAGAUAUCUGAUGAGUAAAACUGGUUUUGAUCAAUGGCUUUGUCAAAAAUAAGCCAAUUGAUCCUUAGAGGACACAUGAGCAACUCAUAUUUCUCCUUUGUGAACCAAGUCUCGUACAAAAUGAACAUCAAUUUUGAUAUGCUUCAUUUUCAUAUGAAAUACUGGGUUUUGACUAGUGUAAGUAGUAGAAAUGUUGUCACAAUAAAUAGGCAGUAAAUUGUCUUGCAACUGAACUCCAAGUUCAAAUAAUAGAGACUUGACCCACAUUACCUCAGAAGUUGUUGUUGCUACCGCACGAUAUUCAGCCUCUGUAAAUGACCAAGCAACUGAUUUUUGCUUUAUGGAAGACCAAGAAACUGGACUAUUGCCAAGAUACAAGAUAUACCCCGUAGUCGAUGUUCUAUCCAUAGGAUCCCCAGCCCAAUCAGCAUCUGAAAAAGCAUAAAACUUAAAAGAAGAUUGUGGCUUAAUAAGAAUGCUAUAAUAAAGAGUGGACUUGAGAUAACGAAGGAAUCGUUUCAAGGCUUCCCAAUGCGACUUUAUGGGGCUUUGCAUAAAUUGAGAAAGCUUGUUUACUGAGAAACAAAUAUCAGGUCUCGUCCAAAUCAAAUACUGGAGUGCACCUACUGCAUUUCUAUAUUCAAUUGCAUUAACAAUUUCUUCCAUUUCUGUCCUCUUCAAGAGUAUCACAGAAGCUGCAAAGGGUGUGGUAAUCGGCUUAGCUCCUUUCAUGCUAUGAGUAGCAAGUAAUUUCUGCACAUAAUGGUGUUGAGAUAAGAACACUCCCUUUGAAGUUUGUUGCAUAUCAAUACCAAGAAACAAAUUCAAAGUAUGCGGAUUCUUUAAUGAAAAACGGAUAGCAAGCUUGUUAAUGAAUGUUUGCAUGAAGGCCUUGCAACUUCCUGUAAUAAGAAGGUCAUCAAUAUAUACAAGAAAAUAACAUAAUAUAUUAUCGUUAUUAUAGACAAAUAAAGAGUGAUCACUAGUAGAUUGCACAAAACCAAGACCAAGAACACAACUUCUCAAUUCUUGAUACCAAGCUCUCGGUGCUUGCCAAAGUUCAUACAAUGCUUUGACCAACUUACAAACAUAUCCCGAUUUAGUUUUGUCAACAAACCCAGGAGGCUGCUUCAUGAAUACUUGUUCGUGUAAUGGACCAUGCAAAAAGCAUUAUUAACAUCCAUCUAAAAUAUAGGCCAUUUGUAAGUCACUACCAAAGUUAAAACUAUUUGAAGAGUUACUGGUUUUAAAACAUGACUAAAAGUAUCCCCAAAAUCUAUUCUGGGUUUUUGACUGUAUACUUUUGCAAUAAGAUGGGCUUUGUAUCUGUCAAUACUACCAUCAAUAUUUCUUUUAACUCGAAAAAUAUAUUUACAACCAACCAAGUUAUAUUUAGGAUCAGGUGGUACCAAUACCCAUGUUCCAUUUCUUACCAAAGCAUUAAACUCGUCAGACAUGGCAGCAUGCCAUUGGGGAUCAAGAGAGCCUGCGAAACACAUGUUGGUUCAGAAAUUUUUGGAAUUGGAUGCUUAGUUACUAGAUUAAGAUUUUUCGGCUUAAAUAUGUUAUUUUGGGACCUGGUAACCAUCAGAUGGGUUCAAAUAAGGGGCUGGACAAGAGUAGCAAUAUUGACAUUAGUGUCCGAAGUAUCAUCAUUGGACGAAGUAUCAUCAUUGGACGAAGUAUCAUCAUUGGACGAAGUAUCAUCAUUGGACGAAGUAGACUGAACAGUAUGUGGAGGAGAACUUACAGUAUUCAUAGGCAAGAAGACUGACCAGGAAUGUCUAACAGCAAUGAGGACUGACUAGAGGAUGAUGAACUCAAUGAAGAUGGACUGGACAAGCUGAAAGUGAAACCUGAACAAGCUGAAGACGUUGAAACAAGUUCUGCUACAGUAGAAAAAGGUAUGACAACAGCUGCAUCAGAAUUUUUCUGCAAUUGAAACAAGAUAGCAGUACUAGAUUUUGACGACACAGACUGGUCAAAAAUAAAAUCAUACCUACCGGAAUUAUUUAACGCAGACAAAUCAAGUAAACACCCAGGAAAUUGAUCCUCAAUAAAGAUGACAUGUCGAGAAACAAACAUCUUGUUAUUUUUAUAAUCGAAGCAAAGAUAGGCACUUUGAUUCAGGGAAUAACCAAGAAACAAGCACGGAAGUGAUUUAAGAGAGAAUUUAUGUUUUGCAUAAGGGCGAAUGCAUGGAUAACAAAGACAACUAAAGAUUUGUAAACCAGAAUAAUUGGGAACUUUACCAAAUAAUUUAAGAAAUGAAGAAGAAUAAUCUAGAGUAGGUGUUGGUAACCUGUUGAUCAAAUAUACAGCCGUAUAAAAUGCAUAAAUCCAAAAUUCAGAAGGUAAAGAAGCAUUGUGAAGAAGAGUUAACCCGGUUUCAACCACACAACGAUGUCUACGUUUAGCAGCUCUAUUAUGCUGUGGAGUAUGAGGGGGCGUUUGAAGAUGAUUAAUGCUAUGAGCUUGAAAAAGAGAUUUUAAAGCAAUAAAUUCCCCUCCCCCAUAUGUUUAUAUAGACACAAUUUUUGUUUGAAAGAUAUUUUCAACCAAUUUCUGAAAAACUGAAAAAAUAAUAGCAACAUUAGAUUUAGCUCGAAGAUGAUAAAACCAGAUAUAUUAAGUAUAAUGAUCAACAAAAAUUAAAUAAUAUUUAUAACCAUCUCUAGAUUGAACUGGAGCAGAACCCCAUAGAUUAGAAUACAAUAAUUCUAAAGGACGAGAAAUUGAUAAUGAUGAAACACCAAAAGAGAGUCGAUAACUCUUAUUAUAAUGACAAGAAUCACAAAUUUUUUGAUUAACUUUAGAAACUGGUAAAGAAAAAUGAGACACGACAUAAUUGAAAAUUUUUGUAGCUGGAUGACUUAGUCGUUAAUGUCAUGAAGAACUAGAUGCACAAACACUGUAACAAGCAGAAGGAUGAAAGGAAAAUAUGGAUGAUGACAGACGAUAUAAUGACUCCUCAAUUUUGCCCCUUUGAAGAAUCUCCUCCAUGAACAGAUCCUUAACAACAAAAGAAUCAAAGAAAAAUUCAAUCGAAACAUUAUUUAUAAGACAAAAUUGAGAAACGAAAAUAAGAUUCUCAUUAGCUUGUGGAACACAUAAAAUAUUUUUUAAUGAGCAGGAUUUAGAUGGAAAAGACAAAAUUUUUUAUCCAACAUGUGUUAUGUGCAAACCUGAUCCGUCAGUGAGGCGCAACUCAUCUAAGCCAUCAUAUGGUUUGUGCAAUGACAGAUUCUGAAGGUCGUUAGUGACAUGAUGUGAACCACCUGUAUCAAGAACCCAACUGGUCUCACUUGAACUACUAGUAUUAACAAAAUGACCUUGAAGUCUAUGAAAAUUAUUUUUGAAAAAGUCCUUAGCCAGGAAGCAUUGACGAGUACUGUGUCCUAGCUUUUCACAAAUUUGACACUGAAUCUUGUUAGAAGAAUUUCGAGUAGUAGAAGAAUUUAAGAUAUUACCAGUUCUGGUCCCAUAAGCAACCGAACUACCUUGACCAUUAGAUCAAAAAUUCUACUUGGGAUAGGAACUUUUUCGAACACUAUGAGUAGUUAAUGGAACAGGAUCAUAAGAGGAAUCUGUACUCUUAAGAUAUAUUUCAUGAGCCAAAAGUUUAUCCUCAAGUUUUUCAAAACUUAUCACAGUAUCACGAGCUCGGAUUGUUGCGGCUGUGUCAUGAAAUUCUAAUUUGAUACCAUUCAAAACAUAGACAAUCAAAUCCACAUCAGAAUCUGGAUUACCUAAAAGAGCUAAGUCUUUUGCAAUAUUUUUUAUUUGUUGCAAGUAAUCAGAAAUCGAUUUGUUAUCACGUUUAGCAGUUAAUAACUUUUUACGAAGAGAUAAAACUCUUGUUGCUGACUUAUUGGCGAAAGCAACUCGAAGUUUUUCCCAUGCAUCAGCUGAAAUUUUCGCUGAAGAGAGAACAUGCAUAGCUGAAAAACUUGUUGAAGCUAUGAUCGCUACUAGAAUCAGCUGAUCUUGAUAAACCCAAAACUCAUAAUCGGGAUUUGCUAUUUCUUUUGUUGUGUCUUCCUCACCAACUUGAGUAAAAGCAGGUGGAAGUGGCAAAGAUUUAUCUACAUAACCCAUCAAAUUAUGACCACGAAGAACAAGGAGGAAAUUGUGCUCGCCAUGUAGGAUAAUUUUGGGCAUACAGUUUCAAUGGAAAUUGAUUAGAAUUGAAAGAAAUCAAGUUUUUGCCAUUAGAAUGAGGCAGACUUGUAGGACUUGAUGAAGACAUGGUGAACAAUAGAAAAAUAAGAAAUAAAUUAAAGAAACGGAGGUGAUUUAGGAUCGAAAAAAAAGCAAAUAUGCUUUUUACGGCUCUGAUACUAUAAAAGGAAGAGAGAAAUAGAUGGAAGAAAUCAUAUAUUGUAUUGUAUUGCAAUUGUCUUUAAAUAGACUCUGUAUAAAGAUAAAUACAGUUACAAGAGAUAAAUUUACAAAUAUACAAAUAUGAUAUUUAAACCAAAUCUAUUAGGAUAUUAGUUUAUCACUCCCCCGCAAGAUUGAGGUAUCAUCAAGGACAUCAAUUGGAUGGAGAUGUACAACUAGGUAGGUCAAUUUUAGCUAAUUUAACUCUAUCAAUACUAUGACUUCGAUUUAAACCAAAUUAAUUUAGCUUAAUAUGUAGUUAAGAAUUUUAAUUUAAAAUUAAUUUAGCUUAAAAAUGACAAUUUUUAGCUUAAUUUAAAUAAAUAACAUUUCUAAUAAGUGCAAGGAAAAAAUAAGUAUUUAAGCAAAGAUUGUAUAAGGGAAAAAAAAAAGUGAAAGAGGACCACGCUAUUAGGAGUGAGUAUUCGGUUGAUUCGGUUUAAAACCGACCCAAAUCGAAUAAACCGAAAACUGAAAUUUUAGUGUUUAUGAAAAUCGAACUGAUUUUGGUUAGAAAUUGAAUCGAACUGAACCAGUCUGAUUCGGUUCGAUUCAGUUCGGUUCAGUUCGGUUUAAUCGGUUUCGAUUUUUAAUAAUUUUUUUAUUUUUUACACUUUAUUUUUAGUAUUUUAAAAUUUAAUUAAAAUAUUUUAAUCUUAAUAUGAUUUAAUUUCUCUAUAUUAUUAAAAAAGCAUAUUAUUAUCACUAAUCGGUUCGAUUCAGUUUUUUGAUUUUUUUCUAAUUAAAAUCGAACAGAACCAAAAUAACAGAAAUUUCUGAAAUUAAAAACUGAAUCGAAUCGAAAUAUAUAAAAAAUCAAAUUAAAUUUUCAAAUUAAUUCGAUUCGAUCAAUUUUUUCGGUUUGAAUCGAAUACUGCUCACACCUACACGCCAUGACUGCUGUAUAGGGGAAAAAAAAGAGAGAGAAGAUAAAAAGGAAAAAUCUUGGGCACUUCUUGAUCUAUUAAUUUUGACUUGGUGCUUGCAUUGAUGAUCUAUGCUUGAGCACUUAGGUCAGCUGAUACGCAAGGAAACCUCACCUAAUACGUCAUCAACUCCAUAGCCCAGCUAAGAGUCUUCAAUAUUCCAGCUUUAUAUAUUGAUGGGCAAGUACCCCCUCCUACACCCAUCACCAGAAGCUAGCAUUCAAGCUUUUCUGAUUCCAAUUCAUCUACGCAUAAUCUCUUUUCUAUUGAAGUUUCCCUCUCAUUCUCAAGGAAACAUGGUAGCCAAGUUGCCAGAACAAGAGCAUCCCCAACAGGCAUUUGGAUGGGCUGCAAGAGACGACUCUGGUGUCCUCUCUCCCUUCACCUUCUCCAGGAGGUUCCUUUUCUUCUACCUUUCCAUGAAUCUGUCUUGCUUCUCUUUCUACAUCAACAAAUCUUCUUUUACUUGAAUCUCUUCGAUAAUCCAUUUUUCUAAUUAUCAAUAUAUAACAUGUUUGUGCAGGGCAACUGGGGAGAAAGACGUUUGUUUCAAGGUCCUCUACUGUGGAAUGUGUCACUCAGACCUUCAUAUGGUCAAGAAUGAAUGGGGCACUUCCACCUAUCCUCUUGUCCCUGGGUACGUAUUCUCAUCAUCUUAUAGUUAUUACGAACAUUCUUUUUUUUUUUUCCAAUUGUAAAGUUAGACGGUUGGAACUUUGAGUCCAAGUCAAUUAACAUAACGGUUUCUGCUGAAUUUGCAAUGCAGGCAUGAGAUUGUGGGAGUGGUGACAGAGGUUGGAAGCAAAGUGGAAAAAUUCAAGGUGGGAGAUAAGGUUGGUGUGGGCUGCAUUGUGGGGUCAUGCCAUUCCUGUCAUAACUGCGCAAAAAAUCUUGAUAAUUACUGCCCAGAACUGAUACUCACCUAUGGUGCAAAGUACUAUGAUGGAACCACCACUUUCGGCGGCUACUCUGACAUUAUGGUUGCCGAUGAGCACUUCAUCGUUCGUAUUCCAGACACCUUGCCUCUUGAUGCUACUGCUCCUCUUCUUUGUGCUGGGAUCACAGUGUACAGCCCCUUAAAAUAUUAUGGACUGGACAAGCCUGGCAUGCACGUAGGCGUAGUUGGCCUGGGCGGCCUUGGCCAUAUGGCUGUGAAAUUUGCCAAGG
rnacentral:lncRNA from 1 species